CGGGCACCACCUGCUCGGGGCCACCACACGGAGGGCCUGCUCGACGAGUCCACGUACGUGGUCCGCCUGCUGAACCCGGCCACGAGGCACCUCGCCGAGCUGCCCACGCUGGACCCGCUGCUGCCCCGGAAGACGACGCGCGCGAACAUCUCCGAGUACAGCAGCCUCGCGUACGAGCUCAAGGUCACAGGCAUCGGGGUCGUCUUUGACGACGGCGACGGUUCCACGGCCACGCUCGCGAUCAGUUUCUUUACCCCGAGGAUGCUCGUCGUCGCCAGGCCCGGCGACGGCCACUGGACGCUGAUCGACAGCCAGCAGUGGUUCUUCUCAGCCAUGUCGUUCUCUGGCCGCUUCUAUUGUGCCAAGGCCGGAGCCGUCAUGGCGUUGGAGGCGGCGGCGGCGACGACGACGACGACCAGUACCAACCACAACCAGGGGCCGCCACGGCUGGUGGUGGUCGCCGAGAUAACGUGUAGGGUGUCUCUGAUGUGCAGGGACACCGUGCACCUGGUGGAGAGCGACGGGAGGCUGCUGCUGCUCCGCCGCUGGCUACAGUCGCAAGGGAAGAUGCUACCUUUGUGACCAAGACCCAAAGACUAUUGACCACAUCGUGGCCUAUGCUCGUUCUCGCGUCAGGUUUGGUGGACCAUACUCUCGGUCCUUGGGGCCGACGCAUCCCUGAUAGGCGGCGAGACCCUUCUUGCGUGGUGGGACCGUUGGAGGCAGCGUUGGCACGGUGAACGACAGAGAGGAGCCGACACCCUCUUCGCAUUAGUAGCCUGGGAGAUUUAGAAGGAGCGUAACGUUCGGUGCUUCCGCAACGCAUCCUCCAACAUUAACCAACUGCUGAACACCAUCAAGCUCAGCGCUGACCUUUGGGUUGAAGGAGAGGCCCGGCACCUUGGUUGUUUGAUUCGCGAGUAGUUCGCUUUCUUUCAUGGGGAAAGGGAAUGUCUGUCCUGUAUGUUUGUUUCUAAUAAACCACCCCCACCCCUCGCUGUUGUCUUCAGCGCUAAAACGAUUGUGUGUAACCACUUUUUUUUCUACUUAAUACAAUGAUGCACAAACCUUUUGCGUAUUUGAGAAAAAAAAAAACAGUCGCGAGGGAAGGACUGUUGGAUCAUCAGGGGGUACAAUACAAGGCAUACGAGGUGUACCUCGCCAAGCGGGAAACGGUGCCCAUCCGUGGCCUCCGCGGGCGCGCCGUGUUCCUAAGCAAAACACGGGCGCUGUCCGUUUCUCCUCUCUCGUUUUCCCGUCGAUCCGCGGCAACAAGGUCUACCCUGCCGCCGACAGCUGGGAGAUGUCUGAGAAGGAAUUGGCUCCUACAGCCUUCUCAACGGAAGGAUUGAACGUCGCAACUUUAGGACACGAUGGGGUGACGACGACGACGACGAUGAUAUGAUCAUGAUAAUGGCUGGACGCGACCAUGUGGUAUCCGCGACUAUCUUUCCUGGUACGUCUUCUCUGGCGGAUGCAACGACAUUUAGGCCCUGUUUAGUUCGCAAAAAUUUUCAAGAUUUCCCGUCACAUCGAAUCUUUGGUCGUAUGCAUGGAGCAUUAAAUAAAGACAAAAAUAAAAACUAAUUACACAGUUUAUCUGAAAUUUGUGAGAUGAAUUUUUUGAGCCUAGUUACUCCGUAUUAGACAAUAUUUGUCAAAUAAAAACGAAAGUGCUACGGUAGGCAAAAACCAAAAUUUUGCGAACUAAACAAGGCCUGAAGAAAUAUAACCAGCAUCGGACAAACCUGUACGGUAAUAAUCUCAUCACAUCAGCGUCACUCCAGUUCAAUGCAGGCCAGCCUCAGAGAGAGAAUGUUGGGAACGUUAGCUUGUGAGAGGAAAAGAAUGAGAUUGCGCUUUCGUCCAAGCGUGGACAGAAACCGUGAUCUAACGGAAGAAAAUUCCGUGGACCCUGGGCCUGGGUUCAUCCUACCGCACAUGCACCCCUAGCUAGGCUCUGGCAGAGGAAUGAAUCGAACGUUUCACGGGAGUGGUGGCUCCUCCGCGUGCAUCUCUUGGCUCUGUGGGACGCAAUGCUCAGGCUCGUUGAGCGCGGUUCUAAGUGCAGCUCCACGUCAAGUUAAUGACGCUCGCUGAGGCUACAAUAUCCGUAUGUAUUUUUGUCAUCAGCUAGCGAACCCUAAACUACUGAGUUGAAUAUGACGGCGGCGUGACCUUCCCCUGGAGAAGGGCAUGAACGGCCACACGGCCACUGCUCCAGCGGCAGCACAAAAGGGCACGACACAAUCCACUGGCAAUGUAGCAGAGCACGGAGGAAACUCUACUGCCAUGCAUGGUUGGCCAUAGUAAGGCUGAUGCAAGGGAUCUCACCAACCCGAAGAUGUUUGCAGGCCAUUUUUUUCUCAAAACUAUGUAACAAUUGGCUGUGUACAUCCCCUAGAUGUAGAGGCCGGAUAUUUUUAUCCAUUAUCUAAAAAACUUUCAAGAACAAAGGAGCCUCCAAGGUAGACCUCGGCAAAGCCUUGCCUGCGAGCUGGGCACCGUUGUAAGGCCUUGUUUAGUUCCAAUUUUUUUUGCAAAAUCAACACUGUAGCACUUUCGUUUGUAUUUGAUAAAUAUUGUUCAAUCAUGGACUAACUAGGCUCAAAAGAUUCGUCUCGUCAAUUCCGACCAAACUGUGCAAUUAGUUUUUAUUUUUAUCUAUAUUUAAUACUCCAUGUAUACGUCUAAAGAUUCGAUGUGACGAGAAAUCUGAAAAAUUUUACAAAAUUUUUUGUGAACUAAACAAGGCCUAAGUCAUCGGCAAGACCACAAGACUGAUCCAUCGUAGAAGCAGUAGCCUGGAUCUGUUGUCGCCGCCUCUAACGAUGAAGUAGCCUCCAAUGAUGCCAGUAUUUGGCGAGUACGACACAAUCCACUGGCAAUGCAAACCUGAUUGCCUGAACGUCACAACGCGCGGAGCCGAGAGAUGGGUGUGGAGGAGCCACCCCUCUCGUGAAGCGUUCGAUUCAUUUCUCUGCCAUGCGUCAGCGAUCGAGCCUAGGGGCGCAUCUGCGGUAGAAUAGACCCUGGGUUCACAGAAUUUUCUUCCGAUCUAUACACAUGGUGUCUGUAUAUAUUGUGAGCUUGAAAGUUUGGACGUUGUCUCAAAUGAAUUUUGCUUAUAUGUUGAAUGAGACUACUAUAAUUAUAUAUGCUUGCAUUGGUCAUUGCUCUCAUUGGGAAAACACACAACAUAUUUUGAGGGUUAGAGACAACAAUAUGACCUUGUUUAGAUGUGAAAAGUUUUUAGAUUUUGACAUGUAGCAUUUUUGUUUUUAUUUGAUAAACAUUAUCCAAUUAUGGAGUAACUAGACUUAAAAUACGACGCCACUAUUUCAAUAACGUUCAGUGGAAAUGAAAGCAGCGGUCAAUUUCCGACAGUUAUUUUCUUUCCUUUUUUGGAAAGUGCAUAUGUUACUUUCUAUUUUUGGACAGAACGGGAAUCAUUUCUCUUUCUCUUUUGAGGCAUUCGAUUUACUUUUCACUUUCUUUUGCUAGAUCACCCGCUCUUUAAUAUUUUUUUUAUUUUUUUAAGAAGCAUGCCCUCAUAACUUAUAAAACGGAAUUAAAAAGCAUAACUUUCACAAUAAACUUAACAAUACUAACUUAGAAGGGCUUCUAGACAACAUAAGUUUGAGGAAUAACUCAACAUUGCUAACUUAGUCGUUCUCAAAAAGUUAUAGUAUAUAACUUAUGUACAUAAGUUUACUCCUACUAUUUCAAAUUAUAAGGCAUGUUGACUUUUCUAAAUUGAAUUUACUAUGUAUCUAGACACAACUAUAUAUGUAUACACAUAGCAAAAUCAAUAUAUGUAGAAAUAUCAAAACAUUUUAUAAUUUGGAAUAGAGGGAGACAUAAGUUACACAAUACAAUUUAUGUACAUAAGUUACACAACUAACACACUAGUGUGUAUAGAAAGUUAUGCAGUUAUUAUACACAAAUAAAAGUUAUACAAUAAAACUUAGCAGAAUAGGUUAGCAGCAUAACUUAACAGAAUAAGUUAGCAAUAUAACUUAUAUAUUAUAAUUUAAUAUACAUAAAUUGCUACUAGAAAAAUAAAAAUCUUCGAAACAUAUAGAAGUGGGGGUCUAGUUUUGUUCGCCUCGUCGCGUUGAACACACCGAUGUAGACGAAAUUAAAAAUAGAUACAUCAUUCAAAAGUUAUAGUAAUUUAAAAUAAAUACUUUGUUUUUUUAUGAUGACGUCAAAAGCAGAGGGAAAGGGAAGUGGGGAGAGGAGGGUGGGCGACCGGUGUGCAUUAGCUGUCGGAUCGUUCGUUGGAUUGAAAACUAUUGAACGACCGUAAUUUAUAGACAAUUUAUAGACAAACUGUGUAAUUAGUUUUUGUUUUUAUCUAUAUUUACUAUUUCAUGCAUGUGUCACAAGAUUCAAUAUAAUAGAGAUCUUGAUGGUUUUUAGGGUAAACUAAAUAUAAGGCCAUGGUAAAGAGUGCUGUACGCUGUACGAGUAGGUAGCAAACACUAAAGUCUAGAAACACCGUUUGGUUCAACAGUCACCAUCAUCCAACCUCUCCGUCUUUCCCACCCGUUUUCCCUCAACCAGUCACCACCUCACUCCACGUCUCCUCGGCCUCUCCCGCGCUGCUCACUGCCCACCGACACUCCCCCUCCGCCGCCAUGGACCGCGGCCCUUCCGUCUCCGACGACGAGGACGACCUCGAGACCCUCGUACCGCAGAACCAUGCCAAGCCCCCGUCCCCCUCCGCCCGUUCCCGCUCGCCGCCCUCCUCCUUCAGCGUCGCCGCGCUCCACCCGGCGCUCCCCUCCUCCGCCGCCUCCCUCGGGCGCAUCCUCUGGUCCCGCCGCUACCUCGUGCUCUUUGUCUCCCUCCCGCUCCUCUUCCUCAUCCUCUUCGUCUCCUUCGGGGGCGCGUCCUCCAUCCGCCUGCCGGCCUCCAUCCGCCUCCCCUCCGCCGCACCCGCCGCCGACCCCGCGGCCUCCCGCAUGCGCGAGGCCGAGCUGCACGCGCUCUACCUCCUCCGCUCCCAGCGCUCCGGCCUCCUCAGCCUCUUCAACCGCACCGCCGCCCCGACCAACGGCUCCGCCUCCGCCCCCAUCUCGCUCUCCGAUCUCCAGUCCGCGCUCGAGAGCCAGAUCAAGAUCAACCGCGAGAUCCAAGCGGCGCUCCUCUCCUCGCACCGCUCCGGGACCGGCAAUGCAACCGAGGAUGGCCUGGAUCUCGAUCUCCCUUUCUCCGGGUGCAGGAAGAGGGAAUUGCCGGCCAACCGGCGGACUAUUGAGUGGAACCCCAAGAAAGACCGGUUCCUCUUGGCAAUCUGCAUCUCCGGGCAAAUGUCCAACCACUUGAUUUGCUUGGAGAAGCACAUGUUCAUGGCAGCGCUUCUUGGCCGUACUCUGGUGGUGCCCAGCCAGAAGGUGGACUACCAGUACGAUCGGGUGCUUGAUAUCAACCACAUUAAUGAUUGCAUUGGGAGGAAAGUUGUGAUCACCUAUGAGGAGUUUGUGGAGAAGAGGAAGAAAGUGGUCAUUGAUCAGUUCAUAUGCUACGCAGCCUCGCCUCCAUGUUUCCUUGAUGAGGACCAUAUUAAGAAGCUGAAAGGACUAGGGAUUUCCCUGGGCAAGAUUGAGGCAGCUUGGCCAGAGGAUGCGAAGCUGAAGGAGCCGAAGAAGAGAUUUGUUGGGGAUAUUACACCAAAGUUUUCGACAGAGGCUGAGGUCCUUGCCAUUGGCGACAUGUUCUAUGCCGAUAUGGAGGAUGAGUGGCUGAAUCAACCUGGUGGUCCAUUGGCUCACAAGUGCAAGACUUUGAUUCAACCAAGUAGGCUCAUAAUGCUCACUGCUCAACGCUUCGUCCAGACUUUCUUGGGAGGAAACUAUAUUGCUUUGCAUUUUCGACGGCAUGGAUUCCUUAAAUUCUGGUGAGAUACACUACCACAUCUUUUAAUCUGCUGAACAUUAUCUAUUUGUGAAUUUUGUGAGAGAAACAUAUUAGAGCGGAUGCAUUUACUUUGUAUAAGGUUAUGCUUGGUAGGCUCUUGUAGUAGAUGGCUUCCUUCUUUGUUACACAUCUUGGGAAUUCCAGGCUACUUACAAUCAUAUCCUCUUUUAGUUAUUCCAUGAUUGCCAUUCCUUUGGACAGUGCAGUUGGUAGGACCUUCUGUGAUGCACAUACAAAACCAGGCACUUGUUCUGACACAGAAUGGUUGGACUUGGUUCUAGAUGCUUCUCUCAGAUCUAGGCAAAAUUUUAUACUGCAAGUCAGCAUCUGACAUCUGCAUGGUUGUUUGCGCUUGGUUAAUAAAGCUAUUCAGUGAAAUGCCUGCUUAAUAAUGAAUUUACUAUACAAACUGUAUGAUAGAUAAAGAGCAUGUUUGGAACAGAGGAAUAGAAAAUGCAGGAAUAGGAGAAAAUAGAGGAAUAGGAAAGGAAUUGGGAUGCAAAACAGAGGAUUGGAAAACACAGGAGUUUUUUAAGAAUAGGUGUUUGGAACGCAGGAAUAUGACUAGUGUAGGAAUUUUAGAGUUAGCUGCAAACUCAAUUGUUUAGAUCUAGUCGUAAAUAUUUUUUUACAUUUACAAGGCUAUAGAUAGUUUUUCCUUUUAGGCCUUGUUUACUUCACCCCAAAUAUAAAAACUAAUUGCACAGUUUGGUCAGAAUUGACGAGACGAAUCUUUUGAGCCUAGUUAGUCUAUAAUUAGACAAUAAUUACCACAAACAAACGAAAGUGCUACAGUGUCGUGAAUUUUUUCCCUUUGGGAACUAAACAAGGCCUUAUACAUCAGUUGAAGUACAAAGUCAACCCCACAUGCUACCGUUUAUUUUCCUACUACAACACUAGUCUACUAUUGUGCACUUUCUUUUUCUGUUCCUUAACUAACAGCGUCAGCGCGUCAAAGUGUAUGGCAGCUCAUCAGCCUAGGGACUAACACCAGCUCCUAAGCACUCAUCAUCGACAGCAAUCAUAAAGGAAAAGAAAACAUGGAACUAGAGUGGAUUCUUUUUUUUCCUAUGAAAUCGACAUCUGGCUACAAGAAACCAAAGGAAAGGAAAUCUCGAUUCCACCGUUCCAAACACAUACUUCAACUUCCUUUCCUCCGUUUUCUUGAUUCCUACGAUUUUCCUUUGGAUUUCCUCCGAUCCAAACAGGCCCUAAUAUAUUCCAUAGCUUACUUUCAUUAGUUAUUCUCGGUGAUGUUGAGUGAUGGUAUCUGCUCUAGCAUUGACUGUUGCAUUGAAACACUAUCCUUGUUAGUCUUGUAAGUUGACUUUGUUUCUUGGAUAAUUCUACAUAGUGUGCAGUUGCUGAGAAGUGUUAAGGCAUUCUUGUUACAUGAAUAAUUCAAUAGUUUGACCCCUGGAACUAUGUGUAGUUGUGUACUGUCACAAUGCCUGAACUAGUCGCAGCAUUUUUUGUCCUUGUUUUUCUUCAAUGGGGUCUUUUGACCAACUGAUCUUGAUGCUUAUGGCCUGUGGCUGACAACUGAGUGGUGCUACAUUCAACAGUUUAUAACAAUAUUAAAAACUCAAUAACAUUAUGGAAACAUCUAUUAGUUACCUUUAGCUUGUCACAUGGGGUCGCCAAAGCUCACAAGCAGCUCGGCUCGGGUUUUAAAUCAUCACAUGUCUUGACAAUAAAAGGAAACUCAGCAACAUAACUGCCUAAUUUUGAACUGGUAGCUGCACUUUGUUUCCUAUGCCACAGGUUUAUCAAGUUGAUAAUAAAAUUUGACUAGACCGACUCAGCAAUGAGUGACUCAAGAACAAACAAAUUUCAAUAGCAAUAGUUACACACAGUAGUCAUGCAUUGCUGGACAUGUCAGUAUGUUUAAAUCUUUGUCAAAUUAUUUCAUAAAUAAACUUUAGCUGACCCUGCAUGCCAAUCAAGCUUAAUUGAUACAGACGAUACUGAUGACUGAAUCAGGCUGUCUUCUGUAGUUCUGUGGCUCAUAGUUUCAUAAUCUAUUAAGCAUCUUUAUUUGCUUUAUCGAAAGAUAAGAAAAUAUUAUUUCUAGUUCUAUUAUUGGGCUAUUACAUUAGGUUGAGUGGUGUGAAAACUGUGAAUUGAAUAUGCUCUUAUUUUUUUCCUUGUUAUGUUAGAUGUACAGAUCUAUCAGCUAUGCCUUAAAUGUUAUUUACUGACACAGUUAUUAGGUGCUUAUGAUUGUGCUAUAAUUAACUAGCAGUGUAUAGGUUAUAAGAAUGCAACUGCAUGAAUCUAGUACCUGGUACAUCACGACUACAAAGUUUUUUUUUUCUCGAACACGCAGGGAAGCAGCGUAUCAUUAUAUAUUAAGAAGAAGAAAAGGGGGUAUAUAAAACCCCAAAACCCAAACAACAACAACACACACUGCACCUCACUCAAAAAACCAUUGCUCGCCUAUUACAAAAAGACUUGACCUCGACCGAGAAAGAGAGCCCUAGUUUGCACUUGGCACUAAAGCGAGGAGAUGAGAAAUUUCUCUAGCCCCAGCCAGACUCCAUAGAAGUAACUCCUCUCUAAUGAGCAACAGAGCAACAUUUAGGUUGGGGGUAAUCCCAUCAAACACGCACAGAACACCAUUCAGGUUGGGGGUAAUCCCAUCAAGCACACAGUGAUUGUGAUGAUUCCAGAUUGACCAGCCACCAAAAUUUUGAUAGAAUUGAGACCUUUUUUAAUCUGACCAUCACAAUUACAAAGUGAUCUUGUGGUAUUUGAAUAUAGCUUGUUGAAGCUGGGCAUGAUAUUUAGCACUGAAUCUGGGGACUUUGUAUGGUGAUACAGUUUAGUUGGAUAUGAACAUCCGAUGAUUUUCCCCAUUUGUUGGAAUAUAUAAAUAUAUAGAUAGAUUAAUGAUCUAUGCCUUAAAGAUAUCUCAUUCAUUAUGUUAUUCGCUGUUGCUUGUGGUGACACAUGACAGUUGUUGGGGACUUAGGUUUUGUGCUACAAUUUUGCCUGUGUUCUGAAUUCUAUGUCUAAAAUGGUAUGAUACUAGUACCCAGUACACAUAAAAAAAAUAUAUAGUUGGUAUUUGGAUAUUAGCUUGGUUGGACACGACAUUUAGCACAUACUCUGGGGACUGUGUAGUGCCAUUGCUAAGUCUUUGUGGUCUGUGCAUCAUUUGCUGUUAACCCUGCUGAUAAUAUUACUAUGGGACAUUUGACUAAUUUUCUCUUGAUGUUCCUGUAGUAAUGUGAAGAAAGAGAGCUGCUUCUUCCCCAUCCCUCAGGCGGCAGAAUGCAUUCUGCGAAUCGUUGAGAAGGCUAAUGCACCUGUGAUAUAUUUAUCUACCGAUGCUGCUGAGAGUGAAACAAAUCUUCUGCAGUCCUUGGUUGUAUUCAACGACAGACAAGUCCCUCUUGUGAAGAGGCCAGAGCACGACAGCUCUGAGAAAUGGGAUGCCUUGCUACACAGAAACCACAUUGGCGGAGAUGUUCAGGUACAUAUAUGGUCUUUUGUAGUUUUUCUCAUGUUGAGUGUGACAGAUUUACUAAACAACAAUACGCUUCUGUAAUGCUUGUUCAGGUUGACGCGAUGCUUGACAAGACGAUCUGUGCACUAUCAAACGUAUUCAUAGGAUCAUCAGGGUCCACCUUCACGGAGGACAUCUUCCGGCUGCGGAGGGGCUGGGGAUCAGCGUCGCACUGUGACGAGUACCUCUGCCAGGGUGAGCUGCCUAACUACAUAGCAGAGGUAGACUGAGAAGGCAACUUCCCAGGAGGAUCGAUAGCUGCAAUUUUCCCCCGUCGUGUCCAUAUGUUCUGUAAAGAAUUGGCGGUGUGUACAUCUAGUGUGAUUUGUGGUAGAGUGGUCUCGGGUCGUCCAUUGAUUUGAUCGGUGUUAAUUCUUACACAGGUAGGUAAUACAAAGAGCUUUGAGAAUUUUUCUUUACUGUUGUUUCUUGUUUGUGCAGUAUUUAACCUUUAGAUGACGCUGGUGCAGCGUUCUGGUUCAGUACUAAUUCUUGAUUUUUUUCAUUGUUUUACUGUCAUUGAUGUACUGGAACUUGCAUAGUGUCAUGCUGAUUCAUGUCCAAAUCAUGAGAUUGUUACUUUUUGAAGCAAAUGGGGUUGGGAUAUGGGCCUAGCUGCGGCCCUGAACAACGCAGGCCCAGAGCUCUGCUGAUUCACUACAGUACUACACAGGCCCGAAAGACUCCCGUGAACCUAAAAUAGUGCAUGGCCCGAGAUUCCACGGUUUGCUUUGCACCCGAUCGCUUCUCGGGCUGUCGCCCGGCUCUGCCGCCCGCGCGCGCCCUCCACUCGGCGCUAAAGAGUACUCCCUCCGUCCAAAAAAAAAGUCGUUUUAGAAUUUCAGACAUUUUGUGUGACCAUCUGUCUUAUUCAAAAAAUUUACAUAAAUAUUAUAUAUUUUGUUAAGACUUAUUUUAUCAUUACAUAUACUUUACUAAUGAUUUAUUUAUUUUAUAAUUUACACAAAAAUUUUGAAUAAGACGAAUGGUCAAACACGAUGUCUAAAAGUCAAAAACAUCACUCUUUUUGGGACGGAGGCAGUAAAGACUAAGGGCUCGUUUAGUUGGCGAAAAUUUUUGGCUUUAGCAUUUUCGUUUGUAUUUAAUAAUUAUUGUUCAAUUAUAAACUAACUAAGCUCAAAAAAUUCGUCUCGUAAAUUAUAGAUAAACUGUGCAAUUAGUUUUUAUUUUUAUCUAUAUUUAAUAUUUUAUGCAUACGUCUAAAGAUUCGAUGUGACGAAUAAUCUUGAAAUUUUUUGGAAACUAAAUAAGGCCUAAAGAGGGUCUUAGUGACGUGUGCAAGCUGCACCUCGUGCCCUUGCAUUUCGGAACAGUAAACUAGCAAAACGCAGUCAAGGGUUUAAGGCCUUGUUUAGUUCCAAAAGUUUUUGCAAAAUCGACACUGUAGCACAUAUUUGACAAAAAUUGUCCAAUCAUGGACUAACUAGACUCAAAAGAUUCGUCUCGUCAAUUUCGACCAAACUGUACAAUUAGUUUUUAUUUUCAUCUAUAUUUAAUACUCCAUACAUGCGUUUAAAGAUUCGAUGUGACGGAGAAUCUAAAAAAUUUUGCAAAACUUUUUAGGAACUAAACAAGGCCUAGGAUGGGGUAGUAUUCCAAAUUAAUACAUAUGGUUCUUCUUUAGUUUAAGUUAUACUAGAGAAAAAUCUUAGAUAUCUAUUUGGAGCACCAUCUUCAUCAAUCUUCCGAUCUUGAUCUAGCCUGGCCGUCUCCUCUGCCAUCUUCAUCUCGCCGCCGUCUCGGCGUCUGGUCUGUCGGCCACCUCAGAGUUUUUUUCGAGCAUGGGAUGAGGAAGAAGAGAGGGCAGAAAUGCGGCCGUUGGCAGUCGCUACCUGCGCGCGCGCGCCGUCGUCAACGGUCACAAGUGGCGUGCGAUGUGUUGCCUGCGGCCUGUGACUGCCGUUGUCGUCGGUCGCUGCACAAAGCCGUUCAGAGAACCAGAAUGAUUGAUUGAUUAUCCCAAACCUACUAGCAGCUACAGUAGCUCCCUAUUUGUCCACACGUUUUUCUUUAAUUUUGAUGGAUGAACAGAUGUUUUGAAAAAUGCUGAACCAUCUUUGACUCUUUGUUGUUGCACACCAGUGCCUAUUGAAAGCAUGACAAGUACACAGGAGUAGGGAGUACUCUCCUAUUCAUGGUGAAUUGCCGGCAGACGGCAGCUGAGUUCGCGCGCGCCGGCGACCAGACCACGUCAGCCCAAUAGGCCGUGACCGGCUGGGGCAUACAUGCGCCUUGUUGAUGAUCGAUUAGUACGUGUACCUAUCAGGAUAUCGCCGUGUGUAUAUAUAAAUCUAUGCGUUGUCUUUGUACGCCAUUCGAAGAAGAUAGCUUGGGUAUUGGUCUCCGAACGCAUCGACAUCGUGUAAAUAUAUUCUACUCUAUGGACGCGUCGAUAUCGUGUAAAUAUAUUCUACUCUACGUCACCUCAGUUCCAAGUUAUAGAUUAUUUUGUUUUCUAUAGAUAAUUAAAUUUUAUUAUAUAUAUAGGUAUAGCAUAUAUCUAGAUGUGUAUAGGUAUAACUAAUGAAUAUAUAUAUAUAUAUAUAUAUAUAUAUAUAUAUUUGUAUAUACUUUGAAAAGUGAAAAUAAAUUAGAAUUUACGGUCUCUCGGAGUAGUUGUUUGUUGAGCGCAUGCACUCCCCUCAUUUUGGGAAGACCUCCGAUAUAUGCCAUGCCGAUUGCCGUUUGCUGGCACCUUGCUCGGUUUCGUUAGGCAAAGUACAGGAUCACCAUGGUCCGUGAGCAUAGUAGUACUACUGUGAAGAACGUGAUUUACCAUGGCACUACGGUGUCGGUUGUUUUGACCUUUUUUUUUUACAACAGACUCUGGUUCGUGAGCAUAUAGUAGUACUACCGCUAGCCUUCCGUCAGUCAGUGGAGGUCGACUCUGGUGCCAAGGAAACAAGCAGUAGUGUCGGUAACGGAGAGUCGAAGACGCGUGCCAGGCUGCCGGCGUGCAUGACUGGCCAUUUCGUAGUCGGGCUUUCCUAUGACACGCUACGGACCGCCGGGCCAUAGCCCAUAGCUCCUCGGUCGCGGUUUGCCUCCUCCCGUGGUCCGUCGCGCCGGCAAUGUCUGUGCAUCCCCAGAGUACCGUUACAUGUGUGAUGUCUCCGGCCGCGUCACAUGUCGGUCGGAGGCUCCGGAUCUGAGCGAGCGAUAGGCGAGGUGGCAACUGUUGCAUACAGUACGCUCUGGCCGUUGACAGCAGCCAGGACGGCACGCGCGGCCGUGUGAAACCGCUGGCUUGAACCCCCGCGGGCACAAGCACAACAAGCCCACUACGGGGAAGGGGAAGCACGCCUCCGCUUUGCUCUUGCCGUUUUCCUCGCACGGCGGGAAUCAAAUCUGUGGAUCGAAUGGACCGGGUCGAUCCCACCACCAAACAGUGGAGCUGUGGAGGCGAUCUGGCGCGGGCGGCCCCGCCGCUUCCCCUACCCCAUGUGCGGCUUUCUCGUCUGCUUCCCCGGCAGGCACCCAGCCCCACACCGACCGCACUGAUGAUUCACCGCCAGUCCGCCACACUCCACUGCUCCACGUACGCACCCACGUCCAUCUCGUCCGUCGUGUCGCCGCCCCCUCCACCCCAGGGAAAAAGACGCGGGGAAAAAACCUGAGGGCGGGCGGCGAAAACCAGGGGAAAACCAUCGUGCUCGUGUCGUGUCCUCGCGUGCACCAAAGCGGAUGUGGAGCGCGUGCCGUGCUAGAUCACGUGUCUCCGUCACGGCAGCACCCGGCUGCGGCCUUGCUGAGCGUAACGUCAGCUCGACUGGAUGGCAACGCCACACACAAUCAGAGCCUAAUUAUUACACGCGGUGCACACUGCCCGGUUUGGCUCUUAGCUUGUCUUUAUCAACUGUAUUUUUUCUAUUUUUCUCCUAUAAUAAACCAGUUAAAAAUAAUUUUAGCUAUGAUUUUUUAGACCAACGAACAAGCUCUAUUAGUUCUAAAAUUUUUAAGACUUUUGUCGUAUUAAAUCUUUAGACAUAUACAUAGAGCAUUAAAUAUAGACAAAAAAUAAAAACUAAUUGUGUAGUUUGUCUAUAAUUGUCGAGAUAAAUCUAUUAAUCUUAAUUAGUCUAUGAUUAGAUAAUUGUUAAAUACAAAUAAAAAUUCUACAAUAGUCAAAGACAAAAAAAAAUUACAAACUAAACAAGGCCAAAGAAAUAGUGAUGCAAACACGGCCUGACGUGCUACAGAGAUUCUAGAUUAGACCUUAUUUAGUUCUGAAAAGUUUUUUAGAUUUAGCUACUGUAACAUUUUUGUUUAUAUUUAAUAACUAUUAUUUAAUCAUAAAUUAAUUAAACUCAAAAGAUUUGUUUCAUAAAUUAUAGACAACCUAUGCAAUUAAUUUUUGUUUUUUUCUAUAUUUAGUGUUUUAUACAUGUGUCCCAAUAUUCAAUGUAAUGAAAAAUUUGAAAAAGUUUUUAGAUUUUAGGUGAACUAAACAGGCCUUAGUAGCAACACGUCUCACUCGUACGGAUAUGUAGGCUAGCUGAUCAGGUGAGCUUUGCUGUUCUUCAAUUCGCCGAGAAAAAAUUCCAGACUUUGUUAAUUUGAUUGAUAAACUAUAAUAAAAAAUAUUGUUGACCAAUUUGUUAUGAGAAAAAAAAAACAUUGCUGAAUGGCUGUCAGAUUCGAUUGAUAACUCAAACAGACGGAUGCGUUGAGGAGAUUAUUACCAUGGGAACUUGGUACGAUUAGGGGCAUAUAAUAGCUUUUCAUUUGCUUAUCACACUUGAUUGCUGAUUUGUCCAGUUUUUGUCUAAAGCAGGUGUGUAAUCUUAUCGUCGAUAUUUAAAUCCAGUCAAGAAAAAUCCAAAAGUUCUGAAGGACAAACUCUAAACUCUACUUAUAGUAUUAGAGAGAAAAUAAUAAUAAUAAUAAUAAUAAUAAUAAUAAUAAUAAUAAUAAUAAUAAUAAUAAUAAUAAUAAUAAUAAUAAUAAUAAUAAUAAUGGAUGAAAUUAUUAUUAUCUAAUUUAUUGUAAAAAAACUGUUGACUGACAGAAAAAAUACGGUUAAAAAGAAAAGCGAACGGCCAACACAGCCUCACGGUUAACGCCUUUGCGUCUGGAUAAUGCUCCAGUUCGCCGGUCAAAGGCAACCCACAAUAGCACUUUUCCGCUUAACAGGCUUUUUUAGUUGGAGAAAAAUUUUGAUUUUAGCUAUUAUAACACUUUUGUUUGUAAUUAAUAAUUAUUAUUUAAUCAUAGAUUAACUAGGUUUAAAAAAUUUUUCUUGUAAAUUAUAAAUAAUAAAUUAUAUAAUUAGUUAUUUUUUUGUCUUGAGUAUAUUUAAUAUUCUAUGUAUAUAUUCAAGCUUUAAUGUAACAGAAAAUCUUAAAAAAAAUCGAUCUAAACAAGGCGACGCCUGCACUGGUCGGCAAGCAAGACGGAAAAAUCUCUUUUCAGCCGCCGCGAGCAGCCCGCGCCGGGACGACGGUGCUAGGGUGGCGCGAGCGAGCACGGAAGAGCCGUACGGAUCCCGCACGGCGCCACGGCCCCACGAGGCCACGACCACGCGUGGGCGGGCCCGUCCAACGCGGCGGUGGGCGCAAAGCAAAAGCGGCCAAAUCCUCCGUGACGAGCGGGCCCCGCGUCGACGCGGUGGCGCGCCCGACACGUCGUCCGCGACGGGGACCGGACGCCGAGCUUUUCCUUGUGGGAGUGGCCGUGGGCGGGGAGCCGUCACGUCGCGGAGGCGCAAUUAUUUUACUAUGCAAAAAGAAAAAGAAAAAAAAAGGCGCGCGAGCGAGCCAGCGCGGGUGCCGUCGCCGUACAAGCUUGGGGAUUCCGUACGGGGCGGCGUGUACCGCCCGUCCGUCCAGGUCCACCACCACGUCCGGGCCCGCGGGCAGCGUGGCGUCACUGGCGCGACCACGAGGGGGGCAUGUGCGCGUGCGCUGCCCGGGGCUGCUGGCUGCUGCAGCGAACACCGCGCGUGGCCUCUGGUUUUCUGCCGCCUGGACGGAUCGGUGUGCUGGCUUGUGGCUUGUCCUUUUUAACGAGGCCACAGGCCUGCCCCACUCAACAGUCAACAGUAGUAGGCCUAAAAUGACCCCUUAUUUAGUUCACUAAAAACCAAAACUUUUUAAGAUUUUCGGUAACAUUAAAUUUUACGGUACAUAUAUAUAUAUAUAUAUAAAGCAUUAAAUAUAAACGAAAAUAAAAAUUAAUUACAUAGUUUUCUGUAAUCAUAAGAUGAAUUUUUUUAGUCUAGUUAGUCUAUGAUUAGACAAUAAUUAUCUAAUAAAAACAAAAACUACAGUAUACAAACAAAAAAAAUCCGACGAAGUUUUGCUAUCCAAACUAACGCAUUUGUCAAGUUAAUCCGGUCACGAAACAAACAUUAAAAAAACACGAUGAGUCCAGUUACUUGUAGGCACCACAGGCUGUUGCUAUUGCUGAGUACCGUGAAAGUCAAGCCGGACGUUACGAUUGACACGGACUAUUCACGGCAAGCUUGAUGAAUGCUGGCCGCAUCCACCCACUGCCGGAAUAAAAUCCAUCAGAUCUUCCGACCCCACUUUGUUAAAACGUGAGGAUUAACAACAGAUGACUAAAGGGAGAUACAAAAUAAUACACUAAAGCCUGCAGCUUGUAUCAAUUCCAGAUGUGCUGAAACUACAUGUCAUUAUUUUAUAACAAGAAAAGGCAGCGCCAUAGCUGUAGAUAAUAAUAUUUAUAUGUGCACGCCAAAGAUUUUCAGGAUUGGUUUAUAUACACUAUUUAUUUAAAAAUUCUGAAUACUGCAGCUGCUAGCUGCGGCAUGCCACGUGAAGAGGAUAGGAGGGUAAGGGACAACGUGGCAAGUUGGCUCAGUCAAGUGAUAUGUCAAACCUACAAGGAACUUCUCCCUCUAUUCUAAAUUACAAAAUAUUUCGGCGUUUCAAGAGAUAUUGUUUUUAUUAUACACUUAAAUAUACAUUGUGUCUAACCACAUAGUAAAAAUAAUAUAUUUAAAAACGUCAAAAUGUCUUAUAGUUUCAAACGAGAAGUAUUUGUUUUGGCAGAGCCUCCACGGAUUAGUACUCUCUUUAUCCGAUGAGGGCAAUGGAUAAUAGUCAGUCCCAAAACAAAGACAAGGAAGAACUAAUAUGUAUGGCCUCAUGUGAUGCCAUUUUGCAUUUUUGGGGGGCUAAUUGGAUUUGGAAUUCGAGGACCACUUAGAUCAACCAAAAUAAACCAAGUGUAGGAUAUUCUAAGGCACUAUGUUUACAGAUUUCUAAAUUUCUCAUGCUAUUUGCAGUGUAAAACCAUUACUGACGCAUUGAAAUUAUACUAUUGGGUGCUUGAUUUUUUUGACAAAUAUAUAGAGGCCUUUACAUCCUACAAUUGUGAUUAGGCUAUCACAGUUCCAUGAUUGUUUGGAGGUAUCAACCAAAAGAAUCUAAGAAAAAGGGCAAGUUGUAGAACAUGGGUCAUGGCUUGCCCAUAUGGCUAAUACUAGUAUGUUGCCUUUUUCUAUGGGUAUGAAUGGACCACGAUGGCCCAAAUGUAUUUGCUUGGGGGAGCAUAGCAUUUAGUUGGGUUUCAGCAUCAGGGAGCAGACAAAACAAAGGGGCCUCUCCAACUCAGCACAUGACAGGUCGUUUUUACGUUGUAAAAAAAAAAACAGGUCGUUUUUCCUUUGAUUUCUCCCUUCUGAAGCAGAUUUGCUACACAAAAAGACAAAUACUCAACAAGAAAAGGUCCCACGGUAUUUAAUAUUUUAAUAUAAUUCUUGUUAGACCACCAGUUCUCGGAAAGUUGGCUGAUAAAAAAUAAGUACAUAGACAUUCUUUAACUGCUUCAAUAGCUUUCCCCUGUAUUUAAGUUAUUGUUAUGUUAUGUUAAAGUGAACAUUGUUUUAAAUAGUGGGUUAUAAUAAAAUUAUAGUGACUAACUUCAGCUGUCGCUAUGGGCUAAACCAGUAGUAGAGCUCUCCGCUAAUGCUAUGACCCGCUUUUAGAACACUAAAAAUGAGCUACCAUUUUCAUGACGAGUUUGUUUGAGAUCAAAUAUAAUAAAACGAAAUCACCUGUAGCCUUUACCUUAACUUUAAAGCAAAUGGGAUUGUCACAUCCUUUCGUUUUAAAUUUGUAAGCUAUUUUGGCGUCUAGACAUGUGAUUUUUAUGAGCAAAAACUAUGUAACUAUAUAGUAGAAGACAAAUAAUGGUUCACAAUCUAAUCUAGAACAGAGAUAGUAGUAGCUUUCACAAUUUGCUCUGGAAAUUAUUUACCAUUUCCCCUAUUAUUUGCACCACAUUUUUAUGUUUAUAAUUAGUGAUUUUUUAUGGUGCUUGGAAAAUAGUAUAGCCAUCCAUUUGGAUAUAUCAGAUGACUAUAAAAUAAGAAGAACCAAUAUAGAGAAACUUAAGUUGUGGUCCGAAACUUAAAACAUGUGGGCCAAGAACCCAAAAUAUAUUAGUUAGGAAUUAUUUUUGAAAUAAAUUUAAAGGAUAGGAUCGUACUUUCGCUUCCCUUAUCUCCCAGUUCUUUCAUGUCUCUGCGACUCUGCGGCUCCCUCGGCGCCGUCCUGCGUGGCCUGGGCCAGGAUGUCCGAGCAGGAGACGGUGGCGGGGCACUUCCGCUCCAUCGCUGAUUUUAUCACGGCGAUCGACGUCGCACCCUCCUCCUCGACUUCCUCCUGGCCGAAGCAGCAAAUGGAGGCAACUCACGUAUCCGUUAGCACGGCACAGCCGUCUCAUGUAGUUACAGCCGUCGAGCGCGACGCGACGAUACAAUUUUGGACCUGUCUAAAUUCCUGCUUCCAUCAGCAUUUGUUGCCCUGUGUUCUCGCCGUGCGGCACUAAACCCGGCGAAGACGAGCCGAAAUGAAAAUUUUUUUGACCACUGUAGAUUUUUUGUUUAUUUGUGAUAAAUGUUGUCCAAUUAUGGUCUAACUAGAUUCAAAAGAUUCAUCUCAUAAUUUACAGAUAAACUGUGUAAUUAGUUUUUGUUUUUAACUAUAUUUGAUGUUUAAUUUAUAUGCCGCAAGAUUCGAUGCGACGAAAAAUUUUGAAAAGUUUUUGGUUUUUGGGUAACAAGGCUUAAUUGGGACUUUGUCUGCCGCCCUCGCCGCUCCAUCCUGCCAUCUCCCCAUGGUUGGCCAUUGGCGGCUACCGCUGGACUGCUCCACGCUAGACCCCGCCGCCCGCACUAGCUGCCUCAGAGAGUUAUCGUGUAAAAAAUGGACUAAAUUGCCCUUAAUUACUUUUCCUAAUCAACAAAUGCUGCAAAUAAUUUUCAAGGGAGGAACCGGUGCUUAACUAAAUUGCCCUUAAUUACUUUUCCUAAUCAACAAAUGCUGCAAAUAAUUUUCAAGGGAGGAACCGGUGCUUCCUCCCAAGCACCGUAGCAAAGCUCUUAUAAUAAACAGUCGGCUUAAAGCGACCUGCAAUAUCUAUUGAUUAGUGUUAAGAGCAACUGCAAUAACCAGACCAUGUCAGGUUUGAAUAAUCACCCAACUAAUAACCUACCAUCAUAUCUAGAAUCCCAUGCCCCCUACCAGCAAUAUCAGAAUUAAAAAAUACAGUCAAGUUAAUCUGAGUAAAAAAUUCCAGUAAAAUCAUCUGCCUUUUCCAUGGCAUCUCACGCGCAUCGAUCUAAUCAGCCUUUGCUUUAGCGUUUAGCCUCAUGCGGGUCAUGCUCUUCAUCCCCAUCUGCAUCCUCCCUCGGUCCCUCCCCCUCUCUCUCUCUGCCCACAGCCCCACACCAUGUGUGCCCAGAUUCCCCUAAAUAGGUCUCUCUCUACUGCAUCAGUCCCCUCUUCCCCUUCCCUUUCCUCAGUCCCUAUCCGCUGCUGCUAACAGCAGAACAAGCUGCGGCACGGAGGUGCGCUCUCCCCGGCGGUAGUUUUGGGAGCUGCAGGAGGAAGAAGCGAGAGCUAGAGCUGCAAGGAUGAUCGGUGCCAACACCAACGCCGCCGUCUACCCGUGCCCGGAGUACGCGGAGGUCGACCCCACCGGCCGGUACGGACGGGUAUGGAAUCGCCGCUACCACUGCACCUCCUCCUAUCACCGGUUUUUUGAUCCGUCUGCUCACCAAUCCGCUGAUCCGUUUCCCUGCACUUCUUUUCCUCUUUAUUUAUCGCAGUUCAGCGACGUUCUUGGCAAGGGCGCGUCCAAGAUUGUGUAAGAUCCGGCUCUGUUCUCGCCAAAGCCGCGGGCUUGAAUUCAUUUCGCUUGCCCACCGAGUCUCUGAUCCGAGGUGCGUAUGCGGGGACUGCAGGUACAGGGCGUUCGACGAGUACCAGGGGAUGGAGGUGGCGUGGAACCAGGUGAAGCUGCACGACUUCCUGCAGAGCCCCGAGGACCUGGAGCGGCUCUACUGCGAGAUCCACCUCCUCAAGACGCUCAAGCACCGCAACAUCAUGAAGUUCUACACCUCCUGGGUCGACGUCUCCCGCCGCAACAUCAACUUCAUCACCGAGAUGUUCACCUCCGGCACCCUCCGCCAGUAAGCGACCAACCUCCUCCGCUCCUGUAACGCCUAAAAGUUGUUGCCUUUUCAUGUCUCAAGUUGCAGAGAGUCCCUUUUUUUCCUCGCCCGUCGCAAAAAGUUUCGUCGUCGUCUUUUGUUUCCCCUUCUCUCACUCUCUGCUUGGUUGCUUCUUGGACUGAUCGAUUGUGGUUACGCGUCUGGUGGUGAUUUAGGUACAGGCAGAGGCACCGGAGGGUGAACAUAUGGGCGGUGAAGCACUGGUGCCGGCAAAUCCUCAGCGGCCUGCUGUAUCUGCACAGCCACAAUCCACCCAUCAUCCACCGGGACCUCAAGUGUGACAACAUCUUCGUGAACGGCAACCAGGGCGAGGUCAAGAUUGGCGACCUCGGCCUCGCCGCCAUCCUCCGCAAGUCCCAUGCCGUCCAUUGCGUGGGUAAGCCAUCUGAUUAGCUAGUUAGCCCGAAAUUAUGUUGUCUGAGCACACUAGCAAUAGCUAUGCGGUAAUUUGAUGGGGGCUAGAUAUGUUGGAUUGGUUGAAUAGGUACACCGGAGUUCAUGGCACCGGAGGUGUAUGAGGAGGAGUACAACGAGCUGGUGGACAUCUACUCGUUUGGGAUGUGCGUGCUCGAGAUGGUCACAUUUGAGUACCCAUACAGCGAGUGUACACACCCGGUGCAGAUAUACAAGAAAGUGAUCUCUGUAAGAAGAUGCCUGGACCCUAUAAGCCAUUCCACAUCAACUGCGCCUCUGGUGUGCAGUUUGACAUGAUUUUCCUGAUUUCAGUUAGUUGUUUGAUUUGGUAGGGUACUAAGCCAGAAGCUCUGUACAAGGUGAAAGAUCCAAUGGUGAGGCACUUCGUCGAGAAGUGCCUGGCAACGGCCUCUCAGAGACUGUCAGCGAGAGAACUGCUUGAUGAUCCCUUCCUACAGGGUGAUGACGUGGCUGUUUCUUUGGAUGGUGGAGAUUAUCAUGUACCUUCCAAUUAUAUACGGCAGCCUUCACAUUUAGGGCAUACCUAUAGUAAUGGCUCCACGAUGAGUAAUGGAUUUUCGGAAAGCAUUUAUGAAGAUGCUUUGAGUGAAGACUGCGAGGAUGAUGACAUAAAAGGCCAAGAUGGCAUUGACUUGUUCAAAGAGAAUGAAGAUGAGCCUCUUGGCAAUUUGGAUAUAACAAUCAAAGGGAGAAAGAGUGAGGAUGGAGGCAUAUUCCUCAGAUUGCGGAUUUCUGAUAAUGAUGGUAUGCACACUUUGUAAUGCAUAAAGUUCUGAAUUAGUCCAUAUAUGAAAAUAUGUUUUGUUAUUAUUGAAAGCUAAUUUUUCAUAUUUGCAGGACGGGUACGCAACAUCUAUUUUCCUUUCGACAUUGAGGCUGAUACCGCACUAAGUGUUGCAACGGAAAUGGUAGCCGAGCUGGAUAUAACUGACCAUGAAGUUACUCGAAUUGCUGACAUGAUUGAUGGUGAGGUCAGUGCAUUGGUACCAGAUUGGAGGCCUGGUCCGGGCAUAGAGGAAGCUCCUGACACUUCAUACUGCCAUAACUGUGGAUCCAACGUGUCAUCGUGUGGUUCACUUUACGCCUACAUGUCAUCAGGCCGUCAAGGUUGCCAAUGUGCAGAGCUACAUGGGCGGUUUGAGGAGAUCACAUUCCAAGCAGAUGGAGAGCAGUGUGAUUUGCAGGAAUCUGCAGGCAGCUCUGAUGAUGGAGGUGGCCAAACAGAGCAUUAUGUCAAAAGCAAGGAGUCCACUCAUGUGAAUGGCCUUGUACAGAUGGGUAGAAGAGAUCUUUCUAAUCAGCUUUGCUUCAGUUCAUUUCAAGAGCAAUCAUGUUCAUCUAACCGUUACGAGAAUGACAAUAACCAUCACACAAAUGGGUUCGACAUGAAGCAUGAGGUAAAGAUUGCCAAGUACAAAGCACGGAAAAUGGCACAGUUAAAGAGGGCUAUCCAUCCAUCUCUUGACUUUGACAAUGCAUAUGGAGUAAAUAGGAUGAAGCCUUCACUGAACAAGCUUCAAUCUUUCCAUAUUGGAAAGAACCACAGUUUCCGCGUGCCAACAAGCCCGAGUAAAGUAAGUAUGGAUUAUCAUUCUGACGUGAACAGCCAAGUAUGGCAUAGCAGGCACCCCGAUCCGGGAGCCCAAAGGGCCCGGCAUUGUGAGGUCAAUGCAGCUGGGAGCAGCCCGGAUUAUGUGUUUACAGCGAGGCGCUACUAUACUGGAGCUCAGUUGCCGCCAAAUCUCCCGAGAACAAAAUCUGUACCCCCCCUAAGUGCUGUCGACGCCUGAAAUGCUCUUGCCCUGUAAAUUUUAUAGAGUGUACAUCUGUUUUGGUUCUUUUUGUAUCCAUUAUGAAACAUAGUUGUUUAGCAGGAGACUGAAUGUGACGAGGCUGAGCUGUUUGUAAAUUUCCAUCUUGUGAAUCCACAGAGGUUAGGCUGUACAAGUGCAAUCUACAUCAUUUGCCUCACUGGGACAACCUGUUUUAUCCUCCUUAAUAUAGGCGAGAGCCUUUCUUUCACAUCUUCGGAUUUCAGGGAUGCAAAGUUACUGUUACUUAAUUGAGUAGGCAGAAACAAAGCCAGUGCCAGAACUGAUCACAUGAUCAAAAUCAUGAGCUGGAGCUCUAUCAGGUACUAGAUGUUACCUAUGAAAGGGACACCCAUCUCUCCUAGUUGCAGUUGAAUAUACAUCAAAUCUGCAUCGAAGGUACAGACAUGCCAGCCUAUGCAUUUGCAUUGCCAAUGCCAACUGCUGCAUGGAUGCUACACUAAUCAAUUGACGCUUUCAUGGCAUGACCCCAUCCUGAUCAUUUGGCAUUUGGCAACCCCACGUUCCUUUGAUUCUUUCUCCGAUGCUCUUUUUUUCAUGCUAAAAAUAUAUUGUUCGCUUGAGACUGGAAAAAAUGGGAAUUAUUCGAGUAUUGACAGAUAUUUAAGCAUCACUUACAGAAGCUGCUUAUAGAUUUUUCUUUUUAUGGCCGUAUACUUUCUUUGUCCAGCAAGGGAUGUCCACCACAUGCCGCCUGAUAAUUCAUUAAUUCAGUUGUCUAGAUCGAGAUCGCUAUAGGAGACGCAGCGAUUGGACCACAUCUUGGGACUUGGAGGCUUGCAACUUGCAUGUAUGGCGUGCCUGAGGCCGGAUCAGGACAGAAGUGUCCAUAUAUCCCCAUAGAUAAUUUAUGAGGAAUUUAGGAAAAUAGGUGAUCUUGUUUGGAGUUCAAGGAGAUCUUUUCAUCCUCUUCUUCUGUCUGUGUUUGCCACAUUUUGACAGUGCCCAAGUCACUUACAGUUUAUGUUUGGGUCAUCAACAAGAGGCAGAAGUGAAGAACUGGUCGUCGUCGGAUCUGAAAACCGAUCUGAACUGGAAAUGCUAUUAUCAAAUCAAAGGAACCAUAACUAGUUAUGAAACUAUAAUUAAUAGUGUUUCCAUUUGAUAUGGACAAAUCUGUGGUCAUGAAAAGCGGUGAUGCAUGUGAAGACGAGUCAAAAGUGACAGUUUUAAGGAACUCCAAAAGCCAUGAUAAAGUGUUUCAUAACAACAAUAAGUGCUCAUACAUCUAAUCAACCAACCUUUUGAAGGUAGUGCGGUGCUUAGAGGUAUAUAUUCAGAUAAGAUUGGAUUUGAAGCAGUCAAGCACCAAGUUAGGCUGAGGAUGGUAGGAAGUGAAAGGUGCAGCACUGCCCUUUCUAACAAUUGUUGAAUAAUUCAGUCAGCCGAUGGUCUUGUGCACGGUUGGCCUGCCGAAAACUGAUUGGUUCAGUGGGUAGAAGGGGGACGGCUCUCCUGCCUGGCUGCUUUGUGUGAGGAGCAUUGCACGUUGUCCUGCUGCUUGAUUCAGAAACUUCAGCAAUAACUGGCCAUACAAUAUAUUCAAAAGAUAACAGAUCUGGUUGUUGCCUCCCCAAUAUGUGUCUUCAUCGUGUGGUUCAGUUUUCCUCAUCAUAUGGAAAAUAUGUGACUGGAAGCUAACAACAGUUCCUGCAAAUCGGAGCUGCCUGAUUGUCUGAAAAAGGAAAAAGAAAAAACCUACUAGAAGCAUGAUUUUCAAGAAAAAACACAACUUUUUUUAAUUGCAGAAUGACAAACUGGUCUGGCUCCUCGGUGGCAAAAGCAUGUGUAGGAUAGGAGUAGGGCAUGGAAAGGCUAUGACCUUAUCCAGAAAUGCGGAUGAGGAGGUUACUCUCUUGAGAACCACCACCACCACACCGCCAAGAUUCCAAGAACCGGAUUGCUAGAUAGGGGUAGAUAGAAUAGAGAUGCAGUAGAGUCUACUGUUUGUUACCUACAUCUGCAUUGUCCCCAACCUAACUAAAGCAUUCUUUUCUGAUACGGCAAAAAGAUACCAUGCUUUUUUUUGAGAGGAUAUGAAGGAAAAGCUCUUCAUGCCAUCCAGCCGAUAGAGCUGCAGGUACAAAGUGCAGUGUAUGUAUAUUUCACGUUUUGUUUUGAAAAAAGAGACGAAAUUUACACGAGUUUUUGGCUUCCUGAAUGUGUUGUUAUAGGCAAAGCUGCCGCCGGACCUGAUGAUAAGGUAGUACGAGGCUGCUUUCUGCAAAGCUGCCUCGUCACUCAUCACUUAAUCAUAAGUUGAAGCAGCCUGCUUAGUGCUGACACGAUUGCAUUGGCCGUAAACUUUUGGACCUGCACCUUAUGUAUCGCAACACACAAAUGACAUCGACGUCUCGCCUAAUUCUGUAAUUCGGCGUCGUGAUUCACGCUCUUGUGCUGGUGUGUUUAUCCUCUUUGUGCACGUGGUCCGGAUCGGAUUCGGUGUGUAAAGUUCGAUGGUUUGGUAAGAACGGCCAGAAAUGCUUAACAUGAAAAGUUCCUGUAUCACCCAACAAAUUAUAUUGUCAAUAGUCCAUCAACUCAUUCUCACUAGCUAAGAUUAUAAGAGAUGUAAUCUUAUGAUGUCAUAAAUCUUGAUUUUGGUUUUCCAAAUUUUGAUCCUAUCGGUUGCUAUAGAUUUUUAUCAUUAAGUUAAUAAAAAUAUUGUGUUUAUCUUAUAUUUAUCAACUCCCAUUUUAUAUUUUAUUAAAAAUAAGAAUUUUAGGUCACUGUACUCUUAAAUAUUACAUUAAUCGACAUCAUGUUACUCAACAAGAUCAAUGAUAGAACUUGAACUGAGAUAUAUGAUGGGAUAAUGGAGGUAAAGAGGGAGUUAUUUUAUGUAUUUUCCUAUGGCAUUGGUGGGCAUUUUGUUAUAUAAAACAGAACUAGAGCUCAUUUAAGAAUUUUUUUUCAUGGUUGCUUUGAGGACGACAGGCUGGAGGUUUUCCUUGAAGGAUAGGUUUGUGGUACCUAAGUUUAUAAGCUUUUACCAACCCUAGCAAAUCUUUGAUAUUCUAUUAAUAAGCGGGACUAAGGCUUUGUUUAGUUUCUAAAAUUUUUUAAGAUUCUUCAUCACAUCGAAUCUUUAGACACAUGCAUAAAACAUUAAAUAUAGAUAACAAAUAAUUAAUUAUAUAGUUUGUCUGUAAUUUGUGAGACGAAUCUUUUGAGUCUAGUACUCUAGUUAGUUUAUGGUUGGACAAUAAUUGUCAAAUACAAACGAAAGUGCUAGCCAAACCUAGACAUUUUGACGAACUAAACAAGGCCUAAUCUUUUGGUUAAAAAAAUAUGUAGGCGAAGAGUCCCGGAGAAACUCUUUUUUUUCUUUAUUUUUCACAUAGCACAGCCAUUAGUUUCUUUUUCUUUUGAGAAACAGCACAGCAGUUAGGCUGGGUUGAUAAGGCCUUGUUUAGUUUCUGAAAAAUUUUGGUUUUCGGUAUUGUAGCAUUUUCGUUUGUAUUUGACAAACAUUGUCCAAUCAUAGACUAGCUAGGCUCAAAAGAUUCGUCUCGCAAAUUACAUGCAAAUUGUGUAAUUAGUUUUUGUUUUUGUUUAUAUUUAAUGCUUCAUGCAUGCGUCCAAAUAUUCGAUGUGAUGGGAAAUCUUGAAAAAUUUUAGGUUUUUGGUGGAACUAAACAAGGCCAGUUGGGGGAGAAACUUUAUGUUGAUGAGGUGAACUAAAAUGGAGCAUGAUUUCGUGGGGUUAUUCGCUUGAUGCUGCUGGAUGGGCCGAGAGUCCGAGACCAAGAGUCCCGAACUCCCGACGGCGACGGGUCAGCAUUAGGUUGGGCUUAUAUUAGGCUUCACCGUGUGAGUCGGCCCAAUAUCAGAAAUCGUUAAUGCGCCAGCAGCCCACCACUACAUAGGGAGCGGGUAAGCCUCAUGCCAUUUCCAGCAUUCUAGGUUUCCGUCUCGCCGCCACCGCCGCCAACUUGUCCCUCGCUCUCCCUCCUGCUCGCCGCAGCCGCCCACCGUUCGUCGCAACCGCCGCCAUGGGCCGCAUGUACGGGCCCGGGAAGGGCAUGUCCUCGUCGGUGCUGCCCUACGCUCGCGCCGCCCCUGGCUGGGUGAGGUCGACCGCCGCGGACGUGGAGGAGAUGAUCGUGCGCGCCGCCAAGAAGGGCCACCUGCCGUCGCAGAUCGGUGCGCUUCUCCGCGACACGCACGGCGUCCCGCUGGUCCACGGCGUCACGGGCGGCAAGAUCCUGCGCAUGCUCAAGGCCCGCGGCCUCGCGCCGGAGGUGCCCGAGGACCUCUACUUCCUCAUCAAGAAGGCCGUCGCGAUCAGGAAGCACCUGGACAGGAACCGCACGGACGUGGACGCCAAGUUCCGCCUCAUCCUCGUCGAGAGCAGGGUCCACCGCCUGAUCCGCUACUACCGCCGCACCAAGAAGAUCGCCCCCAACUUGAAGUACGAAUCCACCACCGCGAGCGCUCUUGUGGCGUGAUGGAUUUGAAUUGAUUCUCUAUAGCUUUGGAGUUUGUCUUAAUCCUAAGGAAGUUAAGUGAUAGUUGUAGUACUUUAUGCUAUGUGAGGUCUUUAAAUUUAUCUACCCGAUGCACCUAAGAAGAGGUGUGUAUCUUGAGACUCAGUUAUGAGACUGGAUCAAGUUCUUGACUUUUGAAGCUGCAUUAUUCAAAAUGGUUUGGAGUUGGGCUUACCUUGAGUAGGUUGGAUGAAGCGAGAGACUUGGUAUUUGGUUUCGCCUUUUCGCCUUUCUAUCUUAGUUUCACCAAUUAGUUCAUGUUACAAUUUUUGGUAUAGCUUAGCUAGUGAGCUAUUCUUUAUUUUUUGAGAUUUGAGGAGCCUCCAAGUAGAAAAUGAUACUUAUGGAUGUCAGUUCUCUUAUCCCAUAGUUUCAAAUGGUCUGUGCGAGUGCUAUGUUUGGUUGCCUAUAUCAAGUUUUUGGUUUAGGUUCUAGAAUCAGUCAGGGGUGCUUCCUUAGAAAUUUGGGAUGUAGUUCCAAUUUGAACUAGAUAUUAAGGAUUUGGAUCCUGCUGCCCAACAAGUAUCUUUGGUUGGUAAGUAGCAUUCCCUGUUCUAUUGGUGUGGUCAUGAAUCAUGCUAUGUUUGCUAUGUUUUUCUGUAACUAGUUAAGUGCCCGUGCGUUGCUACAGGUUUAUAUAGAAUUUCAUAAUAUAUAUUCACAUGGUUAAAGCAUACAAGAAGUAUCAUGACAUGCAACAAAAUUUUAAAUUGAACAAAAUUUUAAAUUGGUAAUUUCACUGAGUAAAUAAAUGACUUUUUCAGUUAUAGCCUAGCAGACCUGGCCGAACAGAAUAGAGGAUUUAGCACCAUUAUAUAAAUCUAAACGAUAUUAUCCUAUUAAACUUAUGUGUGAGUGAAAUCAUAAGGCGGUUGGAAAGUUCAUUGAUGAUGGGUAUAAUGUUUUGUAUCCACAAUGCGUAUUUUUCUUCCAUUUUACAUUUGCUCUUCUUCCCUCUAACCUCCGGCUUGCCACAGCUCACGCAUGUGCUCUCGCUUUUGCUUCCACGGGAACUGAAAGCAGUGGUGGAGCCACCGCCCGGCCACCCCGGGCGGCCGGCCGGGCUCGUUAGUGACUCUAAAAAAAUUUUCUUUUAUGUCAAAGAAGAGUACUGUAAUUUACUAAAUAUGUUUUACAUAAUAAAGAUUGUCCAGGCUCUUGAAAGCUUCUGGCUCCGCCACUGACUGAAAGGAAACAGUUUUAAGAGUAUAAUUGGUAUGUUGCUGCCAACAACAAAAAUUGGUAGUAACAAGAUUAAAUUAGCAAAAAUAAGAAAAAUAUAGAUGAAUCUUAGCACUGGUUAUUCUCUUAAGUAUUCAAAUUCACGUAAAAAGAAAGGGUAUUAAUGAACUUCUAAGCUUGUGAAAGACACUCCCAACCAUAUGAAUGCCAACAUUAUAUUGGCUUCUCUAAUUACGGACAACAGAUUCAUUGUACAGUAGUUACAGGCGGCUCAAUGCCAAAAAUCUCAAGCAUAUGGAGUAGGUGAAGCUAUCAUCAGCUCAGAGUUUGGUCACCAUCAGGAAAGCACCUGCAACAAAACAAAACAUGAAGCAGGUUAUAGGAAUCACAUUUUUUUCAUGAAAGAGCAUGAAUCACCCUCAUAGUCCCGAAAGAAAUAGUAUCAAAUUUGAUAUUUUUAAAUCAAUUUUUUCAUAUACCAUACUUGAGUUGCCAUAGGAUGUCAGAUUGAGUUUUUGGCCAUUCAGAAUUGUCGCUGUACCAUCUGUUGAUGUCGGGAUCCCGACACUCACCUUUGCUAGUUGCGCACCUCCCUGAGCAUUUCAAAUGUCAAAGAAACAACAAUAUAAUGCAUAUCCUUGCAACCAAUAAUGGAGCCUGCAGAGCAUGGCCGGCCGACAGUUUAAUUAUUGAGAAGCUGUCUUCACAGAAGUGAUGAAUGCAACUUUGAAAAAGGGGUCCGUUGAUUACAUAUUGUUGGAAUGAUUUUCUGCAACCUUAACAUUGAUCCUUUGAUCCAAACAAACAGAGAAAGCACAAUGGCUUAUUUCACCUGAUUGGACAACUUAAGCUUUGGAUGCAAUUUUCACUAAGAAUGAAACACAUAUAAGACACUUGGGCAUCCAUUCCUAUAACAGAACAAAGAAUCUCUUCCAAACUGCAUCAACCAAGGGGAGAGUUUCUUCUGAGAACAAGCUAUAACAUAUAAAUUUUUGAAACUUGGCUACCUACUGUUACCACUCAAUGUCAUUGCCUUUUUUUCCUGCCUGAUAUCCUUUUGUCCUUCAAAUUACUGAGCACAGCAGUGGAGCAGUAUGGGCAACUUUAAACUAAAAUGGUUAGGGAAUUUUGUCAAGAAUAGGCUGUGUGACUCAGCAAUGAGGUAUCUUUGGGGCUCGAGGCUAAUAAGGAAACUAAAGCUUCAAAGAAACACAUUUAGGUAUUGCCUCCUUUCCACUGUUUUUUGGUUGAUCCAUGUUUAAAGUGCCUCAUUACUAAGCAAAAAUACUGUGAUGUAUCCCAACAAAGAAACAGGUCACUUGCCUACAAGUAAGGACAGAGCAUUGACACCUUUAUAGAAGAAGCUGAAUCAACCUAUAGAUAAGGAUAGAGCAUUGACACCUUUAUACAAGAAACUGAAUAAGAAAUAAAUAAUUGGUUGCCAAAUUCACCAUACCACUUUGAUUUUUUGGAUGCACAGAUUGUGUUUGGUAGACAAUUGUCUGCUAUCCAAAUAUCUACGCAAAUAAGUUCUCUGUCUUUGUGCUCUCCAAAUAGCUGCAGAACAAAAUGAGUAACAUGUUAGUUCUCUAACUAUAUGCAGAAAGUGUAGGAUAACCAAUGCAUUAGGAGGCCAAGAAUAGUGAAUAGGUUACAUUACAUAUCAGGGUGAGGGAUAUACAAAUGGAGAGUUAAUGAUUUUGGUCCUUAAGUGAUUCAGUAUCGGAAUCCAAUAUAUACAUAAAGUCCUAUAUUUUGACACUUGUUAGCACGACAGUUUAGUAACGAUAAGGAGACUUGCUCCGCCAUGUAGGAAUAGGCACAAUCUGCAAUUCACAAAACAUGAUUUUUUUUAACAAAUGGAGAGUUACAAGCAGUGAGCGCCUGAGCAUCACAAGAUAAAAAAAAUGAAAGAUGUUGGCAUUGGCUUGUCAUUCAGUUAAUUUCAGUUUAUCACCAAACUGAAACACGUAGUUGGAUUACAUAGGAACUACAAUUAUCAAACAAAAUUGAAAAGUAAAGUAACAAAUGAACAGAAAGACUCUGCCGUCAAAACUUCUCACAUGAAAAAGCUGUCACCGUGUGUAAUAAAAUAAAAAAAGGAAGACCCAGCACAAGAUUACCUCACAGACGGACGCCGACCUUGCUCUUUAUCCACUCGUUCGUCUUCCCACCUCCCAGUCGUAUCUUUUGUACUCCAGCAGACCACGGGCGUUCCCCUUCCAUGUCAAAACUCUGCUGAGAUCUUCAUGCUUUCAUCAUUUUUCUUCCCCUUCCAGAUGCCAUCCUCGUCGCGUGCAUGGCUGAAGGCAUGAAGUUGGAAACGGUGAGGAUGAUGGUUGUGGUUGACGACAUCGUGGGCAUUGCGGCAUCUCAGCAUCACACGCAUGGGCCCGACAUGAAUCAAGCUUCCAGCAUCGAGAUCCUGCCUCAGGCAAACGGUCGUCGGGGCUAGGACUGGUGAUCUAUCGUCGGCGAGGGGCACAGGCGCGGGCGAGCGAGCUGUCACGAGCGAACAGGCUGGGCGACGCAGCACUACCGAACGGGUCGGAGGUGAUGUUCAGCCCCAGAUGUCCAUCUUGGACAUGAUCUUCACGAUGGCCGAUGGUGGAGGCUCCCACCUCCCAAUGGCCGCCGCCUCCUCCUCCGCCCAAUUCCCAUCCAGUAGGCAGCCGCUCGCUCGGCUCCAGAUCCCACGCCGUGACAGGGCGCCACACCACACCACAUGGCGGCGGAUGCGGCGCGGCAGGGCCUGUGCGCCCGCCGGAGGCGCGGCGGCGGUGUGUCGGACAGCCCCGACCUCCGCCCGCUCCUGUCCUCAGCCGCGUCCCCGACGGCGGCGGGGGCGAGGGAGUGGGGGCGAGGUGGAAGCUGCCACCCAAGUCGCCCUCGUCGUCGACACCAUCAUUCUACAGCUCGCUGACCUUGUCCAGGCUGGCCGGGCUCGGCGGGCUCCUCGACCCGCAUCGCAUCCUAUCGCUCGGCCGCGUCUUUCCCAUCGACCCUGACGCCGACACAGUCCCAUCGCCGCCACUCCCGCUCCCUCCUCCUCCUCCGCUGCCGCCGGCUUCCUUCAUUGAGGAUCCGACAAUUAUGCCCCGCGCGGAGCAACCGGUGGUGGUGGUGCUGGCGUCAGCGGCAUUGCCAUCGGCCACGGUGGCGCCACCGCCGCCAGUGGUGGCCAUGCGGGAGGAAGCGGACGCAGCGGCUGCCGGCUGGCGUGCUGGAUGUGAGGCCUGGUGGUUUGCACGGGUCGCGUCUGUGCAUGUGGGGCCCACCUGUCAGCGCGAAGGAGUCGAGGCGAUGCUUGGUCGCGGGCGGAGCGAAGGAGUCUGUGGACGAUUGUUCUUCGUAUGUUUUAGUUGUAGAAGAUUUAUUUUCUGAGAGGAGAAUAGCUAACAAGUAAGAAGCUUAAAAAGUUGUCAGAGCAUUGGUGUUUUUUUUCCCUCUCUUUGGUUCUAGGUGCCAUUAAUUUUAGUUCCAAGUCAGGAGAUCAUGCAAUGGUGUUUCCAUUUCUAUUUCAGAAUAAUUUAAUCAAGUGAACUUGAAGUUGAGAUUUCCUUGCCAUGCUAUCAUGCAAUUUAGGGUGAGUAUUAAUGCUUUCACUUUAGAGCUAAAAAUAAAAACAUUGACUGGCAAGGUUGUAAUUAAAAUAUCAUUGUUUGGGGCUCUUACCUGUCAUCUGUCAUGUCUGGUUAGUUCCUGGCUUCAUAUUUGACUCUGUUAAAGUAGAUUGCAUGCCUAGAGAAUGUAAUAGGGUUAUUCAUGAUUUGUCUGCUCUUGGUCCAUGUGCUCUGCAGAAGCCAACUAUGUGCUUGAUGUAAUUCUGCAUUGUAUUGUCCUAGUUACUGAGAAUAUAUCUUAUGAUUAAUUAAAGUAUUGUUUCGUCUAAAAAAUGGUUAUUGAUAUUACUCCCUUUGUCCCAUAUUUUUGGUUGUUUUAGCUCUGGGCAUGGGAAUUAAGGAUGAGUGGAAAAGGUGUGAGAAUGACAAAUAAUUUGGGACAAUUCUAGAAAGCUAGAAUGGCUCUUGUUAUGGGAUGUAAGGAGUAUUUAUGUUCAGAGCAUGUCUACUUCUUGAUUGGGCUAUUUCCUUAGCUGAUGGUCUAGCAAACAUGGUUAGAUAUGCUACAAUGCUAGAUUACUAUAUGGUCUCUGUUCUCGCUAACAGUCCACUAGGUUUCCUUACGGAAAUUAUUUCUAUUUUCCUUUGAAGAAUUUUAUCCGAAAAUGAUUCAAGACUGGGUAUUUUGUUGGUUUAAUUUAUAGCCCUGUUCUUCUGCACUACUUCACAAUGGUGUUUUCCUCUCAUAUGCAUCGGCAUAAGCCAAAUAUCAUGUACAUUCUCUGUGAGGAGUACAACUAAACCUCCAAAGGUUAUUAUUUUCAGAGCAGUGGUGUAACACAGUAACCUAUCCUGUUCCUAUAGAUGGCCAUCGGGUCGUGCCGGCCCGACCUGGCGGCCCGGCGUGCCGUGCCGUGCCGUGCCGUGCCUGCCCCGGGCCGCGCCGUGCCGUCGUGCCGGCCGGGCCGUGCCAUCACCGUGCCUCAUGCCGGGGGUAUGGCCUAAGGCACGGCCCGAAGGCACGGCCCGCGGGCCACCGGGCCAAAGUCGUGCCAGGCCAGUAACAGGCCUAUAUUUUCUUUUUUUUUUUGUUUAGAAUUAGCAAGCUACAUUUCUUAACAGGCCAAUUAUGAUGGAUGUAUGGGCCAACAGACCUACAAUUUCUUUUUUUUAGAAUUAAAAAGCUAUAUUUUUUACUGGGACAUAAACAUCGGGUCGUGCCUGAGCCGUGCCACGGGCCACGGUGGCGGCCCGUGCCCGGGCCGGGCCAAAAUGCCGGGCCGCGGGCCGGGCCAACGGGCCACGGGCUGCAUGGCCAUCUAUACUUGUUCCACUAAAUUUAGAUCUCAAAGCUGUAUAUAAUAUGUAUAUAGUGAGCUUGAAGCUUUGUAACUCCAUAACUUGUCUCAUGCAAUGUUGAGUGACCAUUUGCAUUGUCGAGCUGGAACCUAGAACUAUUGGGUGGUGUUUGUUUUGGUGCUGGCUUUCAUGUUGUAAUGCCUUGAUAUCACUAGGUGGUUUUUAAGUCGCUAAGUUCAUGUUUAUUGUUUGGGUCAGGUCUGUUUACUUGGUCUGUUUCCUUGGCAAAGGAUCAAGUCUAACAGGCAUAGGAUAGCUAUGAUCUCCUUGCUACCACCCCACUGAGAAUUCAGGAUGAAAUUGUUUUGAGAAUAUUUUGACCAUAAUGAUUAUGGAUCUGGGGCAAACCAUCUACUUAGACUUUGCAGUAUUUUGACCAUAAUGAGUAUGUCCUUGCUACCAGCUAUAGCCUAAAGAUCUGGUGAUCUGAUACACAAUCCCUUUAGUCAAUUUAAUACGUAGGUGCUUCCAGUUGUAACAACCAGACAUUUUUUUUGUCAUCAGUUGGUUGCAGUUUGCACAUAUAUUAGUGGUUGCAUAUAAGUUUAGUUCCUAAUUAGAAACUCUAAUCCCAUCCAUGAGUGACAAUGAUUGAUCAAAUAAAGCAUCCGCGCUUUAUCAUGUGGACGCAGUGUUGGCUGGUGCUUGUAGCGCUGGGAAUUGUUGUCGCAUGCACGCCACUGGUCAUGAUAAUGCAGCAUGAUUUUCGAUACAGUUGGAUGCUUGAUUUGAAUUGAUCGCGGACAUCGUCUGCACUUGCUGUCUGGAUUUCAUAUCAUUUUUUUUAUUCGCAAAGGUCUUGAACAGGAUUCAAAUAGUUGCAGUUUUUGGACUGUUUUGAUCACUGCUACAGGGUUUGGUUUCAGCUGCUCAACCUCUUUUGUAUGAUUUCAACUUUCAAGGAACGAGAAACUCGUAUCUCGGUGAAUGAUUCAUUUCAGUUGGUUGGAUAGUUGGUUUGGAUAUAUAAUAUUUAUCUUGCUCAACAUUUCUCUAUGUUUUGGACCACUCAACCACUGUGACUAACCGCAUUAGUCGGCUUAUUUUAUCUCGGAACCUGGUUUGGAUAGUUAAUCUUAUUGGUAGACCAUGCUUUCGUACUCAUGUCUGCUGCACAUGUUAGCAAACAUAUUUGUACUGCUGAGUCAGGUCAAGUCAGACAGAUCGAGAUGCCAUCUACUCUGUCUUUGCCUUGCUUCUGAUGUGGUAUACGAUGGAGAACAAAUUGACUGAGAGCGUACUCGCAUGUUCUGGUCAAAGCCGGGCAAGAAUUCCUGAUGCCGCAAAGUGCAGGAUAAACAAGGACGUUGCUGGUACACUUGCCAUGUUAUUAAAAUUGAGCACACCAUUUGUAUAUGUAUAAACCAGAGAUCGCCGGACAUGUUGCCAUGGCGCCGUCUGAUCGGACAGUUCAUCGCCGAGCAAUAUUUUAUGGCUGGAUCCAACAGCUUCCUAGCCUGCGAAUCUGCAUAAAUAUUUAUGAUCUUUCAGACAGUUGGGUGCGUACUGUUUUAAGCAUCUCACAAAAGAGUCUCUUCUCCGGUGCGGCGACCUCCGUCCCUCCCUUGCUCGCGCUUCAUUCUUGUGUCCAUGGCCAGCCUCGUGCACCAGGCGUCCAUGCCGGCGAUGGCGCCGCCAUGCGACGAUGAGCUGGUCCCGCAGGGCUUCAGCUGCUUCGGGCGCUCGCUGUCGCGGGCGUCGUCGUCGAGCCGGCUCGAGUACAGGGCGCUGCAGCACGAGCACGGCGAGGAGAGGCGCGCCGCCGCCGCCGCGCACGACGCGCGGUCGACGCGCGCCAAGCUGCGGUGGAAGGCGGUGGCGCACGAGAUCAUGGCCAAGGGCGGCGGCGGCGGCGCGCGGCGGAGGAAGCAGCAGCAGCAGCAGCAGCUGGCGGCCUUCAGCUACGACUCCCGGAGCUACGCGCUCAACUUCGACCAGGGCGCCGACGAGUAGCAGCAGCAGCAGCAGCAUCUGCAUGCUGGGAGCUUGCUGCGGGCGGCGGGCCUGCUUUCGGCCGGCUGACCCUGCGGGCGGUGCGGAUCGGAGCCUGAAACAGCGCGGUGGAACGUGCGACCCGGGGGAGCAGCGACGACCGGCCGGCGAGGGAACAACGGUGAUCUGCCCAAGGUGGAGAGGAAAGCAUGAGUUUUCCUGUGUAAAGUAAAGAUCUACUACUCCGUACUAGAGAUCAAGUUCAGCCCUUGCUCUAGUUUCCUUUGUUUGGACUUGGACGUCUCUUUUUCUAAUUCAGAUGGCACGAUCAUGUUUCGGUGAUUCGUCCUGCAAUGUUCGAGUGGUGCAAUAAGAGCUGGCUCCUCAAAGUAGUUUCUUCAGUCCGUGUUAUUUUUACUACUGUUCUUUGUCGCUUCAUGCUUCGCCAAGACAGUACUACAAUAUAACGUAUAUCAGUGUAGUAUGUGCGCCAAUGUAGUUUUAGGCUCGGCACAUCACACCGUUUAGUUGCCGCCUUGCUGAUCAGUAAUUAAGCCAAGCCUAAGCUGAAUCAGGGAAGAAGGGUAUAGGAUUUCGACGGAGGAAGGAGCAUUCACGUAGGGGCAUGGGCAAAUGUGAGCCAGAUUCUUGUCAAAAUAAAUUUGUUUCUAUGAACAACACCUAAAUACUGAAUCAAACGGAUUUUGAGAUUAACUUACAAGUUCUUCAAAUAUGCCUAGUUGUCACAGGACUUGGAAAAAAUGAACAAGCAAGUUGAAUGUUUUUUCUUUUUUUUUUUUAAAAAAACUAAUCAUUCACAUAGCCAGCUUGACAUCCUUUUUACCAGCUGAGCAACGCUUGAGCAGUGAGCUUAUCAGUCGAAUCUGCCAGCCAUUUAGCAGUGUUUCUCUCUCACAACAAAUCAGUCAAUAGUACUUUUUGUCAUGGCUUAUCAGCCAAACUAACAAGGUUAUGUUGUGAGAGAAAAAAAAUAUUAUUACAGCUGAUUUGACUGCAAGACUAUACUCACUCUGUCUUAAAGGGGCAAUUCUCGAUGUCGAGAAGUCAAAUAAUUUUGAAUUUGAUCAGAUCUAAAAAAGAAAUAGCAACCUUUGUAUUGCCGAAUAAUCAUUACAUUAUAUUAAUUAUGAAAUACAUUCUUUUAGUAGAGACAUAAGUUUAUAAAUUUCAUCGAUCUUAAGAAAUAAUUCAUGACAUUCCACAAAAUUUUGGAGAGUCAAAGCAUUUCAAGUUUAACCAAAAUUAUAGAGAGAAUCAUAAAGAUUUAUGACAUUAAAGGGGGUGUUUAGUUCCCCUUUUAUUCCAUUUUUUUUGAAUUUUCGUCCAUUGUUUGGCAUAAUGGAACUAAACACCAUGUAAAUUUUUUAACAGAAAGGUGGCUACUCCCCAUUUUAAAUUUUGGCCUCAAGAGGUCAAAAAAGGCCCAAGAGAGCCUCAAGAGGCGCCCAAGUGAGCAAUAAAUUCUGCAUUUUAGAUGUAACUAAAUAUAAGCCUAAAAAAUUUGGCAUUUUGCAUUCCAUCAUUCCAAAGUAGUUGGUAUUUUGCAUUUUGUAUUUUUAUAGGGAAUUAAACACCCCCUAAAUAGAUAUACUAUGAAAAUAUAAUUAAAGAAAAAUCUAAUGAUACUUAAUUAGUAUAAUAAAUGUUAUUAUAUUAUCAUAUAAAUUUUAGUCAAACUUAAAAUACUUUGACUCUCUAAAAUUUUUGAAAUAUGUUAUAAUUUGGGAUGGUUGGAGUGCUAAUUUGGUCUAAAUCUAGAAUUUAGCUGUGCCCGCGACAGAUGUGGGGAAAUGGAGAAGACUUUUGGGCCUUGGCCACGAGCCCACGGCAUCAGCAGCAAAUCUAAAGGGCCCUUCGUGCGAGAACACGUCGGUGCCGUGCCACCAGCAACGGAGCCCCACCAGGCACCGCACUGCGCCACUGCCCAUGGUGGACGCACGCCUCGCGGCGCGCCCACCCCGCCCGCGUGCCCCUGUCCGCCUCCCGUUUGCCGCCUCCACCGCAACGCGGCGCGCGGGGUGGCGGUGCCCUCGCGAUCCUCGUGUCGAUUCCAGCGGCGGGGGUACCUUUCCCUUUCCCUCCCCUGGCCGUUGCCCGCGCCUCGCGGUCGCGCACCGGAACCGGAGCCCCGCGGCGAAUCUAGGUUUGCCUCCGCCCCGCCCUCUCCUCCCGACACUCCCGGCGGCUGGAAUUAGGACGAGGGUAACAGGGGACGGAGGCUGCGAGGGACGCCCCCUCGUCGAAUGCACCGGCGACCGAUCUGUUGAGGAGCAGCCGGAGCACGCAGGAGGUUAGUCUAGGCACGUAUCGCCUCUCACCCUCUCUUGCCCCCCUAGACGGUUCGAUCCAAUGUGCUUCUGUUGGCUGAUCGGGUUAUGCGGAUGCCGGAUGCGUGUAAAUUGAGCUGAAUUCCAGAUUUAGUCCCAUUUAUUCGGAUUAGUAGACGCCAUAAUCAUAUUUCCUUCACUUCCGCCAAAUUUUGCACUUGAUAUCGUCUUGAGUUGGUGGUGAAAUGCUUAUUCUGGGUUUCUAACUCUACCUCGAGCGUGACGGUGGUCGGUGGUGGACAUUUUUAUGCGGUCGUGAGGAGGACUGAGGAGGCCACGGGGCCAAAAGUGUGAGAGUGACGUGGUGAUGGCCUGAUGGGAGGCCGGGGGCAGGAUGUCUGGAUGCGUGACUCAUCAAGGGUCUAGAGAAAGGGAAGGAUUGGAGAAACGGUUUAGAUAAUUCGAGGGCGAUGUGAGUGAGGAUAGGCGGCCAGCCACACUUGCAAUUUAUUUUAUGUGCGUCAACAAGCUGCCUACCAGUUGAUUUUCCAAACUGGUUUACAUAUGUUUGUCUGAUUACUGACCUAACCCUAUGCUUUCUACUCCUAUUUACUAUUGUGACUUUUGACUUGAGGAAUUAGAAAGCACAGCCCAAUUUAUUUGUACAGAUUGCUCGCAGCAAUCUGUUAUGUUCUGUUCUGUUCUGAUAUUUGUUUAUAAAAUGCUCAAUAAAGAUCUGCUAUUAAUUGAGAAGAGAAUCUAUGAAUUGAUUGGCCAUGAAGUUGCAUUUUUUUUUUCAUUUGCUUGAAAAGAAUGGAGCCUUUCUUGUUGUUUUCUGAAUGAUAUAACUGCACACUGUAGUUGAGGGGAAAGCAUUGAAAAUGUCAUCUACUGUGCCGAAGUCAUCAAAUAUCUUCUGGCAUGAUUGUCCAGUUGGCAAGACUGAUCGCCAGAAGCUACUCAAGCAGAAAGGCUGUGUUGUGUGGAUUACCGGCCUUAGUGGUUCAGGUAAGCAAACCUUGCUUUCUCUUGAACUGGUUUGUUGUGUGCUUCUUGCACUGUUGAUGCAAUUGUUUAAAUUUCCAAGCUAAGAUAAUGUCAACUGCAGUUGGUGACUCUUUCUGCUUCGCAUAUAUUAUAUCCUCUUUGUUUAACUCUUGUUGACCAUUGUUGUUGUUGGAUAAUGUCAUCUGCCAUUUUUAUGUACAUGGACUGAGAUUUCUAUACUGCACUGUUUUGCUUGAAUUAUUGAAUUCUAUUAAAGUCAUUGUGGCCCAAUGCUUUGAUUACUGUUUUAUUCAUUUUAGAGUAACAAAAUCGAUGCUUUCACAGUAUUGUUAUCGAAUGGCUUCCUAGUUUUCUUUUCUCUGCAUCCAUGCAUUUCCAUCUUGUUCAUGAAUUUGGCCAAAACUUGUAUUUGUUUCAAGAAAAUAAGUUCAACUCUGUUCUAGAUGUAUCAAUAAGAAACCUAUUCAUUUUGGCCUGGAUAAUUUACAUACCUUAUUUUCAUUUGCCUUAAAUUCAUACAAAUAACUUUCAGGUUCUUAUAAAAGGUAAAUAUGCACUGAAGCUGUGUAGUACUUACAUAGUUUGCUGACAUGUAUGGAUGCUCUUUUGGGCAGUUACUCUGCUGGUCUCUUGAAGUUUGGUUUAGGUUAGUAUAGAGGGGAAGUGCCUUGAGCACCUUGAUGAAUCUCUCGUAAGCUGGUGACCCCAGCAGAACUAAACUUUGCUUUCUAUAAAUAGGGACCAAUGGUCUUUGGUCUAAAAAAGGUAAAUAUGCAAAGUUUCUAAAAGAACUGUGAUAUAUUUUUUUUCCAAUUUGUAUGCCAUAUGCCUAUCCUGUUUACUGCCACUACAUUCUUACAUUGCAUUUUUUUAAAAAAAAUAAAUCAGAAUCUAUUUUCUGUUCUUUAAAAGGAUGGCUACAUUUAAAUGAUAAAUCUCAAAUAUCAUUUGUGUUUCCAAGUGAAACUUUUAGUUUUGUAGAUGGUAUUUUUUUUAUCUAAUUUCUUUUCAAUUUUUUCAUCUUGCCAAGGUAAAAGUACGUUGGCAUGUACAUUAGGUCGGGAGCUCCACACAAGAGGGAAGCUUGCAUAUGUCCUUGAUGGUGAUAACUUAAGACAUGGUCUGAACAAGGAUCUUGGCUUUAACGCUGAAGAUCGUGCUGAAAAUAUAAGGAGAGUUGGUAAGUGUCUCACCAACAUAGAUAUGUCUAUAAUAUUUAUAGAAACUCCCAUGAAAGUAAAAGAGUGAUAAACAAGUCCUGCAUUAGCCAUUAUUUUAUCUUCCCAGUAUUCUGCAGUUCACAUUUUGUUUCAACUAUUUUGGACAGGUGAAGUAGCAAAGUUAUUUUCAGAUGCGGGCCUUGUAUGUAUUGCAAGUUUGAUAUCUCCAUAUAGGAGGGACCGUGAAUCUUGCCGUGCAAUGUUGUCUGAUGGUAGCUUUAUUGAAGUAAGAGAUGCAUUUUAUUUGUUUUUGUACUUAGUGAACUUAGUGACCUCAAGGGUUUACCGCCAAACACCUGUGAACUUUUGCAGGUUUUCUUGAACAUGUCCUUGGAAUUGUGUGAAGCAAGGGAUCCAAAGGGCCUCUAUAAGCUUGCUCGUGCAGGAAAAAUAAAGGGUAAAGUUCAUAUGAUGGUUGGUGUCCAAAAUGGAAAUAGUUUAGAGUGCUUAGUGCUUCCUGCAGAGCAAAAUUGGUUCAAACCUGAAAUAUUUUUAAAUGUGAAUCCCAUUUCUGGCUUGUUUUGUAAUGUUAGGUUCACUGCCUAAAGAACAAUUUAAAAUACUAUUUGAGUCGAAUUAUGCUUUCUUUGGGAAGCAGCUCCUUAAUUCUGAUAUGAUUUUGCAGCUACAGUCAAAUUUUGAUGAUGCAUGUACUGUCAAUGUGAAAAUGAUUUAAUUUUCUCGAACAGGAAGGAGAGUCAAGAGUGUGUACCAUUAUAUUAAGAAUAAGAAAAAGGGUAUAAGAAACCCGUAGAACAGCCACUCACACCAGCACCUUUAGACUAAGACAAAAAUGAUCUUGACCUGGAUCUGAUAAUACACUACAAAUGGAACCUUAGGGAAUCAGAUUUUUUGGCCAUAUGCUAUGUUUAGAUUCUUCUAUUUGGUUCCUUGGCUAUACUGCAAUGACCAAUGGUGUUGCUGCUAGAAAAUGUGUAAGCUUGUAGGUUCUAUUUUGUUAAUAUGCUCUUUUUUCACAUUUGCUCACUCAUUGAUCAUGUUACUUCUGAAUGUUGAAUUUAAAUAAAUUCAACUGAUAUGUUUUGAAUCUUUACCAGACCUGAACCAUGGAGUUAGAGUUAGAGGCCAGUGCAUGGUAGGGCCCUUAAAUAUUUUCUUUUCAGGUGUCAGAAUGCCCAUUUGUAAGUUAGCUCAAAGUGUUCUCUAGUCGAGAAAUGGAAAAGCAGAAAAUGAGUAAGCCUGAAAGUUUUAACCAUUAAUCAUCUACUGUAAAAGGUAUCUUAUAUGAACAGAAACAUGUUCACUGCAAAAACUCCGUUGUGGGCAGGUCUUAUCUUCAUUUUUAAAGUCAACCUGUCUUGUUAACUCAUAUAGAGUUUAGUCAAGCUUCAAGUUUUAAACAUGGUUUGUUGCAGGUUUUACAGGAAUAGAUGACCCUUAUGAAGCACCACUGAAUUGCGAGGUACAUCAUUAUAUUAGAUUUUCUGCCAUCUUCACUUGUUGAAGUGUGUAUUAUAAAGGUGUUAAUGUAACUGUUGGUUUUGGUCCAUAUAAAAAAUUGGUAGCCUGAAACUCGAGAUUCAAUGUCGUAGGAAACACAUGGUUGGAUUAAGAGAAGAGGUCGAAUUAAGAGAAGAGAGUGUGCUUUAUCAUUUUCUUUUAUUGCAACAUGGUGAAUUGUGUAGGUUUAACAGGCUGUUUAGCUAUUUGCAUAGGACAGUUGUGGGUAGCAAAUGUUGGCUACACCACGACACUAAGUAUAUGGGGAUUGUAAUAAGACAUUCUAAAAUUGUCAUGUUUAUAGCUGACAAAGAUGGUUAAAUUGAUUUCAUGGUAUAAGAAUGAAAUCAUGUUUGAUUGUUUUCUAUGCUGGUAUCUCUUUGUUUGUGGCCUAUACAUGUUGAUUGUCUUGCUUUACUUGCAGAUUGAGAUCAAAGAAGCUGAUGGUGUAUGCCCUUCGCCUUCUGACAUGGCAGGGCAAGUGGUUACUUACCUUGAGGAGAAAGGCUUCCUGCACGAGUAGACUGAAUCCAAGCAACAUUCAGGGAAGAUUUCAAUCAGACUAGCGCAGAAUAAGUCAGACGCGCUGGCAGUUACCACAUAGUUACAUAGAUUGAUCUGAAUGCGUUAGUAUUUUUCUUUCCGCAAUUCCUCUGCCACAAAUUCCAUGCAGUUUCAUUCAGAUGAACCUAGAUGGUUCCUGAUUUCUUUGACUUCUGGAAUAGAUUACCUGUAUGCAAUUCUGAUAACCACUUGGGGGCAAUGGCAAUCAUUUUCAGGGGAAGGUACACCUAAUGUUAAUAGGAGCUGUCUUCUUAUUAUGCUCCACUUUCUGGAGUCCCGAGAUGUACAGCGUGUUGCUGAAACAUCCGCGUGUGGCGUGCUGCAUGUGGCAGGUUACCAGUACCAGGACGUCAACCAUAAUAUUUCUAGCUAAAAUUCUUCACAAAGUGUAAUGCAAAUAUUUUUCUUCGGUCAACCUGAACUUUGGUCACGACUAAUUGCCUCGCUUGCCCGAUCUAGUUUUGCUUGCCCGCAUCAACAAGCGUCGGGAUAAAGGUCGUACAUAUUUCACGGGAGUAAUGCGCUCGGCGCUUCGCGUCCGCGGACAGGUUGGACCCGGUACGCUGGAAUUGUCCAAGCACCACACAGGAGCGUGCUGCAACUGCAACGUGCGGUUUUUACCAUGAUCUACUAUUCUAUCGUUCUAUAUAUGCAUCUCGGCGCAACAGGAUCUGUCACCGGCUCACCGCCAGGCGUUAGCACGAGAAAAAUGACCCAAGACAUAAACCGUCUCUUGAUGAGGCUGAACGCUGAAGCACGCUUACCGGUCCCCAGCUGAACAACGCAGGUAGCUGCACACAAGUACAGGCGUACAUUUUAGUCCAAGGAAACUCGGGCUCAGCACACGAGAAAACGACCAACACAAAAUCGCCGGGGCCGUGCGCCUUCCUCGCGCGCGCGGCGACGGGGACUCGUGGGCGCCGGGGCGCCGGUUGGCCAUCGUGCACCCCUGCCUCACGGCACCCUCGCCCGCACACGUAAAAUUCCCGCGCGCUCGCUUCGGCUCUCAGCCUCCUCAGAGCUCAGACCCACGCUCCCACUCCACGCAAUGACGCAACCAAAUUAAAAAAAGCCCGCACCCAGGUUUACACCGCGCGCGCCGCGCGGCGGCAACGCGACACAAAACCCGACGAAGCCAAACCGAGCAAGCAAAGCAAGCAUCCGACCAACCCCCGGGCGCGCGACGCGAGCAACGGAAUGGUGUUCAGCGCCUCGUUCGUGGCGGCGGCGGCGCGCGUGCCGGCGGAGCUGUGCCAGCGGCCGCCGCGCCCGGGGCGGCGGCGGGUGAGCGCGGACGACGUCCUGCGCGCGCUGUUCCUGCCGCCGGCGCGGGAGCUCGGGCGCCUCGGGGACUUCCUCUUCGCCUUCUUCUGCCUGCCGCUGCCGGAGUACUACCUGACGGGGUCCGGCCGCGGCGGCGGGUGGGUGGCGCGGGCGCCCGACGCGGUGCUGUACACCUACCGGAGGUCUCUCUCGGUCAGCUCGUCGUCGUCCUCAUCCUUCUCGUCGUCGAUGUCUUCGUCGGAGGAGGAUUGAUUGCUGACGAGGAAUAAUAAUAAUCUGUAUAGGUUGCGGAAUGCAACGGCAGGGUUCGUGUUUGUUUGUGUAGUAGGAGAAUCAUUAGGUGUGACUUGUACGCCCAAUUCUUUUGUGACCUCUUUACCCAAAAAAAAAAAAAUCUUUUGUGACCUCUGCGUAUAUAUCCAAUGAUUUGAUAUAGAUAAAUGUUCAGUUUUUCUUGUGAGCUGCAAAAUCUAAAUGAUUCUCUUCGCAGUACUUUACCAUUUUUAGAGGAAGCAAUUGCUUACUUCUACUUUUCAUAAUGUAUAUAUCAACUUUUGUAAUGUGAUUUUUUUUAAGAAAAAGUCUACUUUUCCUCCUACUUUCACGAAAGUCCGUUUUUCCUUCAUCAACUCCAAAACCGGGCAAAUCACCCCCAUCAACUUUUCAAACCGUGUAUUUUACCUCCUUGGAGCGGUUUCGAAAGUAGUUUUGCUACAGUGAAUAGAGGUUUGUUGCAGAAACUGUGGUUUUGUCUUUUUUUUAAUUAUUUCGGCUAAAUUUUUGAAAAAUCAUGCAAUAACAGUGGUUUUGUAUUUUUUUAAUUAUUUCGGCUAAAUUUUUGAAAAAUCAUAGUAAAUCAUAAGAAAAUCAUAAAAAUAGAAAAUCCAAUUUUUUGGACUCUACAUAAGUAGAUCUACAUAGUAAACAUAUAAUAUGGUAUGCUUUAGUACAAAGUUUUUGCUAUAAAGGUUUUGUCCUUCUCUUUCUUUUAUUUAUUUGGCUGAAUCUUGGAAAAAUAAUAGUAAAUCAUAGAAAAAUCAUAAAAUAAAAAAAAAAUAUAAUUUUCUUAGUCUCCAUAUAAGUAUAUAUACAUAAUUAACAUAUAAUAUGUGUAUGUGUUAGUCCGACAAAAUAAUUGUAGAAGGUGCAACUAUGAAUUAUUUCAAUUAGUUACAUAAAAGCAUUGAUCUAAAACUACAUAAAAAAUACUAAAGCAUACCAUAUUAUAUAUUCACUGUGUAGAUAUGCCCGUGUGGAGUCUAACAAAAUUAUAUUUUAUAUUUAUGAUUUUAUUCUGUAAUUUACUAUGAUUUUUCAAAUAUUUAGCUGAAAUAAUAAAAAAGAAAAAGACAAAACCUUCUUUGUACUAAAGCAUACUAUAUUAUAGUUCAUUGUGUAGAUCUACUUAUGUGGAGUCCAACAAAAUCAGAUUUUCUAUUUUAUGAUUUUUUUCUAUGAUUUACUAUGAUUUUUUUAAAGAUUCAGCCGAAAUAAUUAAAAAGGAAAAAACAAAAUCACCAUCAUUGUAGCAAAACCACCAUCACUGUAGUAAAACCGCCUUCGAAACUGCUCCACGGAGGUAAAAUGCACGGUUUGAAAAGUUGAGGAGGUGAUUUGCCCGGUUUUGAAGUUAAGGGAGGAAAAACGAACUUUCGUAAAAGUUGGAGCAGCAAAAGUAGAUUUUUUUUUUGUUUUUGUUUUUAUGAGCAAUCUGGACAAAUUGUUGCAUGUUCAAAGGCCCCCAUGCUUGUACUUUGUAGAGGCCCAGCGAUAACUAAAAUGGGCCUCAGACAAUCUCAGCCUAGCCCAGUUCGGUCCACGCGCUAACCCGCCGUGUCGGACGAGACGAGCAGUUAGCCAGUUACGACGACGCGGCACGCGAACACUCCCGCGAAAAGCGAGACUGAAUCCACCACAGAUGCAUCACCACCGUCCACUUCCACCAUCCGGCCAAAUCAAACGGUUACCGCGAACGUCACGCUCCAAAACGAAUAAAAAAUGCCAGAGCUGAAAACCAACACGUCAACCUCCCCCGUCUCGAAGCAACCCCACCUUCUCUUCUUUUUUCCGCCUUCCUUUCCCCGUGCAACAAACGCAAACGCGAACGCGACCCAACGAAUCGAAUCAAAUUCGCCGUCCACCUCGUCGGCGUCGGCGCCACCGGCCUCGAGCCCAAGCCCCCGUCGUCCGAUCAGGCAGCCGAGAUGCAGCACGGGAGCGGCGACUACGCGUCCUCCGCCCCCUCCGGCCACUACUACCAGCACCAGUACGCGCCCCCCGGCUCCAACCCCUAUCCAGCCGCCACCGACGCCCCGGCGCCGGGUGCAGUGGCGGGGGGCUACGCCUCCGCACCGCCCUACUCUCUCGGCGGCGGCUACCCCGACCAGCCGCCCUCCGCCCCGGCCUACUCGCAACCACCCUCCGCCCCGGCUUACUCGCAGCCGCCGCCCCAGCCCCAGCACGGCGCCGGGUACACGCCUUACAACACCAACCCCACGACCUACCCGCCGGAGGCGUAUUACUCCUACACGCCGCCGCCCACCCAGACCACGGCCCCGCCGCCUGCGGAGCCCAACCCCGUGCCGCUGCCCUACGACGCCCCGUACUACGGGGGCGGGUACCAGCCGCCGGCCACGGGGUACGACAACGAGGAUUACCUGAACGAGGGCGCGUACGCGUACAGCGGCGGCCGUGGCUCGGAGCCGUACGGGGCGCGCGGCACGGCCCCUGCGCGGUCGGGAUCGGCGCUGUUUGAUGACUAUGGGCGGUCGAUCAGUGCCCCAUCUGAUGACUAUGGGCGAUCGAUCAGUGCCCAAUCUGGAUGGGAGGAGCAAUCGUGGGGCAGUGGUGGUGGUGGCGGAGGGGGUGGGAGCUAUGGGGUGAUCGCAAAGGCCCUUCCUAAGGCGGAAACACAUGAGGAUGCGAGUGGUGGUGCACAGAAGUUUCGGGUUAAGCUGCUGCCAGAGGGUGUUGGGAACCCUACUGAUGUGCUUUGCCAGGUAUAUAGUGAUAAUAAGCUUGAUGAAAUUAUGCAUCAUUGGCAACAUUUGUUUGAAGACUGGGAGGUCUUAUGAUAUUAUUCUAGGAUUCACUAAUUUUCCUUGGGAAUUCCUGUAACUCCUUGAACCCACAUCUAGUAUUUGUUGUUUAGGACAAAUAAAAGCAACUGUCAUUUUGGUAUAUGAAAUGUCUUGAUGGUGGUGUUGCAGAUUGGUCUAGAUGGAAUUCGCAUGCUUGAUCCGAGUACAGGCAGGACCCUAAGGAUUUAUCCACUCGAUUCACUGACAAGAUGGGAGGUGAGUUGGCCAACUUGUUCUUAUGAAGACUAUAUCUGUAUCUUUGUACAACACAAAUUCGUUACAGUUUUUAUAUUUAUGUUUGUUUGUCCUGCUUAUUUAGGUUUUGGAUGCAUCUAUAUUUGCAUUCUGGGCGAAGACAUCAGUGGAUGUUGAACCAAAGAGAAUUAGGCUGAAGUCAAGCAGUUAUACUUCCAAUACUAUGCUUGACACUGUGACAGCAGCAACAGUGCAGGUAUUGCAGCAACACUGCUUUUCCUGACCCUGAUAGUAUUUAGCCUCAUAUUUUCUACUAGCAAGAUGCUUCUGUGAUGAUGCCUUAGUUCCUUUAUAUAUACAUCCUUUUGCUUCCGGUCUUAUUUGUCUUUGAUGUGGCUUCGUAUCUGAACUAAAUCUGUAAUGAGAAGCCAGAAGAUUUAAUCCUAUCUGCUAGCAUGCAUCAGUUUUAAGAUGGAACUUCAUCUAGUCCAACAUGUUUAUCAUCAUGACAUAUAUACUAAGGAGAUCAUAUCUUUUUUUUUACAUGGUUUACCCCUAUUGAUUAUGGAUUGUAUAAACUUAUAUCUCAUCAAUACGAGAAGUAAUCAAUAGGAACAGUAGUUAGAGUAGAAAACAAAACAUAAAUAGUUUCCAAAUAAACUUCUAUAAAGCUGGAGGUUGUUACAAUAAAAUUUUAUUCCAGUUUUCCACAUUGCUAAAUGAGACGUAACACAUAACCUGUAAAAUAGCAUGUUGUUCUUUAUUGUUUUGUUUGCAUUUUAAAUUUCUUCUAUCCCAAUGUUCGCUCUGUAUGAACCACAUUCUUUUUUAUUUCAUAAAAAGGAUGCAAAUUGGAUAACUUGGAUAUCAGAUGGGAUUUUAAUCUUUUUUUUCUAUAGAAAUGGUCCUGUUUUUUAUUAUGUAAUUUUCAGCACAAAUGUAGGCUGCAGAAAACUUUAAAUUGUUUUCCUGGUGGUCUAUUUUAUUCAGUGGAUUAUUUAUUCACGCAAUGCUUUAAGCAAUUUUGCCUUUCGAUGAAUUGAGCAGUGCUUCUUAACUUUGUGCUUCCAUAUAAUUAGUUUAAGGAGAUAGGUGGAGAUGCAAGAAGCAAAGGAGCAGUGGAAACUGGCAAGCCUUCAGUACAAUCAAAUGAGAAAAAGAAAGGUUUUGAUUGGAUGUUUACAAAACCUGUUGAUGAAGUGAAAGACCAUUGGGUAUGCUGAGCCUGAGCGACUACUUUCAAUAUUCUUGGAACCAUUUUGGUUUAAGCUAAUUCAUCACUUAUAUUGUUUGCAUGUUAUUUUUUAUAAGAAUGUCUGCUUCCCUGCUACUGCUACAUGCAUAUAGGUGGCUAUCUGUAUUUUCUAACAUUUCAUUGAACAUUUUGUCAUCUCAUGUUUGUGCUUCAGUUGUAUUAAUUGUAUGUUAAUAUGCCAGAUUGCCAGUGUUAUUGAUCUUAUUCCAAGUUCUUGACAAUAUUUGUUAUAUUGUAUCAAUAUAUCACCCUUUCUAAUCUUAUGAUUUUUUUCUUCACUUGUAAUUUUGUUAAGUUUCUGCAAUACAUUUAAUUUUGUACCUUAUAGGUCCCAGAUGAGGUUGCCAAGAAGUGUCACUCGUGCGCCGUUGAUUUUAGCCCUUUCAAUCGCAGGGUAAUCUAUAUAGCAUAUUUGUCCACAAAUUCAUUCUCUCUUAUGGUAAAAUUCUAAUGCCUUGAGAUGGUUCCUUUCUCACAGCAUCAUUGUCGGAACUGUGGUGAAAUCUUUUGUGAUAAAUGCAGUCAGGGAAGAAUUGCUCUGACAGCUGAGGAUAAUGCUCCACUUGUCAGAGUUUGUGAUAGAUGCAUGGUAUGUUCUACUACUCGAUUGUUACUCACAAUUUCUUUAUUUUUACAAUGAUUGGAAUUACUUUGCUUCAAUGUUUGUUUUAUACCGUUAGCUCUUUGCUUCAACUCCAAUUUUAUGGGCACCAGCAUUGUUAGAAUAGAUUACCCAGUAGUUGUUAGUUCAGUCAUCACUUCUUCGUUGCUAGCUGUUUGGAACCAGUAUUACACUGUUAUAUAUGUAGCGUGUCUUGCUUAUUUGUUUCAUAAUGUUACUUCAGAGUGGGCCCACCCUAUAUAGCUAAGUUAUUUGGUUAUUGCUGUUCUCUGCCUAAUUAUUACUAAAUAAUUGUUGUUUGAGAAUGUAUUUCUGUAUUGUUAGUAUUGACUUAAAUUUAUCUUGGCUAUAUUUAUAUUUAUGGUGUUAACCAACCUGUAUGUUUUAUUUUUAUUCUUGCUUUGGUACUUUUAAGUUCUGUUUUAUUAAGUUUCUAGCUGCAUGAAAUGGUUCAGGAGUUUCUGAUAGGUUUAUAUGGAAACUAUGAUUUUCCGUUGGUGAAGUUUCUAUGCCAUGUGUUCAUAGUAGUUUUUAUGUUGUACAGGCCGAGGUCACUCAAAGGCUUAGCAUUGCUAAGGAAGCUGCCAACAGAUCUGCAACUGUGCAAAGUCAUGAAGAUCUUGCAAGAAAACUGAAGGUAAUAUACUGCUUUUUCCUGUCAUAUAUUCACUUAAGUGGCUGUGCACUUGAAUUAGUUGUGCAUGCUUGGUUUGAAGCCAAGAGUUGUGAAAGUACUCCAUUUCAAAAAAUUUAGGCGGAUUAGAAUUCCAAACAAACAUAGUAAAGUUUGACCAUCAAUCAGUCAAAAUAUAUGUAUGUUUAGUGCAGCUAUGCAUCAGUAGAUUCUUACGUCACAUAUAUACUUUAUAAUAUAUAUUGUAAGAGGAACUAAUGGUCAAGUAUGCCUUCAAAGAUUUUCUGAAAUCCUAAUACGCCUUGUAAAAGGAUAUGGGGGGAGUAUUUGGUUCACUACCAGAAAUGUGGCAGGAUUUCAUUUCCUUAAGCAUAGCUAAAUUGUGGACGGCUAAUUUCAAAACUAAAUUUGGUUUUUCAUAUUUCGUUGAGUUCUGAUAGGGUAAAAGUAGGCACUAAAGCACCAAAGAGGUCAGUACAAGCAGUGCCAGCAUUCUCUGAUGAUGAUUGGCAAUAUUGCUGUUGUAAUGCUCAUUGUAUUGAAAGCUGUGAUAAUGCUUCAGGACGUUUUACUAAUCUACCUGCAAGUUUCAUGUCAUUUUAUUAGUUCAAGAACUAAAUUAAUGAACUUGCAAAUGAGAAGUAAAUUGCACAUCAUUUUGGUUAUUCACAAUGCAAAUGAAAACAAGAUAAUCGUAAAGCUGUAAUAAUAUAUAAUUUGUUUUUAACAUAUAUCUAUGAUUCUAACAAAAUUAUGUUGUGAUUAGGAGGAAAUGGAGAAAAACCGCAAGUCUUCAGGUACUUAUUUCUUUCCAUCCCUUUUACAAGUUCAAAUUACAUAGAUUAUGAGCUUAUCGGAACUGUGAAAUCUCUGUUUGAAAAGGUCCAGCAUCUGGUGGUGGUUCAUCUGGUACCAGAAUGAGGGAAGUCGCGUGCCCUACCUGCACAGUCCAUCUUCAGGUAUGUCAAAAAGUUACUCUCGCCGCAUAACACAGAUUACUUUAUGCUCCUAGUAAUUAUCCAUUUAGUAUUAUUAUUAUGCCCUAAUAACUAAUGUGGCUGAGGAAUUGCAGGUUCAGGUUCCAACAUCUGGCUCAGAGACAGUGGAGUGUGGAGUGUGCCAGCAUGCCUUCCUUGUCAGCGCCAAUUGAUACACCGGGGAGACAGUGCAUGCUAUAGAAAUUAUUCUGUUGAUAACUAUUCCUUUUUUUUUUGUUAUGCUGUAUACAUAAUAAGUGUGUGUUGUGUCAGCCUGUACAUGUUUCUUUGAUUGUGUUGGUGAUCACGGUUAGGAUGUCUCUUUUUCCCCUGUACAUGGGUGAAUUCCAAUUCGGGAGUAUUGCAAUGCUGGAUGUAUGCAGAGAAUACCAUUAGAUUAUAACCGGUGGAGCCUGAAGAGUGAAGGUUGUGCUCAUGCACGCGUGUGACGUCCGCAUUAUGCCUGUUCGAAGUUCUAUCAUGCUGCUUCUUUAGUACCUUUGUGCCCCUUCAGAGCCAAAAAAAAGGGUAUCUGUUUUGAAGCAAAUUUUGUACAGAACAUCAUCUGUCAGCUAUUAGCAGAUUGAGGUGUGUGUUUUGCGUAGGGAUGAAAACGAAAAUGAUAAUCUCCGAUUUUUGGAAAUUGUUUUUGAGUUUUUUUUUAAAUGUUUAGACCUAAAUAAAAUUGAUAACGGUAACGAAAAAACAAAAACACUAAUAGUAAAAAUAAUAAAAAACGAUCGUUUUAAAGAUUUCCGUAUUUAACUGGUAAUUUACCGUUAUAAUUAUCGGUUCAAAGGUCUUUAAUUAAUGAUGUCUGACAUUUAUCUUUAGGAAGCCUAUAGGCUACGAUCUCUAAGAGGAACUUUAAUAAUUCAUAUUUUGAUCACCAUAUUAUAUCAAGUCAACUUGAAACAUGAUCGUUUAUAUUGUAUCUUUGUCUGUUUGAUACCUAAAAUAGUGUGAACUAUGUGGUUUUAGCUUGUGAUCUUAUCAAUUAUGACUUUAUUUAUCAUUGUCAUCUGAGAUAGGUCGAGUUAUAUAGAUUUUUUUAUGUUCAAUGUUUUGGCGUGUUUAUUGUUUUAGGAUAUCGUUCGCAUAGAUUCCGAUCGUUCUCCAUACAUUUUUCGAUUGACUACUAUUAUUUUCAUAAUGAUUUCGUUUUAGAGAAAAAAAUAUGAAAACAAAAGUGAUUUGGCCUCCUAUCGAUCGUUUCCGAUUAUUUUCAUGCCUAGUUUUGCAAGCCUGUUCGCUUAAGUUUAUCUAUCAAAUCUGUCAACUAUUCAAGAGUAUUUUUUUUCUUACAACAAAUCAUCAAAUACAUUCAUGAUUUAUCAGCCAAGCAUGGAACUAGCUUUUGGAUCAUCCGACGUCGUGGCCGUUGAGGGACGUGAUCCGUCGAAGUGCCGCAUGUUUGAGCGUUCGCCCUUUGGCAAUACAUUGUUAUCGCAAACACAAUCGAUUUGCAAACACAAUCGAUUUUCUAGAGAAGAUCAAUGCCAGACAGGAGCGAGGCCAACGAUUGCGAUAGAAACUGGGCCAAGUCGAAGCAUGAUGUCGCUCCCAUUCAACAUCUCAAAAAACCUGCUGCCCGUCUCUUUUUCAACCGAUCCAUCAUUCCCCUCGAACAGGCAUUCUUGGCAAACAAACAGGGUUCAGAAAAAGGCCAUCAAAUGAUCAACCCUUCCAAGCAGCUCUACAUUCUCUGCGCAGCUAGCUCGGAGAGCUUUCUUCUGCUCGUUCCAUCGAGGCAAACAUCUCAGGGAGGGGAGGGCCUAGCAUCAUCCAUGUGACAGACAGUCAUCCAUGCAUGCACGGGCCCAGCAAAACUGCACCCUCUGGCGUAAGCUGUAGUAGCCUCUUUGUCUACGAGCAUCAUACAUGUACACGCGUAGAUGUCAGUGGCACACGUUAUCCGGCCGGUACACCCGCGCGGCGCCUCUACACGUCGCUGUGCCGGCUGCCCGGCACGGCGGUGGGGCGGUGCGGCAUGUUGCUGGCAUGAUUGGUCGCCAUGGAGCCUAUAGAAAGCAGCGUCCACGGCGCGCGCGCCUCGCCUCGGAUAAGCCGCGGCGCAAGCACCAUCAUCGUGUUCCUGAAAGCGUUGUAUCAUGAAGCAGGCCGCCUGCAGCGGUGCCAAGCACGGACUCGAGUAGCAAGCAGCAGUUCAGUCAGUCCGUGCAGGUGCUGUGCGGGCAGACGCUGAAAGACUCGACAACGAAUGACAAGUGCACUCUCAUGGCUAAAGAAAGCCUACCUAGCUAGGCGAUACAGAAAUUAACCGGAGCAGGCUCUAGAGGUGGCAUGAUUCAACGUGAUCUGAUGAGUGUGUAGAAGCUGCGUGGGCAUGUCAGCGGCAUAGCAGCGGCGUGGCUGGCCUAAUCCGGCAUGGCAGCGGCGGCGUCAGCCUGACGGAUGUUCAUGUCGCAGGAGCUAGCAGAGCUUCAGAGGUGCUUGAGUUUCUGCAUCUACUCUAUGCAUCUUCUGCUGCUAAAGUGCUGGAGUAGCAUCCAGCAGAAAUUCGACGGGGAAAUUCCUCCCGAGCAGAGGCUAAUCGAUCGAGUCUGCCAGGUUUCUGCUCCUGAUCGAUUGUGAGAUCGUGCUGUCUUUUUGACCGGCAAUUUGGCAACGGCCGGACGGUAUGAUUACUUGGCAGUCGGCACCUGACGUUCUUGUUAGCGUUUGUAUUAUGUUUUUGUACAAUCAAUCUUUGACAGUAGUUGUGUUGUUGAUGAGAAUAAGUUAGGGGAGAUUUGGCCAUUUCUUGCCGGAAAAAAAAAAGCAGUCAAUGAGUUUUGUGCUCUGUAUAUAUGAAGUUGGUAUUUGCCCACCCGCUCUCUGAACUCUGAAUAAACUUGCAAAAAGCAUCUGAUGCAACAAAAUAGCAUCUUUUUGAAAGAUGCAACAAUAGCACAUAAGAACCAGACGUCUCAAUUAUCCUCGGACAACUUUCGUUUGCUUUUGGCUAGCGAGGUGUGUUUCUGUUUCGCAUGUGGACGCAGCGUACGUGGGAAAAACUUGCACGGGCUUUUCCCCAUUUCAGUAGAAUCUCCCUUCCAUAUGGCCAUACUCUUUCCCCACUUCAGCAGAAUCACCCUUUUCCUGUUCAUGAAGCCUGACAUGUAGUAUAUAUAUUGGCACAUGUCACCCCAUAUGGCCAUACUCUUUCUCGCCCGUGAACCUUCCGUAUACCCGCUAAGAGCCAAGGCAUAGAAGAAAGCGAAGAGGGCAAAGGGAAUCUCAUCGAACUGAAAUACUGAAUUUCUUCCAGUCGUAGUGGCUGCAGCUAUCACGUACAGCAUCAAAUUGUCAGUUUGGUGGGUGCUGCCAUACUACUACUACUACUAGCUGUAGUGCGUGAUGGAGAGCGCAUCAACCAUCAUCUUGGACAAAUUCCCUAAUAUAAAAACCCAAGUUGUCCACAAAGGAUUCGAGAUCCCAUCCUCCAAUUGCCACCCCGUUCGAUACACUGGAAACGAUAAGUUGCCCCCUCUUUCCAGCCCCCCAAAAGUCUGAAAAGAGGCCAUGGCCAUGAGCUUGCAACCAACAGUCCAUGCUCCUUCAUCAUCUGGCCGUUUGGACGUUUGACGCUAUCCGUGCCCAUUAUGCAGCAGCUCUUUGAUCAGAUCAAGACAUCAAGUGCAUGCCAACAUGCCAUCCUCUGUCCAGACGAGCAAAUUUGUAUCGUUGCAUGCAAGGACAGGCAUCAACAAUCCAAGCCGCAUCCGGCAUCGGCCAUGCUUUGCUGCCCGCGCGCCUCUACCACCCGGCCAGUUAGCUCAAACUCAUCCAUCAGACCAUCAGUCUCAGCAGCCGAUCAGGGAGGCCAGAGGACCCUCGUAGUAGUAGACAAGCACGAGAGGGCAGGCUGCAGGAGGACAGACGAUACAUAUAGGGCUGGGUAGGGUAGGGUAUGGACCUCCAAUCGUCCAUUCCAUCGGGCUGCCGGCUGCGCAUGCAGAUAAUGCAUACUGUACUAUGCAUGGAUGGUGGUUGCGAUGGGGACGCGUGAGCGAGAAAUUGUUCCAGUGGCCAGGCCAACCAAUGCAACCGGUGAUCGGCCGGGGCUGGCUGAUCCAUCCGUGGUUCGAUUGGAAUUUGGCCGCCUCUUGGAUUCUUGCCCACGGUCCACGGAUGUUACGAAUCUGGAUGUUCUCUUCCAUUCCAUCAGAUGGAAAUAUAUGGCCUCAUUGCAAUAUGCAUGACCUAGCUAUUGGAGGUUGGAGGUCGACGAUGUCCUUUCUCUUCUGAACUUUGUGCACUGGACAACACUGAAUUCGUAGCCGUGAGCCCGUGAGGCCCGUUUCUCUGAACAACACUAAUUGAGGCUACGGCCUGAUUAGGCUCUACGCAUGCUGUUAGGUGUGCUAAUUAGGUGCACUACGUGCUGCUCCUACGGUCCUAUUGCCCUCGUAGUAGUAGUAAUAGUAGUACGUACUCCCUCCGUCCACGAAAAAAUCAAUUUCUAGAGUUGUCCUAAGUCAAAAUUUUUAAACUUUGACCAAAUUUCUAGAAAAAAUACUAAGAUUUAUGGUAUCAAAUUAGUAUCAUUAGAUUCAUCGUAUAAUAUAUUUUUAUAUGAUGUGCAUUUUAUAUCAUAGAUGUUGUUACUCUUUUCUAUAAAGUUAGUCAAAUUUUUAAAAGUUUGACUGACACGGAUUUUAAGAAUUGACUUUUUCGUGCACGGAGGGAGUACAUGCUACUGCGCUAAGCACAAGACGGGACAUGCAACUAAGCACACACGCUCGCGAAUCCAGAGAAGAGCUGUAGUGCGUGAUGGAGAGCAGGUGGCGUGGGUUUGCGUCGAGGCAGCCUCGGUUUCUCGCGUUGCAUGCUGCUCUCUAGGCAGGUUGCCUCUGCCAGCGCCGGCCAUGAUCGUCCGAAAUCCUAUGCUCUGUGCUCUUGCUAGUCCGCCUAAAAUAAACCCAACUGCGAGUCUCAGGCCUUGUUUAGUUGCUAAUUUUUUUCAAAAUUCUCUAUCAUAUAAAAUCUUUAGACGCAUACAUAAAAUAUUAAAUAUAGAUAAAAAUAACUAAUUAUACUAUAAUUUGCGAGAUGAAUCUUUUAGAUCUAGUUAAUUUAUAAUUAGAUAAUAAUUAUUAAAUAAAAAUAAAAAAACUAUAGUAACCAGAGCUAUAAAUUUUUUCACAAACUAAACAAGACCUCAGACGCGGAAAUUGUUCAAAACGGAUGGCCUAAAGUCUAAACGCAUGGCGACUUGCUGCUCCGUCUUCCGUCACAAAGACGGAGCGGUCUUGUUUAGUUUCAAUUUUUUUGCCAAAAUAAUUACUAUAACAAUUUCAUUUAUAUUUAAUAAAUAUUGUCUAAUCAUGGACUAUCUAAGCUUGAAAAUUUCGUCUCGUAAAUUAUAAAUGUAUAUUUAGUUAUUGUUUUUAUUUAUAUUUAAUACGCUAAUGCAUGUGUCGCAAGAUUUGAUGUGAUGAGAAUUUGAAAAAUUUUGUAAAAAUUUUUUAGAACAAAACAAGGCCUGAGUGUGGCUAUAUCCGCCUAAAGUUCCUUUCGAGACCGGCCAAAAUCCAGCUGGAUUUGCCAGAAUUUUUUUGCAAAUUCCGCCGUGACUGGGGGAGCUGUGGAGGGUGCCGCUGCCACGCAGUCCACACAUACUGUACGGCAUGUGGAAACAGUAGCGAUGCCGUAUCAGCAUGUCGGCGGCGGCACGUGGGGAACCUCCUCGCGUGUAUGCAUGCGCAAUGCGUACCCGGACGUGCGGCGCUAAGCUUUACACGGGGAGUAAACAACAAGCACUCCCUCAAGAUGAAACAGCUUUUACUGGGACAUCAAGCUGACCACAUGCAAUGCACUGCUCGUAGGCUAAGAACUUGUUUAGAUACACCCAAAAACUAAAAACUUUACAAGAUUUCUCAUCACAUCGAAUCUUGCGGCACUUGCAUUAAACAUUAAAUAUAGAUAAAAAAAGAUAACUAAUUGUACAGUUUACCUGUAAAUUACGAUAAAAAUCUUUUAAGCUUAGUUACUCCAUAAUUGGACAAUGUUUGUCAAAUAAAAACAAAAGAUGCUACAGUGUCAAAAUCCAAAAAAAUUUUGGAUCUAAACAAGGCCUAAAAAAACACUACUGCUGUAAAAGUUAUAAGUGAAACUGUUCGCCAAUUUAUUAUAAGAGAAAAAUACUAUUGAAAAAUAAAAAAAUACGACUUACAAAAUAAGCGAAUAGAUGUGAGCACAGGAUAUAAAAGCUCACCGUACCUACGGGGAUAUAUUAACUUAUUAAGUCCGCCAUUAUUGAUCCAUUAGCUAGUAUGAAGCAUGAACGCUGAAAUAUGAGGACAAUAUUGUUCAUGGAUAGCAGAAAUAAGUGAUUGUGUAAACUGUUAGUUGUUAGUUUAGUUCUUGUGUUGUAUUGUUUGUAUGAGUAUGACACUUAGUUAUGAAUCUAUGUAAACGAGAUUAUUGAUGAAAGCAUGUGUUGUUUAACUAUUAAUAUAUAUUUGAGUUUUCUAGCUAACUCCUGAUUUUUUUAAUAUAUAUUUGAGUUUUCUGAACUUGUAUUGAGGUGUUACUCAUGUUCUCAACUCUCAAAUUUUGAUAUUUGGAUCCCUAAUCUAAAUCCCUGAACUCGGAGGUCAACACAUAAUUAGCAUGAGCCAUUAGUGCCAUCUUUGUGUUGACAUGCAAGUUCCUAUAUAUAUAUAUAUAUAUAUAUAUAUAGGUGACACCGACAUAUAAGUCUGGAAAUAUAAAUAAUAAAAUUCAAGAGUUGAAGACCCAAGUGACAUGACAAUGCAAGCUCAAAGAUCACUCAUGUAUCAGAAAUGGAAAGUUAAGUGCAACUCCAAUAAUUCCUUUAUAUCCUUCAGAUAAGAAUAUAAUUUUUUGUGUUUAAUUAAAUUUCUAAAUAUUCCCAUCCUCAAAUCUCUAUUUCUAUUUUCUCGCUAGUUAAAAAUAGAGAAUGGCGAUGAUCCUCCGAAAUACGUAUAAAAUAUAAUAAAGCUGUUAGAAGAUGGAAAGAUGUAUAUGAAGUUUUUUUUUUAUUCAAAUGGCUCGUUAAAUAGGGAUUUGAUCUUGGAGAUCGACGUUCCAAGGACCUACUAGAUGACGUCGGCGGUUACUCUCGUUUCUUCCUCCCCCGAACAAUGUGCCCACUACGGACGGGUGAUGUAUGUUUAGCGAAAGUGAAAAGUGAUGGAUGUAAUGAUUGUCUAUUAUCAGUGAACAGUAAUUUUACAUAUAUAUACAAGAGGCAGUUAUUUGUGUCAGUGACACAAGAACAGUGCCUUGGCGCCCACGGGGCCUAAAACGAUGCGGCGACGGUUCGGUCAUUAGCACGUGUCUAAUGACAGGAAUAUACUAAUUGAUCAUUUAAUUAAUUAUUCUAAUUAAUCCUAACACUCCCUCUUGAUGAAUUAAUCUUCUUGUGGGCACCGUUUCUUGUUCAUCAGUAUACGUCUUGAAGCUUUGGAAAAACCCUGUGGGAAAAAUCCAAAGUAUAUGGAUAUACCAGGUAAAACUCUCUAAAACCUAGUGGGAAAAAUAAGGAGAAACCCCAUGAUAUAUAUGAAAUCAAUGUUAAUAGACCCUUUAGGUAACCUAAAGACUUAGGCCCUGUUUGGUUCCACCAACUAAAUUUUAGUCACUUUAGUAGCUAAAGUUCCAAACACAUUGACUAAAAGAGGCUAAAAUAGUUUAGUUCCAUUAGUCACUCAAGAGUAGCUAAAAUAAUUUUAGCUAGCUAAAAUUUAGUUGGUGGAACCAAACAGGGCCUUAGUCUAAAACAAUUUGAUCAGAGAUCAAAAUGUCAAAUAUUAUCCUUGAAAAACCUCAAUGAGGAAAAAUAGAUAAUAUGACAAUCACCUUGUGUUACUAUUACCUCAUUAAAAACUUUAUUUGAGAAAGCUCUUAAUAGAGUAAAACUCAUAUAAAGGAAAAAGAGUAUAAUAUAAUGAUGAAGUAGAAUAUCUUUUUAGAGAGAUUCUCCCCCUGAACUUUGCAAAUCUUUAAGCUUUCUCAUACCAAUCCCAUCAACACAUUUCUUGAAUGUGGAGUAUGGUAGAGAUUUUGUGAAAAUAUCUGCUAGAUUAUCACAAGAUUUCGUUUGCAAGAUCUCUAUUUCUCCAUUCUUUUGGAGCUCAUGAGGGUAGAAUAAUUUAGGAAUAAUAUGCUUAGUCAUAUUACUCUUAAUAUAUCCUGACUCCAUCUGAGUAACACAAGCCGAAUUAUCUUCAAAGAUAAUAGUCGGUGUCUCAGCUAUACCAAUACCACAUGAUUGUGUUAUGUGGUGAAUUACUCUACGAAGCCAUACGCAUUCGCGUGAUGCUUCAUAUAAAGCAAUUAUUUCAGAAUGAUUGGUAGAGGUGGACGUUAGUGUCUGCUUUGAAGACUUCCAAGAUAUUGUUGUACCACCUUGUAAGAAAACAAAGCCCGUCUGGGAUCUACCAUGAUGUGGAUCUGAUAGAUAACCAGCGUCUGUAUAUCCUAACAAAAUUGGAUCUUGAUUUCUGCUAUAGAAUAAACCAAGAUCUUUUGUGCCAUUAAGGUAUCUAAAUACCGUUUUGACUCCUACCCAAUGGCGUUUAGUAGGUGCAGCAUUAUGUCUUGCCAGCAGAUUUACUGCAAAUGCAAUAUCCGGCCGGGUAUUGUUAGCAAGAUACAUUAGUGCUCCUAUGGCACUGAGAUAUGGGAAAUGUGGUCUCAAUAUCUCUUCAUUCUCUUCCCGAGGUCUAAAUGGAUCCUUUUCCACAUCUAAGGAUCUUACUACCAUCGGUGUUUUUGUUGGAUAUGACUUGUCCAUAUUGAAUUUUUCCAAUAUCUUUUGGACAUAGCUAGAUUGGUAUACGAAUAUACCAGAAGGUAAGUGCUCAAGUUGUAAACCCAAGCAGAAUUUGGUUUGACCCAAAUCCUUCAUUUCAAACUCCGUCUUUAAAUGAUGACGUGCUUCAUCAAUAUCGGAUCCAUUGCCGAUAAUAUUGAGGUCAUCAACAUAAACUGAUAUAAUACAGAAUCCAGUUGAUGACUUCUUAAUGAAGACACAAGGACAGUCAUCAUUAUUUGUGUAUCCCUUUAGCUUAAGGAAUUCACUUAACCGAUUGUACCACAUUCGGCCUGACUGCUUUAAGCCAUAUAAUGACUUCUGCAACUUUACGCAAUACAUAUUGCGAUUUGCCUUCGGGUUUGGUAUAUUGAUUCCAUCUGGAACCUUCAUGUAUAUAUCUGAAUCUAAUGACCCAUAUAAAUAUGCGGUCACGACGUCCAUCAACUGCAUAGAUAGACGAUUUUGUACUGCCAAUGCUAUUAAGUAUCGGAAUGUUAUUCCGCUCAUUACUGGAGAGUAAGUUUCGUUGAAAUCAACGCCAGGUCUUUGCGUAAAACCUUGUGCCACUAGCUACCAGGAGGUGUUGGCAUUACAGCCGAAAACACUUUCCUUUUAUAAAGCGAGGCAAUCUCUGUUUGAAUUGCUAUCUUCCAAUUAUCCCAAUCUGAGCGCUUUUUGCACUCAGCAUGGACUUGGGAUCUGUAUCAGUUUGGAUGAUAUUUGUAAUUUCUUCAGAGAAAUAAAUGUCGACAAUUAUGGACUUACGAUUGUAAGACUCUCCAGUCUCAGCGAAAUUUAUAGAAAUUUCGUCUACCCUUAAAGAUUCAUCAUGAUUUCCCAAGAUGAUGGAUCGAGGGUUUUCAGCUGUUUCAGCCUCAGUAUUUAUGCGCAUAACUGAGUUAGUUGAUGGACAAUAUGUGUCCUUUGGGUGUCUUUGCUUGUCAAUAAUCAGAUCCUGUUUCUUGGAAGUGCUUCUCCCCCUCUUUUUACCAAAUUGGGGUUGAGUGGUUUUAUUAGGUACCUCCACUCGUUCAGGCACAUUCCUUGCAGGAUGUAGAGACUUUGUGACACCUUUAUGAUCAAUGAAAGCGUCUGGCAGAUUGUUUGCAAUAUUUUGCAAAUCAAUGAUUCUUUGAACUUAUUGUUCAGUUUCCGUAGUACGUGGAUCAGUAAAUGAGAUGCCUUUAGCAUCCCAAUCUAUUUCCUGGCAUUCUUUUUGGUACAAUUCUCCCCCUAAUGCCGGGAAAUGAUCCUCAUUAAAAAUACUAUCAGCGAACCGGGCAGUAAAUAGAUCCCCUGUAAGAGGCUCUAAAUACUUAAUAAUUGACGGAGAUGAGUAUCCAAUAUAGAUACCCAAUUUCCUGUGAGGGCCCAUUGAUGUUCGUUGAGGUGGUGAGAUGGGUACGUAUACAGCGCACCCAAAUUUACGCAAAUGGGAAAUACUCGGAGGAUUCCCACGUACUAAUUGUAAAGGGGAUGUUUCGUGAUAUGCAGUUGGUCGUAGUUGGAUUAGGUCUGCAGCGUGCAGGACUGCAUGACACCAACAUGACGUAGGCAAUUUGCAAUUCAUUAACAAUGGUCGUGCAAUGAGCUUGAUUCUUUUAAUCAACGAUUCAGUCAAACCAUUUUAAGUAUGGACGUAAGGUACAGAGUGCUGAACCUGAAUUCCCAAUGCCAUGCAAUAAUCAUUGAAAGCACGGGAUGAGAAUUCAGCAGCAUUGUCCAUUUGGAUUGAUUGAAUCCGAUGUUCAGGAUAAUGAGCUUUCAACUUAAUAAGUUGAGCCAUUAUUUUAGCAAAUGCAUGGUUGCGUGUCGAUAAAAGACACACGUAAGACCAUCUAGUGGAUGCGUCUAUUAAAACCAUGAAGUACCUGAACGGCCCCGAUGAUGGUUGAAUCGGACCAUAAAUAUCUCCUUGAAUUCGUUCAAGGAAUUUAAGUGGUUCAGCUCGUAUUUUAAGAUGUGAUGGUCUUAAAAUUAAUUUCCCCGUAGCACAAGCAGUGCAGCAAAAAUCUUUAUUUUGGGGAAAUCUUGCUUUUUCCAUGUCAUGACCAGUAGAAUUGCUAAUAAUUUUCCUCAUCAUCCCAAUACCAGGAUGCCCAAGUCGAUCAUGCCAGUUACGGAAUGUAUCGACAUCUCGGAAAAUUAUUUUGUAAGCAAUAUGUUUUACAGGUUUUAUGUAUGUGAAAUACAAUCCAUGUUGGAGUGAAGAAAUCUUUUCGCAAAUUCGUUUGCCAAAUGCCGUAAGUUUGGUAAAGAGAAGAUAUUCCUCUUCACUGUCUUCAUGUGUUUCCACAUGAAAACCAUUCUUACGGAUGUCUCUAAAACUUAGAAGGGUACGAGUUGAUUCGGGAUACAACAAUGCAUCCUCUAUCGUAAUUUGUGUACCCAUUGGGAGAGUAAUAGUGGCCCGUCCAGAACCAACUAUUAACGCAUCAUUACCAGCAAUAGUCAAGAUGUUCCCUUCUCUUUUCUUAAGAGUUUGGAAAUAUUUAAUUUCUCUAAGUAUAGAGUUUGUGGCCCCUGAGUCCACAAUGCAUAGUUCUUCCUCCAGUGGAUUGAGUUCAUCAGACAUCUAUAUGUAUAGUAAAGAAAAUAAAUACUAUAAAUGAAUCAUACAAGUAUAUAAUAAUAAUAUAUUGAAUAUCAAGUAUGAUAUAUUACAAUAUGAGUAACUUGUUACAAACUUGAUAUAACAAAACAAGUAUGUAUAAAAUACAAGCACACAAAAUAAAGGUAUGACUUAGACUAAUUACAACGCUCUAUAUAUAUAUAUUAUGAUAUCAAGGUUCAGAUUAUGAGAUUAUUCUAAAUCUCCAAACAUGUCUCCAGAUUCAAAAUCUAUGAGCAUGUUGUCUGUUGAUGGCAUUUUCUCUUCAAUAUUGAGAGAUUCACUACGGGUUUGUUUCUUAGGGGCUAUCUUGGAACAACUCGCUUCCUUGUUAGCCUCAGUUGCAAGAUUGAAGUGUGCUUCAUAUUUCUUAUCUCCUGCAGGCUUAGCCUCUUUUAAGGACUUUUGGUACAAAGCAACUAAAUGCUUUGGAGUACGGCAAUUCUUGGCAAAAUGCGAAAAAUCUCCGCAUCUGUGACACUUGUUGUCAUUUUUGGGAGUUUUUGCAUUGUCCUUGUUCUUCUUAUUAUGAUUAAACCUUUGCUUUUUGUUGAAUUUGCGUUUACCAAAUUUGUUCUUCGGAAAUUUUCCUUUAAACUUAUUCUUGGGCUUUUCCUGUACAUUGUGAACCUCAGGUAAAGGCGCCGAACCAACAGGGCGCUUAUGAUGAUUCUUCAAAAGGAGUUCAUCAUGUUUUUCUGCCUGAGUUAAUGUAUGGAUAAGCUGAGAAUAUGCUUGGUAAUUAUGAGCCCUGUAUUGCUGUUGCAAAACUCUAUCAGAUGGGAGCAUGGUAGAGAGUGUUUUCUCUAUCUUGUCUUUAUCUGAUGGCUCUUUUUCGUAAAAUUUCAACUUAGAGCAAAUCCUAUGAACAGCGUGGUUAAAGUCUGCCACAGAUUUGAAAUCUUGGAGACGUAAGUGAUUCCAUUCAUGAUUGGCUUCUGGCCAAAUGAGUUCUUUUUGCUGUUCAUAUCGUUCUUUAAGAGCGUCCCAUAAUUCUUUGGGACUCUCAAUCAUAAGGUAUUCAGAUUUUAAAUCCUUAUGAAUAUAAAACCGUAGUAAAGCCAAAGCUUGAUAAAUUUGCUUUUCUUGCAGGGCAUCCCCAUUUUGGGGGUCCUGUAUUGUUGCCAAAAGACUACGAGAUGCAAGUGCUAUCUUGAUAUCAGAAGCCCAUGUAGGAUAAUUCUCUCCGUGUAAAGAGAGUUCCUCAAAUUCCCUAGUGGAAGUCAUAAUCCUACAUGUGCAUUUGCAACCAUGGAUUAAUUAAUUUACCCUAUGGUAAAUUUAAAAACAACAUGGUAGAGUUGUAAUUCUGAAUGCAAUAUAUUUUAUGAUUUAUAUCUUAUCUUAGUGUUGGAUUUGUUGUGAUUAGUCACGAGAUUGUGUAGACCAUACAACCAAAUCACCAUUAAUUUUGAUAAACACAAGUGAGAUAGUCUCUAUGUCAUAGACAAAGAGUAGAUCUUAAUAGUAGGCAAUUUAGAUUGCUGCCUAAGCACGGUCUCAAGGCAAGAUAAUUCAUAAAGAAUUAAAUGCAGCCUUUGCUUAGGACUCUACUACCUUGUGUAUAAUCAAAAUAGUAUGAUGAUAUAACAAUCCAAUACCUUUAUUUUGGAUAAAACACAAUGUAGGUAAUCAUCAAAUUUCAAAGAAAAUGAUGUAGACCUCUCAGUAAUAGGUGAUUAAAUCACUGCUAUGGCACGGUCUCUAGGCAGAAUAAUUCAUGAAGAAUUAAGCGCAGCCUUUGCCAUAGACUCUAUUACCUUGUGUAUAUUUAACCAAAAUAAUCAAGAUAUGUAUAUUGCAAUUUUUAAUCUUAUGGUAAUCUAGAAAUAAUUCUGAUUAUAAAGAUGUCAUAGUUAAAUUGUAGCUAAGUCAAAUAGCAAUUUAAUUUGUAUGUGGUGCAAAAUUUGUGGUUUGGGGCACCAACAUACCCUAUUUCUAUUAUAAAAUUCCAAUUGUAACUUUAUGUUAGUGCAAAACAGGGGGUUUUGGGUGCACUAACAGAUCACCAAAAUUAUUAUCAAAGUCACAAAUAUAAUAUAUGUGGUGCAAAUGGGUUUGUGUGCACCACAUAUAUCAAAAAUAUAAUAGAAAAGCCAUUGCAUCACAAUAUAAUCAAGCCACAAAUUAAUAUACAAUGAUAAUAUCCAGCAGUACAAGCAGGAACAUACAACAUAAAUAAUCUGAUGUUCUGCAGAGGAUAAACUAAAUAAAGCAUAGGCUAAAACAGUUUAUCCAUUUAUUUAUUUACUACUACUGCUGAAAGAAAUAAGAAAGAAUACGAAAAAGAAAAAGGGGCCCAGGCGGCCAGCCAGGCCCGCGGCCCCGCCAGCCGGCCAGGCGCGCGGCCCAGCCAGGCCAGGGCGCGGCCCAGCCAAGGCCAUCCAGGCCUGCAGCCGUAUAUAAGGAGGGGAGCGGUUAGGGUUUGGGAAACCCUAACCGCCCACCCGCCCCAGCCCGCCGCCGCCUGCCUCUGACCGCCGCCGCCGGCGCGCCGCCGCACUGCCGCCGCCGUCGAGACGCCUCGUCCGCCUCCCCCUGUGCCUUCUCCUCCCCCUUUUGCUCCUCUCAUGGCGGGUUUGGGCCCUUGCUCGAUUUCGGCCAUGGAGGUCGGCCGGCAGUGGGGUCCGCCCGUCCCCGGCGAGCUCCGGCCAUGGAGGCCGAUGCUGCUAGCCGGGAGCGGCGGGAUCCCCCCCGCCGGCCCCACCGUGGUGCAUCAAGGGCGGCGGGUCGCCUCCCCCUUCACCGAGGAGGAGACAAACCCAGCCCCGAGUUUGUCGGCGGGCGGAAGGGCGUCACGGCCCCGGGCGGAGGUCGCGGCCACGACGUCGGCGUACGAGCGGCCGCGAGUUGGUGGAGGUGCGAUCGGGGAGAGCGCCGUUGGACGGGUUGGAGGAGGCGGUGGGGUGAUGUCGAAGUCGUAGGCGAAUCCCGGCGGCCAAGCCGGUAUGUCGACGUCUCGGCGUGCGGCCGCCAGGCCACCACCUCCGUUCCAUGGGCGAAGGAGUGCGGACGACGUCGGGAGCAGCGCCGUAGGAGUCGGCGCCGGCAACGGGGACGGCUUCGGCAACGACGACGGCUUCGGCGAGGCCACCGGUGUUGCCCCAACCCGGCGGACGAAGGUGGUCGGGCCGUGGCGGGGGCAAACACCAGUGGUGUACUGUAUCCGCGAUGAACGCGGUGCUUGCCGUGGCGUCGAAGGUCGGCCACCGGCAUUCGGUCCGGUGGCGAGGCGGCGGUGAAGGGCGAUGCGGUGCUGGCCAAUGUCCUUGAGGACUCGGCGGAUGGCGCCCUGGAGGAUGAACCUGCGGACUCCUCCAGGGUGGCUGUUGCCACGGGCGAUGGCGGCCUCCACGGCGUCGGUGACCGCGUCAACCAUGGCGUUCAUGGAAGGGAGUGGAGGAGUCGUCAUCUUCUACCUCUCCGGUGAAUCUCCGGUGGAACUCCGGCGAACUCCUUUCUCUCUGGCUUACUUGCGUCAGCGGUUGUUGGCAGAGCGUGCGUGCGUGAUAACGUGUUUAGCGAAAGUGAAAAGUGAUGGAUGUAAUGAUUGUCUAUUAUCAGUGAACAGUGAUUUUACAUAUAUAUACAAGAGGCAGUUAUUUGUGUCAGUGACACAAGAACAGUGCCUUGGCGCCCACGGGGCCUAAAACGAUGCGGCGACGGUUCGGUCAUUAGCACGUGUCUAAUGACAGGAAUAUACUAAUUGAUCAUUUAAUUAAUUAUUCUAAUUAAUCCUAACAAUGUAUACGUACAUGAUUGGAAUCCAGUGGAAUUGAAAACGGAAUAACGCGACGCUGCUUCACUCCGGUACGAGGAACGGAACAGUAGUCGUGCAUGUGAGUAGACGCGAUCCGGUAGUCACCACCCCCAACAACUGCUUCGAGCUGUGCAAAUUCGCGUCCGCUUCCAAACUCCAUCGCGCUUCAUGAACGGUGUUAGAGUAUUGUCAAGGCAACGUGGGGAGAGAAAAAAAAAAUCUUUGCGUAGAAGAGACCGCGACCGGCCCGGACGUGUACACGCAACGCCGUGCGGCUGCGACCUGCGACCGUGCGGCUGCGGGUGCCGCCCGCACGGCCGCACCGCGCAGCGCACCGCGCGUACGCCCCCGUGACCAGAGAGUCUCGGCCGUGCGCGCCCCUCCUCGUACGCCCGCCCGCCCGCCCCGACCGCGCCGCGCACCGCACCACCUCUCUCCCCUCCCUCGCCUACUAUGAUGACGGCACAGAGACACGAGCGCAGGCCGUUCGCGUCUCCAGGCCUUUAAACGCCACGACGCGACGCCAGGCCAGGCCGGGACGCGAGCGAGCGAGCGAGCGAGCGGCGCGGCAGCCGAAGCAACGCAAAAACGACACCAACGGGUGGAUUUUUAAGUCCGCUUCCCUUCGCCUUCCCCGUCUCCUCUCCCCGUGCCCUCCCCAUCCUUUUUUUUUACCCGCCCGCCCGCCAGCCGCCGUUUCGGUUGCUCGGCUGGGGGAGCACCAGCGCUCGAAGUCUAUGGCGGCGUCGGCGAGGGCGUGCUUGGUUGCGCUGGCGCUGGUGGCCGCGCUCAUCCUCGACGGACCAGCGGCAGCGGCGGCGGAGGAGGGGAAUGCCGGAGGCCGCGGGUCGCUGACGCUGAGGCAGCGCCGCCGGCAGCUGCUACGGCAGCGGCAGGUGCGCAGCCACCUCAAGCGCCUCAACAAGGCGCCGCUCGCUACCAUUCAGGUACUGCUGCGUGCCCGCCCCCGCCUUACCCGUCCGUCUCCUCCCACCGCACCGGCGACGGCGAGCGUACGCCUCGUUCCAUUUCCAUCCAUCCAUGCGUUUCGCAUUCCCCUCGUCAGCGGCUUCGUUUUCUUCGGGUCAUUGUUGUGGGGGCAGUGGGAGUGAAUCCAAGUGAAUCGAUUCCAUGGGUGGAGUGGGAAAAAAAAAGCCAAGGUCCUGCAUUUGGCAUGGAAGUAGGAGCCCCUUUCGAGGCAGCAGGGUUCUUGUUUGUGCCUGCGCGCCUGCCGCGGCGCUUGGUCCACUUCGUCGCUUCGCUUUGGAAGAGUUGAAUGGCUGUUCCUCGUGGACCAUCUCCUCGCUUUCCUUCCGUCGCGGGAGGAGAAAGUCUCGCUUUUGGACAAAUUUUAUGGGUGCCCGUGCUUCCUUUGCUUCAUUGAACUCGAAGCUAGAGACGCUUGCUUUUGCUCGCUUUUCUUUCAUCUUUGGAGAACUAUCAUAGUCUUUUCUUUCCUGAUGAACCAUUGUUCGUAUGUAUGCAGAAGCAUUGUAUGCUUAUUAGUUUGGUUAAUACUCUCAUCUUUGGAGUAUUUUUUUUUUCAAUGUAGCAUUGGUUGAAGAUGGAAUGUCUUCACUUUUUUUUCUCUCUUUUCUCUGCAAAUGAGAAAAUCUGACAUGUACAUAAAAAAGAUUCAGAGAAAAUCUUACAUGUUCAGGAAAAAAAAAGAGUUUGGCACGAAAAAAGUUUAGCGCAAUCUUUUUUUCCCCGCAUUUUUGCAACUGGUACUAAUUAUGAGAUAUCAUCUUAACAGAGUCCAGAUGGAGACAUCAUAGACUGCGUGCAUAUCUCCAAGCAGCCUGCCUUGGAUCACCCCUUCCUUAAGAACCACACCAUCCAGGUUCCUCUCUCUGCAGCGCCAUUGCUCUUUCCCAUUUCGCUUUCUGCAGCAGUGUUUCUACCCCACACAUCACUACAGCAGCACUAAUUAAAACAUGCUCUAUCAUCACAUUACCUUUGCAGAUGCGGCCUGCAUACCACCCGGAAGGUCUGUAUGAUGAGUCCAAGGUUGCAUCGCAGCAGAACGCCCAAACAAUCACCCAAAUGUGGCAUCAGAAUGGCAGGUGCCCCGAGAACACGAUACCGAUCAGGAGGACCAAGGAGGAGGACGUCCUGAGGGCCAGCUCCGUCAGGAGGUAUGGCAAGAAGAAGGGCAAGACUACCGCGAACCCCAUGUCGGUUGACCCUGACAUGCUCAACGAGAGCGGCCACCAGGUUAGUGCAGAUUGUUUCAUCCAGUAACCUUAAUAGCAGUACUGAUUGAUAUUCUUGUUCCUGAACUGUGGUUAUCUCUGAAACUGCUCAUUUAACCUUGUUCCAUCUUACCUCCCAUGGAGCAGCAUGCCAUAGCAUAUGUGGAGGGCGAUAAGUACUAUGGCGCCAAGGCUACCAUCAAUGUGUGGCAACCGAAGAUCGAGCAGGCUAAUGAGUUCAGCCUGUCCCAGCUCUGGAUCUUGGGGGGCUCCUUCGGACAGGACCUCAACAGCAUCGAAGCAGGAUGGCAGGUGAGGGAGAAAGAGAAACCCACUUCAUGAAAAGUUCUAUUAAAUGCUGCCUUGCAGUUUCCAUUUCUGUUCUUCAUCUUCUUCCAUGGGCUCAAUAAUUUCUCCUCUGCACGCGUUAAUAAUUUCUCUCUUGUGUGCUGCAAUAAUGAUAUGAGAACUGCUGAUGAAAGAGCUAUUAAAUGAGUAGGAGCUAGAAUAGAUUCUGCAUCGACACAGAUGUUCUCUUUCAUGAGCUGUACUAGGCUACUAGCAAUAUGUGGUGUUUAGGAGCUAAGCAUGCUCUAAUGGUGGAGUGAAAUGUGCCAUCACUUUCAUUGUGGUUAAUGGCUCUGUGCUCUCCACGAAAUUGCAGGUUAGCCCAGACCUGUAUGGAGACAACAACACUAGGCUCUUCACCUACUGGACUGUAAGAUAAACAUCACAUUCUUUUCAAUCUUCAUGAACAAUUAUUUUUAGUUUAUCUUUGUCCUCUGCCUAGAUCUACAUCCCUAUCUUAUGAUUCUCAAAUUGGGGGAUGGCCUAAUGAUACUGAUUUUGUAUUGCUUUGGAUACUACAGAGCGAUGCGUAUCAAGCAACAGGAUGCUACAACCUGCUGUGCUCGGGGUUCAUCCAGAUAAGCAAUCAGAUCGCCAUGGGCGCCAGCAUCUUCCCUAUCUCCAACUAUGGUGGUUCCCAAUAUGACAUCAACAUUUUGGUCUGGAAGGUAAAUUCCAAAAAGCUCUCACAUGCCGAGCAUACUACAAAUCAAAUUCAUGAAUGGACCCGGAGAGAAUCCGUGGUGCCCACCUGUCUCUUGUUCUUUCUGAAGGCGCCUUCAGGCUUGAGUCAAGGCUACAACUGUGGUUCUGGCCCUGUUUGUGGACACACUCGCAGUAGAGUGACAGUUGGCCCACGCACGAACCAGAUUUGUCUGCAAACGCGACCACUGAUAAUGAUUGCCUUUUUUAACAAUUUUCCACAAGAAUAUUCACCUCGGGCUAAUGUUUCUUCUGUUAGAAAAUCUUACCCUUUCCUGCCAGCAGAUGUUUCAAAUCUGGCUCUUUCCAUAAGCAAUUGUGUAAUGGCAUUGCCAUGUGCCAUUAUCUUGUUUUUCCAUGGAUUUCUGAAAUUUCGUUAAAAGAUGAGAUGAUGUGCAGGUCAUUAUCCUCAAAGGCAAUUUACCUUUCCAUAGUGCAUAUGAGAACACAAACUUUCUUCUGCGCAUGCAUGAUAGUAGCACUAAAAAGGACCCUACCAUAAUAAUACUUCCUGAUCAUCAUGAAUCUAUCACAUAAAUUCAACACCCAAAAAUUGUGGUUUUGCGCAGGACCCAAAGGAGGGCAACUGGUGGUUGCAGUUCGGGAACGACUAUGUUCUGGGCUACUGGCCGUCCUUCCUCUUCUCCUACCUGGCCGACAGCGCCUCCAUGAUCGAGUGGGGCGGCGAGGUGGUGAACUCAGAGCCCGACGGCAGUCACACCACCACACAGAUGGGCAGCGGACACUUUCCGGAGGAAGGGUUCGGCAAGGCCAGCUACUUCAGAAACAUCCAAGUGGUGGACUCGACCAACAACCUCAAGGCGCCAAAGGGCGUGGGAACCUUCACCGAGCAAUCCAAUUGCUACGACGUGCAGAACGGCAACAAUGGUGACUGGGGCACCUACUUCUACUAUGGCGGCCCCGGGAAGAACUCUAACUGUCCAUAGUGAAGAUUGAAACCGCCUAUCAGGAGCCCUAACACCCUCUUUGACACCUCUGUAUUACCAUCCAGUAAAUUAGUUUAUACUACCUCAUUUUCUUCAUUUUUUCUCUCUUGGUUUUGGUUUUGUUUUACUCUUUACCUCUACCCCUAGUUUAUUAACUUCUAGGUGAGUGAGCGUGUGUUGACAUGCAUGUGAGAUUGUUCUCUCUGCCUCAGAGAGAGAGAGAGAGAUGUUGGUCGUCUGGUUCGUUCUAGGGAGGAGGAAAGGACUGUGGUCAAGUUCAGUAAAAAAAAAGGACUGUGGUCAAGUUUCUGAAGAGAAACAGGCCUGUUGGUUUGGUUGUGCCUAGUGUCUGUCAAAUAGUUUUGUUUCCUUCACCCCAUACCUUCGACCCUGUCAAGUUGAAUCGGAUUUGUUAAUUGUUGGUGACUGUGAGCCUCGCUAAUCCUUGUACCGCCGGGUGUGUUUUCUAUUCUGAAAAGUGGGUAAUCGAGUGCUUAGCUGUUGGAAGAUGUGCAAAGAUGCCAACUUUUCGUGUGCCGAGUUUGGUGGCCACUGAGUCACCUGGAAAAGUGUAGUGUGGGUGAUUAUUUACAAAUGUAUAUGGGUGAGUAUUUUUCUUAUUAUUAUAGCAGCGUGUGGAGGUGAUGCUACUGCUGUAGGCUGGUGGAGUUCACAUUGCAAGCAACAACGCGUGCACCAUUGCUUCAACGAAAUGGUGAGUGGCAUACAGGUUGCUGGGGCUUGCUGCUGAUUGGAACAGCUACUGCUAAUGCAGCAUGUGUGAAGUGCCUAACUUUUGACGUUUUGGUGGUGGUUUUGGAUUAGGCCCUGUUUAGUUUUCCACCCAAAAUUUUUUCAUCUAUCCCAUCUAAUUUUUGAACACAUGCAUGAAACAUUAAAUAUACAUAAAAAAUAAACUAAUUAUACAGUUUGGUUGAAAAUCGCGAGACGAAUCUUUUAAGCCUAGUUACUCCAUGAUUAGCCUUAAGUGCUACAGUAACCCACACGUGCUAAUGACAGAUUAAUUAUACUUAAUAGAUUUGUCUUGCAGUUUCCUGGCGAGCUAUGUAAUUUGUUUUUUUAUUAGUUUCUAAAAACUCCUACCGACAUCCUUCCGACACAUCCGAUGUGACACCCAAAAAAUUUUCAUCUCUAAUCUAAAUAGAGCGGUGACCCAUGGUCUGAUUGAGACGUGUAUCUCUACUGCUGCUUUUGGUAGUGGCAUCCAGUGAUCAACUCCCCUCGCUAUCUAUCGCUAGUCAACCAUAUUGUUUUCAGUGGAACAUUCCGUGUGCUAGACUAGAAUGUGCUGGAACCAGCGAUGAACGAGUGUUUGGUCAGUUGGUCAUCACUGAUGACCACUAUUUGGUGGUGUACAAACAUUCUCCUGAAAAAAAAAAAAGUUUAGAGCAGGCCCAGUCUUUUCAAGCACAGAUUAAGAAAACUUUUGCAAGUAGUACUAGUGCAAAAGCAAGCAUAUGUAGGCUUUUCUCUAUUCCCUUCUUUUCACCACCACACUCCGUCUGAUCCGAAUCCUUCCAUCAAUCUAGCUCAGCUCGCCGGCAGGAGUGGUCACUAGUAGCUGGUCAGUUGGAACGUCGUCGGUACAUGCCCGCGGCUCACGGGCACGCACCAAACUCUCACGUCUCACCAAAGAGCUCCUGCCUGCCUGCACUUCACAUGGGAAACAGGACGUCCCUGCUUCCUUUUGGUUGGAUUCGACGUGGAAAUAAUUACACCAGCAAAAUCCAGGACGUGCAUCAGUGCGUGAGUGCAUGGCAUGCAUGGAAUCAUGGCUGCUGCCAUAGCUCCCACGCUGCAGCGCCAGGCCUCUGCUCUGUGCCUCUGCCUCCUCACUGAGUCGCUGGUCGCUGCAUGCAAGCCGCCUGCCUCUCUCGCUUGUUGCUGAAUCUGACGACCGCUAGAGAGGCAGCAAAGGAUCGAAUCAGCAAAGGAUGCAUGGGCGCAUGGGGAGAUGAUGGAUGGAUGGGGAGGCCAUGACACAGUUGACAGCUUUCACGGUCCAUGUUCUUGCCCGGCGGACAGACGCCCCGGCGGUUUGCUUCACUGCCGGCCUUGUUUGCGAGCCCCUAUUUCUACAUCCAGAUCGAUCACCACACGUAUGCGUGUGAUGGAUGGUUGUUGUGCCUUUUCCUCGCAGUAUCCCCACCUACCUAUACCUGUUCUACCAUGAAUACAGUUACGCACGCUCUUUGUUUCGUUGUGCCCUUUGAAGGUAGCUGUACUGUACUUAGGUUAAAAAAACUGUACUGUACUUUGCUGCAGAGACCUGAACGUAGAGAUCAUGAGUCUCACGUUUAUUACGUAGGGUUUUCUACUACGAAAUGGAAGUUUGAAUAGCUUAUGGAACAGCAAAAGACAUCGCGCAUUCUGAUGAUCUUUUGAACGCAAGCAUUCUGAUGAUCUGAUCUCUGAACUCCGUACGAUGGUCUAUCAUCAUAUGCGACACCAGCAGCAUGGCGUACUGUCCUCCGGCCUGGAACGGUGUUACUGAAUGUUACCCUUCUGCUCCCCUUUUCCCCAGUCCAGCCUCUUUCGUAUCGCCAUUCACCAGAGGCCGGGGAACAGGCUACACGCGCGCGCGGAUUCUCGCAACGCCGAGAAUCCUUGAAAUGCACCGUUAGAAAUUGGGAUUUAUGGCUCGUGGCUACUGGCUGUGGCUUUCAGGAAUCAGGAUUUUAAUUAGGAGUGUUUGCCCUGCAUCGUCAGUCUCCAACCUCGGUCGGGCACGUCGUAGCUGAGACUGUCUUAAAACUUAUCUUUGGGCCUACGGCCCACGCCAUAACCCAAGACAGCCCAAGCUCGAUGCUGCACGCUACCAGCAACGGCCCAAGCUGGAAAAGGCCGGCCUCUGCAACGGAAUACUACAUGAGAAACAAAUUAAAGGGCAUAAAAAAAAACAAAAUGACCAAUGGACCUCAUAGACCUGGAUCAUUAAAGUAUAAAGUAGUUCCCACAUAGACCUUAUAGACCGCGAUCAUAGACGUCCAUUGCACACUCCUAACUAAUGAUCGCUUGAAUGAUCUCCUAAUCACACAUAUAUACAUGCAAUUUGCAAACUAUUCAAACCACUGCUACUACUACUUUCCAAAAAGUCCACUGCUGAAAAAGAAAACUCUCCAAAUUAAGCUUUAUGCCCGAUAGAUCGAUCAAGUCCUCCUUGGCACGAGGCGCGGGCGCAGCGGCUUCUUCAUGACGGUGGUGAACUCGCUCUUCUCCCCGAACUCCACCUCGUGGCCGGGCGCCUCUCUCCACUCGAACUCCCUCACCAUGUUGGCAACGAAGAACUCGAGGUGCAGCAUGGCGAUGGACAGCCCGGCGCAGAUCCUCCGCCCCACGCCGAACGGCAUCAUCCUGAUCCCCUUGGUGCCCGUCAUGUCCACGCCCACGCCGUCGCCGCCCUCCAGGAACCGCUCCGGGACGAACUCCAUCGGCCUCUCCCACUCCUGCUCGUCCCGGCCCAUCUCGGCCACCAUGAAGUUCACCGUCGCGCCCUUGGGGAUCAGGUACCCGCCGACGUCCAUGUCCUCGGCGGCCUUGUGCGGAAGCACGAAGUGGCCCGGCGGGUGCUUGCGCAGGCCCUCCAGGAUCACCGCCUUAAGGUACGGCAUCCCGUGCACGGCCUCCUCCGAGACCGCCUCGUCGUCGUCGCCGCACGUGGCCUUGAUCUCCGCGUGCAGCCGGUCUUGCACGGCCGGGUUCUUCACAAGCUCGGCCAUGAUCCACUGCAGGCCCGUGGAGGUGGUGUCGGUGCCGGCGGUGAGGAACUCGGAGCAGAGCGUGACGAUCUCGUCGUCGGUGAGCGCGCGGUGGCCUUCCUCCGCGGGGAGCGUGAUGUCGAGCAGGGUGUCCACGUACGAGUGCUGGAACGUGGUCUCCCUCGCCGGCGCCUGGCCGGCCUUGGCCUGCCGCUUGUACUCGCGGCGAGCGUUGAUGAGCGGCACGAAGAGCUCCGCCUGGCGCCGGCGCAGGGCGCGCGCGGUCUGCAGGCGGCCGCGGAAGACGUGCCUGGUGACGGACGGGAAGAAGAAGAAGACGCUCAUCUGCUGGGAGAUGUAGAGCAGCCACGUGCGCUCGGCGUCCUCGAUGGCGCGCACCGCGGGCUCGUCCAGCCGCUCGCCGAAGCACAUGAGCACGAGGAGGCAGAACAUGGUGUAGCGGAACGCCUCCAUGACGUCGCCGGCACCACUUCCCGCCCGCAGCUUGUCCAUGAGGACGCCGCGCACCCAGGCGCGCGCGGGCGCGAACAGCCUGACGCGCGACGGGUGCAGCGUCUCGGCGACGAGGUUGCGGCGCAGGAGGCGCCACACGGGCCCGUAGUCGGCGCGGGUGAUGAUGUUGUCGCUGACGCCCAGGAGCGAGCUCGUGGCGGCCUGCGGACGGUUCGCCAUCGUGACGGCGCCGGCGCCCACGAGCGCGGCGUGCGCGAGGCGGCGGUCCGCCACGAAGAUGGCGAGCCGGGAGCCCAUCCGGAGCGUCACGACGGGGCCGUACCGCUUGAAGAGCUUCCGCAGCAGGGGCUCCACGUCCGCCGCGGAGUUCCUCAGCCACAGAAGGUUGCCGAACAGCGGCACGGCCGGGGGACCCGGCGGCAGGCGGCGGUUCUUGGCGUGGCGGCGCAGGACGAGGAGCGAGGAGAGCAGGAGGCCGCCCGCGAGGACGAGCCAGCUGAUCUCCAUGGGGAAGUGUCGUGUGUUUUGCGACGAAACUAUGUUCGCGUUGAUGUUUAUCGUAUGAUGAUGAUGAGGAGAUUAGACGAACGGGAUUCCAGAUUAAUUUUAUAGUGGGGUUUCGUACGUGGAGUCCCGAGUCCGUACAACAUGGCGAGUUCGAUAUGGUUUCGACCUGGUUUCAUGUUGGGAUAAGGUCUGAUUCUGAAACGUGGUUUACUAGCUAGAGACACGGUAGCAACGGGCAAGGCCUAUGGUCUGUCCGUGUUGAACACGUUCAGGCGAGUUCGUCCGGGACACGGUAGCAACGGCCAAGGCCAUCUAUCAUCUGUCCUUGUUGCACACGUGCAGGCGAGUGUAUGGUGGUUGGGAAGUUGUUUUGGGACCUAUAGAUCGGGAGGUUUUACUCCUCACUUUCAAAAGGAAAGGUCACUGAUGUGCCAUUAAAUACUAGUACUAGUAGUCAAUCAUCAUUCUUUUACAAUAAAUUAUUAUAAGGGCAGUCCCAAUAAAAGAAACCAAGUAGUUUCUAUAGUUUAGAAUACCGUAUCAAGAAACUACUCUUUCCCAAUCCAUGAUUUCUAUAGCAGUGCUAAUACAAAGAAUGAAUUAAAUGCAACAUUUAGAAGAAGCAGAUCAACUGUGGCAGAGAACCACGCAGCCUACAAACAUCGCUUCGACUGACGGCCUGACGAAGGGACGGGUAGCAGCGGCGCAAGCGCAAGGGAUCCUGGGAUGAGCAAGAAGAAACGACUUGGGUCUCCCCAAUGCAGAUUCGCCAGUUUCUUAGCCCAUCGGUGCGUGUGAAGACUCGGUUUCCUCUCCAGGAAACGGUUUCUUUCUUUUCCCUUCUCUCUCCGUAAUAAAUCUACUGCCACAUCAGCAAAUUCCUUAGUUGGCACAACAAUUAAUAGAGAUAGAAACUACAAUAAAUAUACCAUUGGGACUGCCCUAACCAGCACAAGCUAAAUUUGAGCGAAACUAUCUCACACCAUACAACUCUCCAUGGUUCGUCAAUUCCAUUCUCCCACGUGUGACUCAACUCCUCUCAGACUCGAGGAGGGAGUAAUAAGGGCAGUCCCAAUGAUGUAUUUAUGAUAGUUUCUAUCUCUAUUAAUUAUCCUGCCAACUAAGCAAAUUGCUGAUGUGGCAGUAGAUUUAAUACAGAGAGAGAAGAGGAAACCAAGAAACCGUUUCCUUGAUAGGAAACGAAGUCUUCUCAGGUACCGAUGCGUGAGGAACGACGCAAACCGCGUUGGAAAGAAACUGAUCGUUUCCUUCCUUAAUGGCCUGGAUCUCAUGCUCCAGUUGCGUGCGCUCGCUGAAAGCCCUCGUUCGCAUCCUGCUGCUACUUCUCCUUGCGCAGCUCUCGUUGAUGGCCCUCGUAAGUUCCACGUAUGGAACCAUCCACCUCCUUUGCCUUCGCCUCCUACGCCAGCGGUGGAGCCAGCCUCACAGGAGCCCGAGGCGGCAGGCGCCCUGCCGGCAAGGGCCUCGGCGCUCGGUUCCGUGCCAUGGUCAGGCGCUUUCACCUAUUUUGUGCGUAUUGUUCAAACCUCUGUCAAGCACUGGAAAAUUGAAAGAAAAGGCAACUGCACAGAGGAUCCACAGAUGGGAGAGAGGAACACGUUCGAUGAUUGAGAAAAAUUUAUAUCUAGACUCUAGUAACAAAUUUUGCAUUGGAGAGAAUAGUUUCUUGGUACAUUAUCCUAGACUAUAGAAACUGCUAUGAUUUCUUCCAUUGGGACUGCUCUAAGUAGAUCAAGGUCUAAUAUUAAUAUCAAUAUCUAUAUCAAAUAUCAAGGAGACAAAUUUAUUUCCAUUCAUUUUCUUCAUCCACCUUCCCCUAACUACCGAAACAGUAGAGGUUGUCUCAUAUUUCACAUGUGACCUGGACUCAUCACCGAUACUCAUACGGGUUAGGACAACUCGCGUCUAGUGAUAAUGAAUAUAGAGUCCGAUUCUAAUACGUGUCACACCCUCAUAUCUUUUAUGUGACCUAAACUCAUGAUGUGUGUUUAUUCAUAUGUGUUGGAAUAACUUGCAUCUAGUGACAAUACAGAGUUGUAUUUCUAUGGGUUUUAUUGCAACGCAUGAGCAUGCUUCGUGAUAAAAGAAUAGAGAAAUAAACUCUUAACAGUAUACCUUUAGAGAGAGUGAUUCCACCGUCAAACUAUUGUAAUGUUGUGAAUUUGAUGCACAAGUCAUCCUGUUAAAACAUAAGCUGGCAGUGUAAGCACUGGUUUAUUUUUAGCUUUAACAUCUUUCUAUUCUAGCAUUCCAAACACCAAUUCCAAUGAACUGCCUUCCAUUCCUCUAUUUUCGAUUCCUACAUUCCAAAUAGGCCUGGAUUGUGCAAAGAAAGGAAGAGUGUCAUCACAUAAUAUGUGUUUGUAUGCCUUCUCAAUUUGCAUCGUACUUGAAUGAGUGUAAGCAUACUACAUGGAUGUAGUCUGGAUAGAAAAGUGUUUAAUCGAUUGCAUGGUUAAGGGCCUGUUUGGUUGGAGCUGUUAAAGUUUAAUACUGUUGUAUUUUUGUUUUAUUUAGCAAUUAGUGUUCAAUUAUGGACUAAUUAGGCUCAAAAGAUUUGCUUCAUAAAUUAUUCUCUAGUUGUGAUUUUAGUUUCAUAAAUAGUCUAUAUUUAAUACUCUAUGCAUAUGUCUAAACUUUCAAUGUAACGAGAGUUAAAGUUUAACGUGAUGAACUAAACAAAGCCUAAAUAUCUCAUUUUGAGGUUGCAAUGACCCUAAAUGAUGUUUGGUUGUCUACACGUGCGGAUACAGUGAUCCCUACACAUAGGACAGACAUGCAGGCCCAUAAGAUGCAAAACACCCAUUGGGCGUACCUGAUCAGUCGCUAUAUACAUAUAACGACGGCUUCAUUAGCAACUGCAAAUGUUCGUUGUUGUAACCUUUAGCAACUGACUGUCUAUCGCUGUAUACCCCUUUUAACAACUUCAAAUCAGUCGCCGUUUAAAGGUUGUGGUGUAGUAUGAGCGGAGUAGUUUAAUUUGUGUAUAUCACUCAUGAGGUAUGAUACUUUAUUUCUAUCCAUUUAUGCAACCGGUGUAUCCACUCAUACGGGAUGGUGACUUAUUUCCGCAUCCGCUCGUGCACAUUGCGUGUAUCUAGUGCUCCCAUGCUCCCAAUUCGGCGAACUCCUGCCCACCUGGAUUUAAGUCCCUGACUUGACAUGAAUGCUUGUAUUUUCCUAGAUUUAUUCUAGGAUUUAACAGCGCUAUGCUUUCAGUGGUAGACGAUAUGCCCAUCGACAAUGAGACGUCUAUGGUGACUUCAUCAAUCUCAAAAUUUUUGCCGGUCCAACUCGGUUCUUCGGAGGUGCUACGCGCUCUAGGGGUGCGUGUGCGCUCGUGUAUAUAAGCGUCUACGUCUGUAACUGGGUCUCGCAAAAAAAGAAAGACCCAUCAAGCGGGAAAAAACAACGAACAAUAUGCAUAGGUAGAUAUAUAGUUGCAUGAACUUGCAAAAAUUGAGGACGAAUAGAACUUUGGGCAAGGCGCAUGUAUCAUCAACCCACCCAUAUAUACUUUUGGUUAUUUUUUACGGAGAAGCUAUAUACCACACACGGGUUUUGGAACAAUCUAACACUCAAUUUAAAGCAUCAGCCAUCUCCCAUAGUCUGAUUUGGAGCGUCCGCAACACGCUCGCAAGCUAGAGGAGGAAGAUGAAUAGUGCUAACAAAAUCGGGUGUGGUGCAGGGGCCAGAACACCAGAUUGCUAUAUAGACUAGACACACAGUUUUUAUGUAUGUCACAUAUCCACCCAUGCAGGAUGAUCGCAUGCGGGGAAGCAAACAUAUGUCAACGGCUACCAUCAGUUUAGUACCCUUCAUGACUAGCUACCCACUUCGUUUGGCUACAAAUUCUUACUCCUUCGAAAACUUGAUUGCAUAUCAUUCUUGUUCAUUCCAUCUCAUGUUCUCCCUCAUGACGCAACGAUGUUCACAGUGCUACUAGAAAACCAUUGUACAGAGCGCCAACUGCCUGAUCUUGUAGGACAUUCGAAGAAAAACACUCUCUUCUCCCUGUGCAGGAAGAAAAACUCUAUUUCUGCUGUUGCAGCUUCCCAACUGAGUGCAGGUACACAGAGAUAGAAACGACCCUGAAAAUCAAUAAGACACAAGAGCUUGUUAAAUUAACAUGGAUUACAACCGUAGUCUAGUCAACAGAAGUUGCGACCGUGCUUCCAUGAGCACUUACGUGGAUCCAAGCAAGAACGCAAGAGACAGGUGGAAGCCAAAUAAGAAGACGGAUAUUCCUGCCGUCAGAAGCAUUGCAACUGAUGUUGAGUAAACCUGUGUCACAUGGUGAUAUGAAAAGUUUGUUAGAUGCCUCAGCACGUAGUUAUAUAGACAAUUCAUUAUAUCCAUGGUGAGACAUUUUGGUGAAUCUUAGUGGUGCCUCAAAUAUCAGACGAUUUGAAAUCUAGACACUGGACUGAUGUGUUAUAGUCGUGGAUUCGUGGUGUUGCUUCUACAAUGGACAAAGGGAUCAUAUUAAAAUAGUUUUUUUCAGAAAAAAAGAAAACCUCCUUGUUAUCCAUCAAGCUGUUGUGACGCAAGUUGUGCUGCUACUGGAUCACGAAAUAUGACAUUUUCUGAAGUGGUAACUAAUGUAAUCGUGCACGUAAACCAGAAUAGACAUGUUGACAUAUCGAGAAUAGACAUGGUGACGGCGUGAAGGAUCUUCGGUGGGUUAAAAAAUUGUGAUUAUCUCUAACCCUAACCCUAAUCCAUACCAUGUUACUAACCUUGAGAUUAGAGAAGAUAAAAUACUUCAUUAGUGGAGAAGACAAUAUAUAGAAAGCCUCAUGGGUCUAUAAGAUGGGCCUUUGAUGUAUACUUAACAGAUGCAUCAGUUAUACAUUUGGUGUAAUUUCGAUGAAGAUUGGAACUACAAGUACAGCUAGUGAAGGCUCUAGAAGAGUUACUUAUUUUGCCAUGCAAAAAAGCAAAACAAAAAGGACAUGCUCCAAAUGGGAAACAACAGGAUGACAAACAUUCAGAUGAUAACAACUCCGGCUGUAAGAACAGGCUACAAAAUAACUAAAUUGGAAGCCGGAGUCCCAGUAGGGGCAACAGCCAACAUAGUGAUGUUUGUAGAAAAGAGAGUAAUUAGGUUACUUACAACACAUUCAUUUAACCUUGAAAUAAGCUGCUGAGCUUCAGACCUACACUAUUUGCACUUGCACACACAUGUAACUGAAAAGAUAGUAGCGAGUACCUUGACAAUAUUGUCAGCAUAUUUCAUCACCAUUGAUACAGCAAUUCCACUGCAAAGCAAAUAUAAAUACUCGAUUUGAUUGGGAAGAAAAUAAAAAGGAUGCAGCUAAGCCCAACAGGGCAAUAGUGAAAACAAAAACGAUCUAACUGUCAGUACCUCAGAGCAUGGUUAAGAAUCAUCAAAACUGUAAUAAAUGAGUAGCCAUGGAAAAAGCCUCUGCACCAGAUGGCACAUUCAAAUGGAAUGGUCAAUAUCAUGAAGACAUGAAUGAAGCAAAUAAAAAAUUUUGCACUGACUUGUUCAUGACAGCAUCGAAGUCCUGGACACAAAUUGCAACUAAAUUGAAGAGCAUCCCAAAUAUGUACAGCCAAAAAUUCUGCGCAUUGAUAUUUCUUGAAGGACGUUUCUUGAUGAUAACCUGGAUUAUUAAAAAUAUGAAGGAAUAUAUUACAUUCCUAAAGAAACUCAUUAACAUUUUGUAUCAAAUGUAUUUUCCAAAAAAAACUAUAAUUCAAAUGAAAAGAGGAGCAGUAGUAUGGAUUCACAAACUUCUGUAUAUACUCCUGCAAAACCACUUAGAAGAGCCAUCACCUGCAAAAAAGAGCAUUCAGGUAGUUGUUAAACACUUCCUCUAGCACGUCCAAAAGACGGGAUGAUAUUUUUUCUGCUUCACUCACAAUUGCCAUCGCCCAACCUUGAAUAGGGGUCUGAAGAACGUGAUCUGACCUGGAAAAGGACAGAUAAGAAAAGAAUGAGGGGGAGAAAACGUUGAGCAAACAAUAAAAAGAAUGAGGGGGGAAAACGUGUUUAGCUUACGAGGGACUGAGCUGAGCAGUAGUGCAGCCAGCACAUAAAAGAAUAAAUGCAGCCCACUGAAUUUCACUUAACCUACAUUAGUUCAACCAUCCUAAAUUAAAAAUGGAAAGCAGGUGCUGGGGAAGAAAAUAUUAAAAAAAAUGGAAGGAAUUGUAAGAUUAGAUUAGACUCAGAGAUAGUAGAUUGAUUAUGGGGAACAAGGUGUUACACAUAUAUAGGCAAGGAUGGCCAGGUUCAUAGAAACAGAACCACCGGUUGAUCCUUGUCUAAUAGAUAUCAAUCUAUCUAUCCUAACCAUAUGGGGCGAGGACCAAUAGAGACGCGCAGCAGCUGUACCCUUUAUCUAACAGGAAUGAAGUGGAAAACAAGAGAGGUUUUGUUAUGAUGGCCAGUUAGGAGGGUGGCAAGGUAUUAGAUUCAACAAAUGCACCAAUUUCAGAUGAGUUAGGAUUUGCAUAGUCCAUUAAGCAGCCAGUUUCUCAAGUUAAACACUUCAUUUUUUUUAAGUAAUGGCAGGAGAUCUGCCUUUCAAUUAAGAGGGGUUUAAAAGAGUUUUAUAUGUACAAGCAAAGGAACACGCCCCUCAUGGGCAGGAACAGGAAAGAAUAAAAUGCCCCUAGCCAAAAGCUCUCUUUCUCUGCUCUAUGUCGUCUUUAACUCUCGCCGCUACCUGCCAUACUGUUUCGGCCGUGUUGUUGAAGAUUAUAUGUUCCUUUCUUUCCAGAGGUCCAGAAGGUGUAUAUCACUAUGCCAUUAAACCGCCUGCGCUCUGCUUUAGGCGCUUUCCUUGUGGUCUCCUCCCACCAAGGUGUGAUCUGUAUGGGGUCAGCUUGCUGUUGCCCCAGCAGUCCAUCAAAGUGUUCCCAUGCAAGAAUUUGGUUCCAGACCGCCUUAGCAAAGGGACAACCUAGGCACAAGUGUGCUCCGGUCUCCAGCGGCCCAUUUAGAGGACGCAGUGGUCUUGAUGUGGCCACCCUCUUUUCUGCAAGUUGUCUGCCGUUAGGAGUUUUCCAUGUGUUAGGAUCCAGGCGAAUACCUUGCAUUUAUUUUCCACAUGUGCUUUCCAAAUUUGAUCACAUCGAAAUCUUGUGAAGGAACCUCUGAAUUGGAUCCGGUAUGCUGAGCGAGUGCUGUAAUUGCCAUUCGGUGUCCAUUUCCAAGUGGAGUCUCUAACGCCUUGAUGUAGAUGUACACAUCCCAUCCUGGAUUCUGGUCCAAAGGGAUACGAACUCCUCAAUGUGAGUGGCUGAGGUGAUAUGUCUUCUCAAGGAGUGCAUCCAAUUGUUGUUUCAAUUUGCACCGUCACCUAUACAGUACGGAUUCAAGCCUAAUAUAUGAUGACUAUUUAUUUUACAGAUUGAACUUCAGCACAACUCGCUCAUCACAGAACUAUAAUCUGUGUCUUCCAGCUUUAGCAUACAACAUUGCAUCAAAGAUUUCAAAUGAAAGCGAACAAAAUGACAUAGUGGAUAUCUUGUCACCAGAGAAAACUGACGAAACAGAACAAGGUCAUUAGACUUACCUUUUCUUGAGAAUUAUACGGUACAGGACACCAGUGCUGAUAAUGUUCAAAUUCUUUAGAAUCUGGUAAGCUGGCGCAUCCACAUAUGCAAAGAUAUAAUACUGACAACCACAGAAGCAGGGAAAACAUGGUUAUGUUUUGUUUAUUUUUGUUUUCUUUUUCUUUUAAAAAAAAUCCUACAACAAAGGACUGGGCAACUGGACAUACCUGCAAUAAGUUCUUCACCAGGUAAAGCAUUGCAGGAAUGGGGUAAACUCUAACUUCAUCAAACGAUGUAGUUAACCUGAAAUUAAUAAAACCAAAGGUCUAGAAGGUGGAAGAAAACACGCACCUAAUAUGUUCUAUCGACAACGACAAACAUGGUAAAAUCAUCACCUAUUAUCUUCUGUAACACCUUGACUGUUCCAUGUCCCGUACAAGGCUACAAGUGACAGUAGACAUUUCAAAGCUUCCACCUAGACAUUGAGAAAAGAGAACAAAUAACCACAUCACAAUACUCAAAACUCCUGAAGAUACAGUCACUGAGAGAAUUCAAGCAUUUUGCUCACCGAAAAAUUUGCUGUUGUGAUACUAUAUUCAUACUUUCCAGCUCUUUUCGACCAUACAAUCAAUAUUGCCUGGGAACUUGUUAGCAAUGUCAAUGCCAGUGUAACAACAGACCUGAAAAACACAUUGCCAAUACAACAAACGAUUUUCAGAAAGAAUGAGAUUUAGUAAAAAAUAUUGCAAGAAAGCCUUACUUUAGCUUCCAACUACCCUUGCCCUUCGGCCCUCCUGCAGUGCUAAGACUCGAAGUUGCUGUAUCUGUAAAUGGUAUAGGUAUUAAUGCUAAGAAUCUCCCAUAUACAGCCCAUCCGAAAAAAGAACAUUUGCAUGAUGAAUCAAGAGCUUACUGCUAGAAAGAGAUCUCCUAUCAAAGCUCUCUAUGUCCUUCUGAGAUACGUCAUCACUCUCCUUUUCGACGGGUCAGACAAAAUAAAGACAGCGAUCAGUGCAUGUUCUGUUAUUGAAGUACAAGAUUAUUGUAGGCUAUUUUUAAAAAAAGGAAAGGAACUAAGCUAUUGCCAGCGUUUAACUUUAUGUAUGUAUGACCAAUGACAAACAUCAGCAAGAAAAAAAGUACAGGACAAAUAUAAAUUGAAUUUGGUGUCUAUUUUCACUACACAUAAUAGCGGGCACAAAUUAUGUAUAUUACGAAACAAAAGAUGGGUGUCCAUACUCUUUCGCACGGCCACUUCGAGGGUGCUACUCAAUGGACAGCAUGGACCUACUCUUGAUCAUGCCAGAGGAGUACGACAAGGCGACCCUCUAUCGCCCAUGUUGUUCAUCCUGGCCAUGGACCCCUUGCAGCGUCUUCUCGACCUGGCAACCCAACAUGGGACUCUCUCACCGCUACCCCUGACUGCCACUAGAUGGAGGACCUCUCUAUAUGCAGAUGAUGCGGCCAUCUUUAUAAAUCCGCGAAAAGAAGAUCUAGAGACAGUCAAGGCGAUCCUCCUCGCCUUUGGAAAUUUCUCAGGCCUCCACAUAAAUCUUGAAAAAAGCUCCAUCCACCCAAUUAGAUGCGAGGAGGUCGACCUGGAUCACGUGCUCUCCUCCUUUGCAGGGAUCAGAGGCACCUUCCCUUGCCGUUAUCUGGGUUUGCUGCUCCACACGCGUGCGCUUCGGAAGGUCCAUGUACAGCCCCUAAUCGAACGCAUCGGUCAAAGACUUCCUAGAUGGAAAGGAAGAUGGCUCAACAAAGCUGGCCGCCUCACCUUAGUCUCGUCAGUCCUCUCAUCCAUGCCCACUUACCACCUCACGGUGUUCCCGCUCGCGGCUUGGGCAAGGAAAAAAAUAGAUAAAAUAAGGAGAUCUUUUCUUUGGAAAGGAGAAGAAAACACAAAUGGAGGACAUUGCUUGGUCAAUUGGCCGACAGUAUCAAGGCCCAAAGACCUGGGCGGGCUAGGGAUACUAGACUUAGAGAGGUUUGGAAGAGCUCUCCGUCUACGCUGGCUAUGGCAAGAUUGGGUGGAAGAGUCCAAACCUUGGGCGGAUGCGGAAUUACCUUGCAACGACCUUGAUCGGCUGCUCUUCAAUGCAUCAACAAAAAUCACAAUUGGUGAUGGUGAAAAGGCCCGCUUCUGGCACAGCAGUUGGUUGGACGGCGAGGCCCCAAGACAUCUAGCGCCCCACUUGUUCGAGCUAGUCAAAAGGAAAAACAGGUCGGUCAAGCUUGAACUUCAAAACAAUAACUGGUUUCGAUCUCUAAGCGGCCGAAUCACCACCGUUGUCCAAGUUGAAGAAUUUGUCUCCCUGUGGGUCAGAAUCCAAAACAUCCACCUCACACCGGGCGUUCGGGACUCCAUUAUUUGGAGAUGGACAGCUGACGGCACUUACUCCACCAGGUCAGCUUACAGGAUACAGUUCAAAGGUUCCUAUGGGGGCUUCCGGAGCAACCUCAUCUGGAAGGCUCAUGCAGAAAACAAAUGUAAAGUGUUCGUUUGGAUUCUGGUGAGAGGAAAAAUCCUCACGGCGGAUAACCUGCAAAAGAGAGGAUGGCCACAUCAAGACCACUGCGCUUUGUGCGGUGGCCCACUUGAGACAGGGCUGCACAUGGCACUACUCUGCCCAUUCGCCAAAGCAGUAUGGAGCCUUAUUCUACAAUGGGAGCACUUCGAUGCCCAAUUGAUCCUACCAUCUCAAGAUCCAACCCUUUUAAGCUCAUGGUGGGAAGAGGCCGAAACCAAGAUAACUAAGGGGGAAAGAAAUCGUUUCAACGGUAUGGUGAUCUUCACUUUCUGGAAUAUCUGGAAGGAGAGGAACAGAAGAAUUUUCAACAACGUCCAUGAAUCGGCAAUGCAAGUGGCUGCAAGGACCAAAGAGGAUAUCGAGCAAAGGAAGAGAGCACUAAAUUGGAGGGGGUAGUAUAUAAGCAAAAUCUGUAACUGUUUCUUUUUACCCUCCAAGACCUUUGUGUACAUAAACUCUUUUUUCCUCUCUUAAUUGAAAGGCAGAGCUCCUGCCAUUGCGUUCAAAAAAAAAAAAAAAAAAAAAAAAAAAAAAAAAAAAAAACGAAACAAAAGAUGAACCAGAUGGCUUCUGUAUAACAAAAGCUCCGACAAUUGCAAGCACAUGGAUGGAUAGAAAUGCUGCAUUCACAAACUCAGCCGUUAAAUAAACAAAUGUAAAUUUAACAAAUAAAUUCGUAAAUUACAUAAUUAAUGUUAGCAUGAUGUUAACAACUUGUAGUCAGCCAUGAGCAAUAUACACUGAUCGAAUAAUCACUCACCUGCUAAUGACUACAUGAGUACAUACCAUCUACCAGAAUCAACAGUUAAUGGGAGUGAAGCAGGCAACUGUGCCUAGAUGAGAAAUAUGAGAUUGAGACUUCAAAUAAGACAAAAACGAACCAAAAAUGCUCACAGAUGUAUUUCAGUUUUAUUUCAGUCACAAAUAUAUAUUAAAAAAGGAGAGGAAUUCAUCUAACUCGAUCAACACAUUUUGCUAUGGAAAGCCCCCAAUCUCGCAGAAUUAGGGAGGUUAAACUUGAGAGGGAUAGAUAAAAUCGAGAUUGCGGUUGCGGCGGUGGUGAGGAACGAAGCGAAAACCUAUGGAGAGAGACCAAACAGGUUUGAAGAAACCACCGCCGCAGCAGCGACGGCCGAUGUAAUCUAAAAUGGAGAUUCGAGCGGCGGCAUUGCUGUAGAUAAACAUAGAGGGCUCAUGCUUACCUGAUCCUUCACUCUUCUGUGCUCCAUCUCUUCCCCACGAGCGGCGAGCCGGCUCUGCAGUUCUGCUACUGCGUUUUCUUUCACAGGAAGGAAGGAAUACUGCAGACGUGAGGGACUGCGGGCGGCGGCGAAGGGCUGGCUGGGCAAGCACCGCUGCACGCUGGGUCUCGUGUAGUCGUCUGUGUGAUCAAGUCGUAACUGAUAGGCAGCGACGUGUGGCGUACCUAGCUGGCGAAAAAAAAGGCAAUAUUUUACAAGUUGGGUACAUACAGUAAUUAUGGGCAGUAAAUAACUUUUUGGAAGGAUGUAUUAUGGCUUCUUCAGUGACUGUUCAAACUGACUCAUGCUGACAUCCAGUGAAUCGAUACAUGACCAUUAGAGGUCUACCAAUGCAUACACAUUCUCAUAAACCAGCUCCUAAACAUAAGUUGUGUGAAUACAACGGCUAACCAUUAUCUAUUGCCUAGCUAGUCGUUGUGCAACUCUCCUAUCUAUUUCACAACGACUCUCCUCUCCAUUCCACAAAACACAAACAGCAGGUAAGCGUUCUUCCCUCUCCAUCUCAUAAAACAAAAGCUCUGCUUGUGUUUUGUGAAAUGGGGAGGAGAGCCAAGCACUUUGUAUCUGCUGCUUGCAUUGAAAUGGAGAGGAGAGAGCACUUGUAUUUGUUGCUUGCGUUUUGUGAAAUUGAAAUGCCAUUUGUGCUUUUUGUAGAGCAAUGAGACGACUAGCUGUGAAAUGGACAACCGUCAGAUAGUUGGCAGUUGUAUUCACAGUGCUGAUAAGUAUGUGUGCAUUGACAAUGUUUAGAGUCGAUUUCUCAUAAUAUGUAUGCAUCGGUAGACCUCCAGUGGUCAUACAUCGAUUCAUUGGAUGCUGCUCAUCCUAUGAUUCGAUGCAGAGUCCAUAGGAGAAGCCCUUAGGAAGCCUAAACAGUUUGACAAAGUUUAUCUCAAGCAAAGUUUAUAGGUGAAUUAUGAUCGAAAGCAAUUAAGAAGCCCAAACUUAAACACUUCAGCAUCUAUUCAGUUAAAUACAUGCACCAAACAUCUCUCUUCAAGCAUUCCUAGCUUCAGGCCUAGAGAUAUUCCUCUUUAACUCCAUACCCAUAAAGAAAGCCGUUUAGUACAACAGUCUCCAAAGUCUAACUUUGACUCCUUGUUUUUAUAAAAAUAUUUAUCAAAAAGUGGUAUAGAUAUAUUUUUAUAAAAGUAUUUUUCAAAACAAAUCUAUUUAUAUUUAUAUUACCAAUGUUUGACUCAAACCUUGUUCAAAACAACUUGCUUCAUGAGUAUGGAGGGAGUAUGUGAAGAAUCCUGAGUCAUGGUGACCGAUUGUUGUGCUAACGGGGAGCGAAAUGUGAAUUUCAAAAGAAGCCGUACAGAGAACGAUGUUCACCAAGUGAGUGACACGUUGGGUAACCUGAAAGGCCACUCUAAAACGAUAAGAAUGAGGCCUGUUGCUUUGUCCAAAAAAAAAGAGAGGCUUGUUUGAAUUCUGGUCUAAAGUUUAGCCGAUAAAUUUUAGACUGUUUUAGCUCUUGAAUGUUGUAAAUAGGUUCAGUGUUGUCCAAACUUUAGCUAACCUUAAAAAAGACGCUAGUUCAUUAGACCACACAAGUGAAUUUUGGAAUCUGUUUAGUUUAUGUGGAAAAGAUGUCAUAAGCUGUGAAAAAGCUGUUGUGAGCUAUGUGCUGUAAUAAAGUUGUACGCUGUUUGGUUGAAAUAAGUUCACAGCCACUUGGUGAACAAUCAGUUGAAAGAGCUGCACAUGUCAGUAAGUACAAUAUAGUGAAGUCGCUUUGUAUUCAUGCAACUACAAGUAAUUAAGCGCUCUUUGUUAUAUACAAGGUCGUGUAUCAGUCCAUGAAAUUUCUGUGGCUCCACCUUCAGUUGGUGCAGAGAUUGGAUGGAAACCCAAGAACUCUUAUUAAUUAGGUUUACUUUCAUUUGCACCGACAGAUUCAUCACCUUCUAGGAUGACGACGACAUCAUUCAGGAUCUGAAGAUGAGGCUCUUGCAGCUUGGAGCAUUUCCACAAUUAGUGUUUUAACAUCCCUGUACAACAGUAACAAACCCAUGUCAGAGAACCGGUCAAGGAAUAUUCAGAAAUAACUGCAUUUUAGGCAUCAAUUUUAAAUGGCGUACAAAACAUAGUGAAAGACAAUCGUGAAGAAAAAGCAUCUGGGUUUAAUAGCACACAAAUUAAGGCCUCCUUUGGAACGCAGGAAUUUCACAGGAAUUGUAUAGCAAUUUCAUAGGAAUCAGUUCAUUUUUCAUAGGAAAAGAAGAGCUGUGUCAGAUUAGAAGGCUAAGAGACUCAAGAGUGGGGGACCCACUUCCUGUCUUGCGCCUGCCUUGGGAAGGGGAUACGCAACUUUAGAACACUUCCAUCAUAACCAGCCUGGGCAGCAGAAAUAGGCAUAUUAGAAUUUAUAAGAGAGUUGGAUUUUUUUUUCAAUACAUGAGAACAGAGCCCAUUAAUUAAAGGUGCAAUUGUCUAGCCAAAUAAGUAAAAAUCACAGUCGAACAAAUUGUAUUAUCCAGACCAUAAUAAAGGCCAGAAUAUUGAAAUGUUGCACUUCUGUUAUGAUAUUGUAAUGCUGACCUUGUGGUUACUGAUCCGUUUUUUAGUCCUACUGAUCCGAACUGAGUAGGCAAAAUAUAGCAUAUUAACUUCCAGGUAUUAUUUUGUCUAGUUUAUGGCACUGUUGCCAUUGCAUUAGUCAGUAUCUCAGUAUGACAUUGAGCAGGUACGGGGCAUUUCCAGGACAAAUUAGUAAAGUAUAAGGCACAUGCUGUAAAGAGUUACCUUCACAUUAAAACCAAGGCUGUCCACAUCCAGCAUAUAAGCAAAAUCCACCUGAAUUGCAUUUGUCAUCUUUCAAGUUUCAAUAUAUUUGAAAGCAAUAUUUGGUCAAAAGGGUAACAACACAAAAUGGACAGACUGUAAAAGAAAUUAUGCAAAGCACUGAAGAAUUCCUCCUUUGCUACUAUCCCAUGCUCAUGGGUGAUCAAGAGUUUCAUGACUGCAUUGUACUGAUAGCUAAACACUAUGCACAAUGCUAACUACAGUAAUGAACGCAGUUCUUCGAUGCAGAUUCCAGCAAACCGCAGAAUAACACUUCUGGUUGCCAAGUAUACCGACAGAUAUGCAUAACAAAUAGACUAUAAAGCAAAUGGUUACAUUCAUUUGUAAACUAGUUUGCAAUUUUGAAUGAAUGGUUGGCUGUUUCCCAGUGCAAGAAUUGCACAGUUGCACGCAGAUCUAGCCCUGGAUGAUGUAUCUACCUUUGCACCUGUGUAUUGACAAGCCUGCAAGCAUAUGCUUAAACAGAGUACAGUUUUCACUUUCUGAACUACAAGCAACACAAUGUGUCAAGAACAAAAGAUACACAUACAUGAUCAAUAAAAAGUGCUCGUUACUUAUUUACAGACAUAACUACAUUAUAAAAAAAAUACAGACAGUGCCCUCACCCCUCAGGAAAAGAAUAUUUAGGCACAAUUUUCUUCAAGGUAUAUCAGGUUUUGCAGUAAUAUUAUUGGAAUAAAUACUUUAUUGUUAUAUUGUUGGAACAAAUGCUACAUAAGUAGACUUCAUCAUUUACUUGCCUUAACAGUAGUGGAGUGUUGCACAAUGAGCUUUGUAUCAUCAGCAUGAUCCUUGUUCAUAUGGCUCUGUAGGGCAUAUACGUAAUGGAAGGUUGAAACGUUUAGCGUAAAGCCCAAUAAAUAUAUAAGGGCAAGGAGUAAAGGGAAACAGAAUCCAGACAUACUGUAAUAGGAGUUGAGAAUUGAGAUAUUGGAUCAACGUUAGCUUCCUUGUACUCGGCAGCACCGAAUUCUGGGGAUUUUGACAUUAGGUUAGCAUAUUAGGUAAAAACACUAUCACCAAAUUAUUUUUUGUCAUGUUUACAGAAUUUGACUAAGAUGCAAGUGCAUCUCAGAUAUGUAGUUGCUAUUUAUGCAUCUAUGCUAAUAGUGGGAGGAUAAGUGAACAUGGUUACUCUAAAAAUAUGUGAAUGUUGCAGAACCAUAAACUUCUGCAUCAUGACAGUGUUCCUUUUGGUGACUAGCUUUCCUGUAGGCGAUUCAAAAAGGCACCUACCUCCAGAGCCAAGGAGAGCAGUUGCAACGCCAGAUACAUAGCGCACAGCUUUAGGUUUGAUGUGCAGGAAACUGAAGUCACCAAAGUCAACCUUAAUUUGGCAAAUAAUUCAUCAUAAUCAGUACUCCAUUGAAGUUGGUCUUUGCAACAGUCACAACAUUAAGAAAGUAUACCCAAAAAGCAUCAGGAUGCCUUCUUAGGUAAGCACUUCUCACGGAAUCUUUUUCUUCGUCAGAAACCUGCAAAUAAGAAUAAGGGCGUCAGCAAACACAGUUACUAUCAGUAUCAGGUGACAUGCAAACUAUGAUUUUUUAUCACCAACUUUCUUGCUGGUUUCACCACUAACCUGCACUAACUUGCUUAAGAAUAAGAGAUUUUGCUGUUUUAUGCACAUUAUGAUUUAGCAAUGUAUCUGAAAUGUAACAAGGAAAAGGCAUGAUGAUAUAUCAGUGGGAAAGCAAAGGAGGGAGGAAAUUACAGGAACAGCAUCACCAUAUACAGUGAUUACAGUAUCCGUUCUGUCCUCAGGGUCUUUGGCGACAAGAAGUGAGCAUUUAGGAUUUCCGGAGAGAUUCUGCAAAAUUGGUAGCAAAGCAUAAGGGUCACCAGUGAAAGAAAUAUGUUUACAACUGUUGCCUGUGUUUACUGAAUGUAGACUAGACAAUUAUGCAAUUCAAACAAAUGUUCUAGCAGUGUUAGAUUUGCAUAUUUCUUUGUUCGUCCACACAUGUGCUUCGAUGUAUUUUCCAGUGAUGCUACCAAAUUGUAAGGCAUCCAUGCAUAAUGGACAUGGAAAGGUAAACAAAUAGCUUUGUAUACAGAAUCAUGAAAGCAAAAAAUCACCUUACCUUUGAAUGAACUGCUAAACUACUCACUGCUAAUAUGGGGGAACCAUCUUGAUCACAUGCAAAAUCAACCAUUGAACUAGAUGGAUAACCAGCAUGAUCCUGUAAGCAUAAUAAUAUAUAGUAUGAAAUCUCCGAAAAAGACUAGUAUAAUUCUGCAAGACUACAUAUAUUGGAGUUCUGGAACUAUAAAUUCCAUGUUUAUUUAAACAAAAGAAAACUAUGAGUUUGUCUUCACUCAGAUUUUUAGAUAAAUAUUCUUCGCUGCUAACCAAGUACAAAACUACUCAACUAACCAAGUACAAAACUACUCAACCCGUUCCAAAUUAAAGGAGGCAGUUUAUGACAUGUACAAGUACAAAACUACUCAACCCGUUCUAAAUUAUAAAUUGUUUUAUCUUUUCUAUGUAUAGCUUUUGCUAUGUAUCUAGAGUUCUAGACAUAGUGUAUAUCUAGGUGCAUAGCAAAAUGUAUGUACUUAUAAAAGCCAAAAUGACUUAUAAAUUUGGAACAGACGGAGUAGAAAUCAUGCUCUGGUGAUACCUAGAUUAGCAUCUGGUUCAGUAAAAACUGGAUGUCACCAAAUCAUUCGAAACAAAACAAUAACCUCCAAAGUUUCAAUAGACAAGAUUGUUCUUCAUGAACAGUGGGUUAGUCUCUUUACAUUAUCCAAUGCUCACUGACUACAGAACUUUUGAGGGUAGAUGAAGGAAAAGACUAGCUAAGUAUUUGUCCAAUAAGACAUGCAAAUAUAACAACAUUUGGUGUUUCAUAGUCUAGGUACCUGAGAAUGGGUAGCAAGAACGCCUCUGACACUUCGGUCCAGAAUGGUCCGUAUUUCUUCAACUGGAGAAAGACGAGCAGCUUUUGCCUAUAAUUAUGAGAAUUUUGAGUAAAUAAUAAAGAUCCAGAGACAAUGGUUAAAUCUACAUUCCGAAGAGCUCAGGUGCAAGCUUAAGCGACUUGCAAUUGCAAACUUUUUAAAGUAUUCAACCCUACCACAGUCCACAGUUGUUGCAGAUACAAUCACUGACUCACAUGAUAAGUUGAUUCAACAUGCUGUACGAAUUGACAAGAUUCAGCUGGGACUUGGGAAUAGCUAUGAUUCGCUACUAGACUACUAGAGACAAUGAGGCCUCACAACAUCGCAACAUGGGACUCUUGCCUUUGGAAGGAAACCAUUUGCACAUCAUUGUAUCAAUGUUUUGCUUCCUCACGUUGAUCUUUGAGAAGAAAAUGACCAUACUAAAAGAUUCAUCUAUUUCAAUUGAAUAAUAAGUCCUUUUGGUGAAUUUAUUUGACACCCACAUCCCUUCGGCCCCUCCUCAUAAUAUAGUCCAUCUGGUACUAUUAUCCCAAAAAUCCAAAGUUUGUCGACAGACCCAGGACUCAACGGACCCAAAACACCCGAUUCACUUCACUUGAGUCGCAUAGCUACUGCCCACAGGUCAUGAUACACACACGAUCCCCAAAGCCAACGACAAAAGGGCAAGAGCCACACCUGGUGAACGCGGAUCACCUCAAACGCGUCCGAAGAACCACCGGGGGCGUCGGCAGGCGCCGCCAUCUGCAACGCAGUUACGCAGACAAACAAAUACCAAAGCACAAUCAGCCAAAUACAUCACCGCCGCGGAGCCAUUUCAUCGAACAUCUGCCCGCACGAAACAGUUAAUAAAAUUAGGGGCGGCCGGGGGCGGCAGGCGGAGAGGCGAGUCGGACCUGGGACGAGGAGGAGGAGGACGCGAAGAAUCGGCCGCGGCGGUUGCGGAGGCGAGGGUAGAGGAGGGGGGAAGCGGAGACGUGACCGUGCCGGUGGUUGUGCCGGCCAUUAGUAAUUUGUAGGUGGAGCGGAAGGAGUAGGCGCGACAGCGUUGACGGCGAGGGCGCCGCCCGAGCGCCCGGCGUGAGCAGCAAGGGCAUCGUCAUUGCGUGCACGCGUGCGCCACGGAGCCUGUCUCGGUGUCUGCGUGCAGCGCAAGCGGAGAGCCUCGCUGGCCGCUUGGUGGUCGCUCGGCACGGCAGGCCCGCGACCGCGAGCUGUGCUGCUGCUUGUGCACACGGCGGGGUAGAGUCUAGAGUGAGUGGCGUUGGCCAGAUGGAACUGGUCCAGGCCGUCAAGACAUCACCUAGCCCAUUAUAAGGAUUUGGGGGCCGGACUUGGUUAUUUCGACGUUGGGCUGGAUGCAGAGUCCUUAAGCGGCACCAGUCAUCCUCAAUGGGAGUUUCAUGACACAGUUUCCAACACAUCAAUAUUUUGGAAACAGUGCAUAGAAGUUUCAUGGGGAUGAAACUCUCUCUACUCCCAUGAAACUCUUAUUAUCUCUCUCUUCAUUAAUAUAGCGCCACAUCAGCAUAUUUAAUGUGCAUGAAACUCUAAUGAAACCCAUUGAGACUAGCCUAAGUGUAUAAAGAAAAACUAUGUAAUAUCUAGACAAGUCAAAAAUAUCAUAAUUUAAAAUAGAAGUAUAAUACUAGUGUGUUUCCUUCGUCGAAAAGAACACAAACAAGUUGGCCAAAAUGUUUCCGAUUUCAUUUUCCACAUCAAUCAAGUUCACUCUCGAUUUCGAGUUUACCGUUCUUAUCUAAUUUUCCGUAAAUAUGUGAAAGUAAUAACUUUAAAAAAAUGAAACACGCUCAAUAGUUCUUUUUACACUUUGGCGUCUAUGAACCCGUGCCUGGCGCUGAUGUACACGAUGCUUUGGAAAAGAAUACGGAAUUUAUGGUCGAGUCAGUGCGUGAUUCGAGAGGCAGGGCUCUUUGACCGGAAUGCCACUGCGUGAUUCGAGAGGCACAGGCCCGCUUCGUUACCCGUAUCACUUGAUUAUCGAGUGACGAAUGAAUCCACGAAGAAGACCCUAUAUAAGUAGUACUACACGCCGAAGAAAACAUCUUGAAGUCACCACAACUCCGAACAAAAAAAAAAAUACUCCUACUCCUACUAGCACUAGCACUAGUAAACACCGAAAGGGACCGGGGCAUCGACGGGCAUGGCUCAGAAGGACGGCGACGACCUCUUUGCCGGCCUGCGGGCCGUCUUCGCGCUGAGCGUGAAACCGGAGGUGAAGCCGUCCAUGCUCGUCACCCUUGUGGUGCAGGACACCAAGCGGCGCACGCUGUCCCGCACCAUGCGGAGGACGGACAAGCUGCAGGAUCUGAUGGACUACUACUACGGCGUGAUGUCCCCUCCGCUCACGUACGGCGAGGGGCGCUUCUUGUUCGACGGCGGGCGUGUCAAUGGGGAGAAGACGCCGGAGGAGUACGACAUGGUCAGCGGGGACAAGAUCGACUUCUUCCCCGAUCUGAUGGGGGCCUGAUGUGGCGGUGGCGCCGGCCUGAAUGCCUGAUCGACUCACGCUGCCUGCUAGCUACGUACGAGUACCUUGCUAAUAAGCUCGUUUCCCUAUUAGCACUAUGUAUCUCCCGCUGGAUUGUAUGAACGGCUCUGUUUUAGUCUUCCUUUCUUUUAUGGGGGAACUUUUAGUGAAAUGGCUUUUUAACUGCAUCAUGCCAUCUUAUGCCAAUCCAACGUUCAUCAGUCGCCGGAUAGCUUCCGUGGCAACUUGACGUAGCAAUGACUUGUAUCCAAAUUUCAUAUAGCAAAAUCCAAUUAAAAUACUCUCUCUGUGCCUGAAUAAAUAGGUUCUUAAAUUUAUGUUAAGUCAAAGUUUUUAGACUUUGACUGAAUUUUUAGAAAAAUCUGUCAAAAUUUAUGACAACAAAUUAGUAUCAUUAGAUGUACUCCAUAGAAUAUAUAUGUUCAUAAUAUGCCCAUUUUAUGGCAUAUAUGCUAGUACUUUUUCCUAUAAAGUUAGCGAAAUUUAAAACAGUUUGACUGACAUGAAUUUUAGAAAUUGAUUUAUUUGAGAAUGAAGAAAGUACGGUACAAGGAAACAAAAUAUAAAGUACAAUACUACCCAAAUACAAAAUGAAAAAAAUGCUCAUUCCUAUCCAAAUUUAUUUUCUCUAAGUCUAAAUCCAUCUAAUAUGAUCCAAUGGUAACAAAAGCAACCUAAUAUCAAGUAGCAAUUGUCAUUACCCGAAAUUUGAAUUAGCCCGAAUUAACCGACCACCCGAACACGGCCUUGUUUAGUUCCAAAACAUUUUGCAAAAUGGACACUGUAACACUUUUGUUUGUAUUUGACAAAUAUUAUUCUAUCAUAGAUUAACUAGGCUCAAAAGAAUCGCCUUGCAAAUUACAGAUAAAUUAUAUAAUUAGUUGUUUUUUAUCUAUAUUUAAUGAUCUAGCGAAAUUCGAUGUGACGGUGUAAAGUUUUGAAAAAAAAAAAGAGUUUAGAACAAGGCCUCAGAGUGGCGAUGGCCAGAUGGAAGAAGGCCGUAACUGCAGUGCACAAAGAGACCUUCCUGGUCCAGGCCGUCAAGAGAUCACCUAGCCCAUUAUAAGGAUUUGGGGCCGGGCUUGGUUAUUUCGAUGUUGGGCCGGAUGCAGAGUCCUUAAGCGGCACCAGAGACUACGUGGGCUAGCAAGAAUGUAAGAUGCUGGCCAGAUUACCUGGCGGAGAUUACCCGUGAGGCCGUGACCACUAACCAAAGCUCGUUAUUAAGCUUUGGCCUCUGAUCUUUUGGUGAGGUCAUUUCGGCUAGCUUGUGAUAGUGCCAAUGCCAUGAGAAGUGUUGGAGGAGUUUUCAAAAAAAAAAGUGUAGAUUUUGCUAGAAUGGCCAAGCUGUACAAUUUCGGCUAGCUUGUGAUAGUGCCAAUGGCCAAGUUGUAAGAGAGAUAAAGGCUAGGGCACUUGAUUUUCUUAUGUAGAUUUUGCUCAUGAGAGUAGAAAGUCUAAUGUUGAUGCUCGCAACUUAGCUAGAAGCAUGUUUUUUUAGACAGGCAGGCAUGCCUAGCUGUUAGAACUGCCUAUUGCAUUUGUAAAUCAUAUGAUCAACUCCAUGAAUAAAGAGUGUAGAGUUCCCCCAAAAAAAAAUUAUGCGAGCAUUCCUAAAUCGACCAUGCCAUAAUAUAACAAGGAAAAAGUUUCUCCAUAAACUAUCACCAUGGCUUAAUUUUUUUGAAAGAACACCAUGGUCUAAUUUUCAUCUUCCAACUUCAAAUGAGACUUCUUACCCAUUUUAAAUAAUAAAAAUCAUAGACAUAUAUUAGGUUACAAAAAUCAACAGAAAACGUUUAUAUUGUUUAAAAACAUAUUUAGAAAUAAAAAGAAAAAUAUUCACUAAAAUGAAAACAACAUCUAGAAAAUCUAGAAAAACUUUCAAGAAAAAGUUUCAACAUUCUAAUUGAGUUUUUUUUAAGCUUUUAGAGGCAUUUUCUAAAACAAACUUCCGAUUCAUACUUUGAAUUCUUGAAUAAAUCACCAGAGCCAAGCCAGGCUGCCAAAAUCAAAGUACUCCCAGCACUCCAACGGGAGGUUUGAUGGUUGCGUGGCUCUCUUGCUUGCUCCUUGAAUACACCCGGACACUCCAGACUUCUGCUCUUCGCACGAUCACAUAUUCACAGUUCACGAUCACUUGUGUUGACGAUCCCAUCGCCCAACGACUUCAGCGAGCAUCACGGGGUGUCGUGGCGCGGAAGUGUGGACCAUCUCCGCACUCCAGUACAUGGCCCGCGCCGCCAUGACGUUUCCAGGACGACGCAAGCAAAACUGCUGAAGUCCCACGCUCCGCACGCUCGCUCUGCCCGUCGCCCGGCCGGUCAUGAGCUCAUGGCAUCGGCGUGGCUCCUGGUCCCGGGGUGUCGUGGGUGACGCGCGAGAAAAGCCGGCGACCAAACAGUGCAAGUGCCUGCCUCGCGCACGCCGCAAAAGCAAUCACGAUCAAGGUCUUGUUUAGUUUAAAAAAAAUUACAAAAUAUUUUCAGAUUCCUCAUUACAUUGAAUCUUGCGGCGCGUGCAUGAAGCAUUAAAUAUAGAUACAAAUAAUAACUAAUUGUAUAGUUUAUCUAUAAUUUGUGAGACGAAUCUUUUGAGUCUAGUUAGAUCAUAAUUAGAUAAUAUUUGUCAAAUACAAAUAAAAAUGUUACAGUAUCUAUUUUGCAAAACUUUGAGAAACUGAACAAGGCCCCAAAGCAAACGCAGUCGGUCGGUCCUGCUGCCCAAGGGAAGAAAAAAAAAUCAAGAACGUUACAGUCGCAGAGCCGGUACGGUACCUAACGCGGUUUUACCACCACAGGCCCGGCCUUCCAGAUCGAGCUUCUUCGACCGCCCGUCACGUCUUGCCAGCCGCUAUUUUGUAUUGUAAGCACCGUGCUUGGACGCGUCGCUUGGUCGUUAGCACGCCGCAAUCAGAUGGACUGAGCCCGGUUUGGCCGCUGGCCAGUGGGCACAUUUCCACCCGCGAGGUCCGCCGGAAGCUACCGCCGCGGAUCCAGCGAAACGGGCACGGUUUGCUCGGUGGAACCAGACAUCUGGCCAACGGUCAAAUUUUCAUGGCCUCCUCGUGCUCGUGGUUGAAGCUGAGAGGGAGAGGGGGCGCGGGAGCGCCGGAUGGGGACAAGGGGGGGAUGUGGCAUGCCGCAUGCAUGGCAGUGGCAGGCCAGCAGGACCGCAGCACGGCGGAGUAUUUUACAGCCUUUCGCUGACAGCUAGUCAGCGGUCCCGAUCGCAACUGUCGCGCCAGCUGUGCCCACCAGGCUGGUCGUUUGCCCAUGCGCCCAUGACCGUUUGCUACCGAGAUCCUCUGGAUCCGCCUCUCCGUGCGACCCCUCCUGGGGCUCCUGAUGCGGUGAUGCCUCGUCGCCUCGACUCGACACGUUUUCAAUACUAUACUUACCAGCCAACACGAACAGCGGGCGAAAUCCACUCCACCGCAGGAUCUGAACUCGGUUCGAUACCAUGAAACGUUUUCAAGCAACGUUUUUUUCCCCGUCAAGUUAGCCAGAAUCGCGUGCUGCUACCAGCACCAGCAAUAUGCGCACGCAACCAAGUUGCCUCGGCGCGGCUCGUGCUCGUGCCGGCCUGAGGACGCGCAGCGCGGCGGGCGGGCGAGCGGCGACGCGCGCGUGGUCAGCAGCACUCAGCAGAGGGGAGCAGAGAGGAUCCCAACGGCCCCCGCGCCCGCCGCGCCCGCGCAACCGCAAGGCAGUGCCAGGCUGCCUGACCGGCCGCGCCACCAAACGCGGCGGAACCCAACAAAUGGCCAGCCAGCCAGCCGCGCGUGGUGCGGCACUUCCCGUUCGACCCAGGCAGCAGCCCCCCACCGCCUCACGCAACCUACCUGGCCGCGCCGCGCGGGCCCCGCUCCGGCCUCCGUCCGCGUCCGCCCCCCUGCCUCUAUAAAACCCUCGCCCCUGCGCACCGUCCUCCCCCACCUCUCCCCGACGCCCCGACUGCGCGCAUCUCUCUAGAGCUUCAUACCCUCGAAGAGAGAUCCGUCGCGGCCCCCAAUAAACAACCAGCUCACUCCAGACUACUCGCAGAAGAUGGCCGGCCUCAGGAUGAAGUUCGUCGCCGUCGCCGCCAUGGCCGCCGCCCUCGUGGCGUCAGCCGCGGCCGCCGAGGCCCCCGCCCCCGCGCCGGCCUCCGACGCCGCCGCUGCCGUGCCCCUCGCCGCGGCCUCCCUCGCCGCCGCCGCCUUCGGCUACCUCUUCUGCUAGAUCCGGCCGGCGCUGGAUGCGUGCGUGGUUUUCUGCCUGCUUGAUAUGCGUGAUUCGUCUGGCGUGAGUUGAGUUCCGUGUCGUGUGCGUGUGUCUGUCUCUGUGUGAGGUGUCGGCGGGCGUGUGUAUGUAUGGAGUCGGCGGCGGCGGCGGAGGUGUGCCCGUGGUGGUGGUACAUGCGUCGAUGCGCCAUUGUUUGUGGCGGCGAUCAUGUACCUGCUGCGUUUUCUGGUUAUUAAUGAGAUGAUUUAUUUGAUUCUUUCCAGCCUGGGCACCAAGUGCACAAUUACAAUUUUUCAGUACUACUGCUGAUCUGCCAUGCAUCUGUGCCUAUCUAGCGUGCAAUAUGAGGUACUCAGAUUUUAUCUGCGACCAGCGAAUUUGUCUCGGCGAUUCUAUCAACUCUUUGACUCCGUUCAUUUGAGCUUAAGCAUUGUUUUUCUUUCCCAACAAAUUAUCGAACGGUAGAUUUCUAAAAAAAAAAAAAAGAAAUCGAACGGUACUGUCAACCAGACAAGCGAAUAGACUCUUUGCCUUUGCAAAGAAAAUUGAUGAUUAUGAUCUUUGUAUCGAGCCCUUCAAUUUGUGCAUAAUAUUCAGUGGGGCCAAAUCAAUAUAUAUAAAGUUCAUGCGCCUCCUUAGAUCAACAUCCUGCGGUGAACAAUCAUGUGAAACGAACACUAGCGACAGCCAAGCCAUCAAGAAAAUCUAUGAUUCAAUUAAGUUCAGAAUUAAUAAAGCCUUAAUUUUAGUUUCGAAACUGGUUGGCUUGGAGAUGCCUGGGGCCAGGGUUGUUGAGGGAUCCGAAGAUUGAAAUGAUUGAAGAGCGUUGCCAGCCAUGCGCCAUGUGGUAUGUGCGUCUGGCUCGUUCAAACUGGUCCACAGAUGAGUUGUCUUGGGCAGAAGCUGCCCUACCGACUGCAUCAACAUACUAGUAGCUGGCAAUUGGCAUGCUUGCCAUGCUAGAUGUAUGGCGCGUUAGCUAGAAGCUGAAAGAACGGUGUGCCAUCGCCAUCCACGCAGUAAUAAGAUACAAGUAGCUAAUACUUCGUUACCGGUAUAAAUCGUUUGUCCAUUUGCAUCACCAUCCAUAAAUUCACUAGCCGGUGAUGGGACAAACACCGACACUACGGACGUGGAUUCCUUCAUUUCUGCAUUAUUAGUUUUUUAAUGGAAUUGCAUGUCGAGCAAUACUUAAUCUGGACCAUGUUGGCCAAAAAGGCCAGCGUUUUUUUUUUCUUCAGGCGGACGGCCGUACGCCUACAGCUUCGGGCUUACUUCUACUGUCAACAGAGAACGUGCAAAAUAGGGGCCCAGUUCUAGACUCUGGACUGUGAGAGGCCCAGUUUUAUAUGGGCUCAAUUUACUGCUGACUAGGGGCCCCUGGCGAAGGAUGCAAUCCGCUACAAGCUGAUAGCCUGAUACGGAUACGGCUGAAGCAGUGAACUUGACACAAUGACACGCUAUGGGCUAAAAGCGCAGCCGCUUGGCCCGCUUCACAUGAACUCGCUCAUCAUGGCGAGCACCUGCGCCAUGGUGGGCCGCUCCUCCGGCGCCUCGGCGGUGCACAGCAUGGCGAUCCUCACCAUCCCCAUCGUCUCGUCGCUCCCCUCGCCGCCGUCCGCGGCCUUGUGGCCAGUCACCACCUCCAGGAGCACCAUCCCAAAGCUGUACACGUCUGACUCCUGCGUCGCCCGCGCUGCCGCGCCCGAGGCCAGCUCCGGGGCCGCGUACCCGUGCCACCCGCCGCUCGUCGCCUGGUCCGGCAGGAACAGCUCGGGCGGGCACCGCGUCCGGGCGGCCUGCGGCUGCGGGGCGAUGGCCUGCUGGAUGUUGGUGGCGUAGCGCAUGAGCCCGCACUCGGACACGCACGCGCCGCCGCGCUCGUCCACGAGGAUGUUGGACGGCUUCACGUUCGCGUGCACCAGCGCCGGCCGCGCCGGGAACGUGUGGAUGUAGUUCAGGCCCUGCGCCGCGCCGAACAGGAUGCUCUUCCUCGCCGCCCAGUCCAGAUUCCUCGCGCCUCCUCCUGCAACAACUCAGCAGCAGCAGCAACAGACCACCGUCAAGAACACUCACUUUCUUGCAGCAACUGCGAAUUGGCGACGCGUUUUGGAUUUUGCUCAUCGUAUUUUCGCAGCGCACACGCACCAGUGGCUUGCAGAAGGGAUUGGAGGCUCCCGUUCGGGAGGAAGUCGUAGACGAGCAGGCGCUCCCCGUUGGAGUUGCAGUACGCCCUGAGGCUGACGACGUGCCGGUGCCGGAGCCGGCCGACGACCCGCAUGUGGCGGUCGAACGCCUUGCUCCGACUGGCUGGGAACUGCAGCGCGCUGAGGCGCUUGACGGCCACCACGAUGCCGUCCUCUAGCACCGCCUUGUACGUGCUCCCGGACACGCCCUUGCCCAGCACCUCCGCGGACGCCUUGAGGAGGCUCUCCAGCCGCAGCUCGUCGCCGCCGUCGAAGCAGACGAGCCCGCCGGACGUCUUGUGGCACCUGUCGUCCCUUUUUUCUUCCUCCUCGAAGCACAGCGCCGCGUCGGGAGCAUCCUUGGCGGACCGGAGCUUUCUCCUCACGUAGACGAACAUGGCCACGGAGAUGGCUAGCGAGACCGUGAUGAGCACCGCGUUGCCAAUGCUGGUGGCCAUGAGCGCAGUCAUGCUAAUCUUACCGAAUCCUCCGUUGCUAGAAGAAACACUACUGACACUAGCGUUCGGAGAUUGAGCUACAACAGUAUUAAUGGUCGCGUUUGAAGAACUAUCUGAUCCUAGAGCAUCGUAAGCAUGGGCACAUUUCGGCAGAGGCUGACCACAGAGAGCGAGAUUGUCACUGAAAGCGGAGCUCGGGAACCUGGACAGGUCGCCGGGGAUCUCCCCGGCGAGCUUGUUCCCGGACACGUUGAAGCUCCUGAGCAUCGGGACGCGCAGCGCUUCCAGCCCUCCACGGAAGCCGUUGUGCUCUGCUCGAAGGGUGAGCAGAGCACCCAGCGAGAUGCGGAGGCUCCCGCUGAGCUUGUUGUGGGAGAGGAGCAGGUGCCUCAGCCAGGGGCUCGCCGUGGAGUUGUCCAGCGGCGGGAGGGUGCCGGACAGGGAGUUGUUCCUGACGGCGAGCGCCCUGAUCCGGCCGAGCCCGAGGAGCGGCGCCACGGCGCCGGACAGCGAGGCGCCGUCCAGGAAGACCCCCGCCACCCUGCCCCUGUAGCACCUGACCCCGAACCACGUGCCGGAGCACGGGUUGGGGCCGACCCACGACGCCAGGGCCGUGGCGUUCGGGUUGUACGCCUUGAAGGAGAGCAGCGCGCGGAGGUCCUGGUGGGCGCCAUUGACAUAGUCACCGUGCACAUGGCGUGUCGAUAGGUAGACGAAGACGGCGAGGAGCAGUAGCACGGAGGAGCAAUGGUAGAAAUGAGGCAUUUUGGUUUGUAAGCUGUUUUCACCUGUGUUUGAGUUUGACUGAGAAAUCGGCGAGCUGAGGUUUAUAGUAUAGCGCGGCGGCGGUGACAAUUAUCUGCGCGGGCAACGGGGCAAGUAGUAGAAAUUUUUGAAAAAAGCACACGGGUAGAGCCGCAGAACGACGACAGGCACUGGGGUCCAAAACGGAAAGCUUGGUAGCAGUGCCGUCGUCCUGUACUAUGUCAUGUGUUGAGAGGUGAAAGUGGAAAGGGACGCCAUGGACGACAGGAGGAGAGGUCCAAGCGGAUGGGGGCGAGGUGGGAGGCGACAAGUGCCUUUUUCGUCGUCGCCGUUGGGCAGAAGGAUCUUGGACGUAUUCGGUGGGCUGAACAUAGGUCGCCGUGAUGGUCGCCGGGAGAUACUGGUGCUCCUUCUACUUUUUUUACGGGAACGGCUGAAAGGAAGCGAGAGGGCUCGGGGUUCCAUGGCGCGUGGUGUAUCGGGGUCGGUCACGAGCGUGCCGAGGGGGACGGACGUUGGCGUCAGGUGGCGCACCACCGCACCAGCAGUAGGUAGAAGACAAGAUGGUGAGAUUCCGCCAGCUGCACGUUGCACUAGUUUCAGUGUUUCACUUUCACCGCGAACCAGACAGAGCACCGAGCUGGGUUCAGAUGUCAGGGCAUUCGUUCACGCAGUGGGCCAGUCAGUAUCUGGUCAUGGAGCUAGCUGAUUAGCCUCCCUACUACAAUGCUCAAUUGAAACACAAUCAAAACCAUGCCACAUAAUAUUAAAUUCAUCAUAGAUGGCCACAGCAGCCAUCGACAAGAAGCUGUCAUCUCUCAUCGUCUCCAACACUUGGCAGUGAAUUGAACAAGAGGCCAGUUCCUCCUAAUAUGCAGGACUUAAGAGCAUAUCUAAGAAUCUUUCUAAAUCUCACCCUAUAAAUCAUCAUUUAGAGAGUUAUUUGCAUAAAAAUUAUUUUCUAUAUCUUUUCACUCUUUAAUAGUUUUUUAUUUUUCAUGCGCAUGUCGGAGAAUCAUUCUCGUCUUUUAUUUUUGCCUAGCGAAAAAUCUCCAUAGCAUUUAGGAAGGAUAUGGAGAGUCUCUUCGAUAUGCUCAGUAAUCAUCCUCGUAGGCCAAUCGCUUCCGCCAUAGCAACAUCUAUUACAUGAUCUGUAAAUUUAUUCGAAAAGCAAGAGCCCUGUCUCACCAAAAGACACGCUCGGGCACUUCACACACGUGGCUUCGCAAGCCGCUAGCUCCUAGGUCCACGAUGAAAUGUACAAAUAUGACUAGAGGGGGUGAAUAGCCUAUUUAAAAAUUUCACAAAAACACUAGAGCAAGAGGUUAGUAAAUAACAAAGCGAAACUUUUUGCUCUAGCUCUAAAGGGUGUUUGUAAGCCACCUACCCAACAAAUUCUAGAUGCUAUGAUCACUAUGCACACAAGAACUAAGUCUCUACUUACACUAGAGAGCUACCUAAAGUUUCUAUACAAGAAGUAAGCUACUCUAGUUUGCAAGAAAGUAAGAGAUAGUGUUUGAUCUUUAUACCACCACGUAGAGGGGAUGAACCAAUCACAAUAUUAUGAAGUCCAAUCACCGGGAGAAAUCCAAUCAACAAACACAAUGGAGACACAAGAUUUUUCUCCCGAGGUUCACGUACUUGCCGGCACGCUACGUCCCCGUUGUGUCGACCAACACUUGGUGGUUCGGUGGCUAAGAGGUGUAGCACGAACCUCGUCCUCACUAGGACACCACAAGAACCUACCCACAAGUGAGGUAACUCAAUGACACGAGCAAUCCACUAAUGUUGCCUUUGGCUCUUCGCCGAGGUAGGCACAAACCUCUCACAAUCACCGGGGGAUGGCCACGAACAAUCACCAACUCGUGUCAAUCCUCUUACGCUGCUCCAAGCCGUCUAGGUGGCGGCAACCACCAAGAGUAACAAGAAAACCGCAGCUAGAACGAUUCCCAAGUGCCACUAGAUGCAAUCACUCAAGCAAAUGCACUUGGAAUCACUCCCAAUCUCACAAAGAUGUAUAAUCUAUGAAGGAGAUGAGAGGGAGGUGUAUGCUUAGGCUCACAAGGAUGUCAAGUAUGUUAGAAUGCCAAGAGAGUAAGCCCCAACCCAGCCAAACACGUAUAUAUAGCCCCUCAAACAAAUAGAGCCGUUGGCUCUUUCACUGGGCAAACUGCGGGGUCACCGGAUGCUCUUAAAGGGGCACCGGACGCUCAACACCAGCGUCCGGUGCUCCAACGUCAGCCACGUGUCGUCUUUUGAAACGCUCGUAUCAGAGUCUAACGGUCACCUGCAGCCGGACGCUGAGCAAGUUAGCACCGGACUCAUGCGCAGAGAGUUCCGCAAACCUGCGGGGCACCGGACGCUAAGCACCGGUAGCGUCCGGUGCUCACCGGACCCAUGAGCAGAGAGGGUCGCAAAACGCCCGAACACCGGACGCGCACCACCGGACGCUCAAGUCAGCGUCCGGUGCCUAUCGUCCGGUGCCUUACCCUAGCUGGGCCAGGCACUGUCUGCACCGGACGCUCAGACUUAGCGUCCGGUGCCCCAGAAGCCAGCGUCCGGUGAGUGUUUUCUCAGCAAGAAACACUCCCGCGACUUCUCCAAAAUUUCCCACCGGCGCAAUAGAAAAUAUGCACUUCAUUUUCUCAAAAGCGCCGAACCCAUCCUCUCUCUACCUUCCAAACUCCACCUCCUUCUUAAAGUGUGCCAACACCACAAGUGUAAACCAACAAGUGUGCUCGUGUGUUAGCAUUUUCACAAUCAUUUUCUUCGAAGGAGUUAAAUUAGCUCACUAGGUUCUAAAUGCAUGCACAUGAACAAUGACACCUAGUGGCACUUGAUAACCGCUUAGCCAAAGAAUUCCCCUCUUUAUAGUACGGCUAUCUAUCCUAAAUGUGAUCACACCCUUUAUGGUGUCUUGAUCACCAAAACCAAAACCCUAAGUAAUACCUUUGCCUUGAUCUCCAUAGGGUUUUGUUUUUCUCUUUCUUCUUUUCCAAGUUGAGCACUUGAUCAUCUUGUGGUCAUCACCUUCAUCACCAUGAUCAUCACUUGCUCCAUCACUUGGCAUGUACCAACCUCAUUAAGUCUACACACACUUAGUGUAGAGGUUAGUACUAGGAUUUCAUCAAUUAUCCAAAACCAAACUAGGGCUUUCACACGAUACAGGCUUCGUCAUGUUCACAAGUAGCAUGUGCUUUUAUCUCCACAACUAUUGGUUAUACAUGGAGAUGUGUGUACCGCUGAUUGUUCCUCUCAUGUAAUACACCUAUCCUCAUACACAUCCAACAACUGAGCGGAUAGGGGCACAUGUCCUAAGGGCAUAUUUAACUUUACCAAUUAUAAGGACAUAGUCUUCUUUUUUGUCAUUUGGGACAUGUGCUCUCAUCUCCACAACCAUUGGAUGUGCCCAAAGUUGUUGGAGAGGGACAAUUGCAAAUCCCAUGCACAUCCAACAAUUGUGGAGAUAGCGACACAUGCACUCAAAGAAAUAUUUAACUUUCACCCUCAUUGUGUUGUUGGAUUUGAUAUUGUAAAGAGACGGACUGGUUAGCACAUCGCUACCCCAAAAUUGAGCUUCGUUGGGAACGGUCUAUCCGUUGUGGCCGUGUCGACGGCCGCAAGCAUAACAAACACAAGGGAAGCCUAUGAAAUAUAUAUGCUACUCCUUCCUCUGGUAUCUAUUCACGCUGAGCUGUCAGCAAGCGAAGCCGUGCUCAUUCAAGCAAGGAUGCGAUGCACCAACUUUGCUAGGUGCACGACAUCACCAGUUCACUCACCAUGGAGUUUUUUCUUGGUUGUAGUGGCACUGUGUCUUGACCUUGGUGCGUCCUCGGCCGACCGUGUGGACACUUCAAGACGCAGGAGCCUGCUGCUCAUAACCAGGCCGUGGAGAAUUCUUGUCGGCUCUAAAAAUUCGUGUCGGUUUUUAAACAAGUGACGGGAAUAAAGAUAACUCAUGUCACCUUCCAAAUUCAGUCUGGAAAACCCAGGCUAUUUUUAGUGGGCCCAUCCAUGAAUUGGAAUAGUAUAUAAAGGAAAUCCAAAACCCUAGGGCCUAGGCCCAUUUGCUUAACACGGCCCGUGACCGCGAAGCAUUAACCUCUAGCUAUAUAAGGCGUCGUCCCUUCUGUUUUGGUACAGGCUCUACCGCAGCCGCCACCGUCGCCCCUCUCCCUGCAUCGCCCUCACUCAGCCUCACCUAAAUCCACCACUGCACCCCUCUCCUCCUCUCCAUCCGCCGCCACCACCCCCUCGGUCUACACGUGCUGGUGCCAGCCCCUCUGACAGCUUUAGCUCAAGCAGAUCCACUCACGACGUCGCUUCCCCUCACACACCAAGCCGAAGGCCACAAGAAGAGAGUGGAUCUGUUGUUGAUUUAAAGAGGAGGUGGAGGUUUGCUGCCAUAGAAGGGAGAAGAAGAUCUUGCUGCAAGAGGUCAAAGGAGGAACAAGAAAGGCAAAGGAAGAAGUUUCCUUAAACCCUAAGAGGUGAUUAAUACAUCCCCUUGCAUUUUUCUUCUUGGUACCAAAGCAUUCAUUGUGCAUUAGGAAACUCUAGCAUGUCUGCAAUGUAUAUUCACUGGUGUAGGAAUGAAUUUGAUUAUGGAAUAUUAGCAGUUGCUAGUUGUAAAUGGCAAAAAAAUAAAAACAAAUAGAACACUGACUUUUUAAUAGCUUAGCUCUUAUAACUUAACUUAUAUAGUAGCUACGCACUUAGUUAUAUUAUGGACCUUGCUCUUAGGUUUCAUGUCAGUGUACACUGUUGCUAAGGGUAUUUGAAACUGGAAACCUGUAUUAAUACCUGGAAUAAUAAAAAAACCCCGGCGUGAGCAAUUGUCAGUCUUUUGAUCCUAACACCACGAAAGAUUUGACUGCUUUUUACCAGCCUAAAACUAUGAAUGAAAUUUGUUGUUCAUUCCUCAUCUAAACUACUCAAGGUAACCAUACUCAAGGUUGCCUGCGCUUCGAGUGCAGGGCACCGGAGUAUGUCGCCACCGCGACAGGAGAACAGGAGGCAGGUGAUCGUCAAGGCCGAACCUGUUCCCUCGAUCACGCUCAAGGUGCUUGACCAGCAGAGUCGCAGGGCCUUCCACACCAUGAGGAUGAACGACAGGCUGCAGGGCGUCAUGGAUGCCUAUUACAAGAAGGUGUCCGACGACGUGACCUACGGCACCGGGAUCUUCAUGUUCGAUGGCUCCGUCCGGCUGCGGGGCUGCAACACGCCGGCGGAGCUCGAUCUGAAUGAUGGUGAUCAGAUCGAGUUCUUCGAGUCCAUGAUUGGCGGCGGAUGCAUGGGUUGAUGCUUGCGUUUAAGUACAUCAUUACUUGUGUUGCUUGCGUUUAAGACUUUUGAGUAGUAUUGCUGUCAAGUUUGUUAUAAUGGUUACCUGCACCAUAACGUAUCAUCCUUAUACUAUGCUUGUAAUGAUGCAGUCGUGAUUUUUUUAUCUUAAUUUAUCUUCCCGGUUUACCUUCUGAUUGCUACUGUCAAACUUUUUUUCAAAUCCGAAUUGAACAGGAAUGACAGUAUAGCACUGUUACUCUGUUAGAGAUGGGAUGGUAAAGAAUGGGAUUGGUAGAGUUUACACUGUAUCUCUCUCCGAUUUACAAGUUUACUGCUACAAGAGCUCCUCACGAAGGCUGGAGGCCUGGAGCUCGCCGCCGGCAUCCUGGCCGGUGGCCGCCAACGCCACCAGAAACACUCUCCAAAAGCCAAAACGUAACCGAGUUAUACGUACUGUAUUCCCUUCUCUAGCAUAUACAGACUCUCCAAUUUAGUUGCUCACCCAAUCCCAGAUAGCGCCCUUAGGCUUACUUUGGCAGCACAGGUAAAUUAAUCACGGGAAAAAUAGUCACGCGCGUGGAAUUUUUUUGACAUUUGAUUCUCACUACCAUCUCUGAGAAGAUAUACAUGCGGGGGGGGGGGGGGGGGGGGGGUUUGCUGUGGCUGUUUGGCAUCCCGUUGCAAAGGACUCACGAGGGAUUCAGCUGUGCUGUUUGGUUUCUCUAGUGCUGCUUGUCACCAUUGAACAAUUGAAAACAAUAUCUCAAAAAAUCAUAAAAAAUCAAGAAAAACAGAAAAUAUUAAAUAAUAUAAGACAUUCACCAGCAGUGUUAGAACCACAAACCAGGAAAAACUCAGGACUAAGUCUCUAUACAAAUACAUAAUUCAAGUCUAAAAUCAUGUCAACCAGGUUAUAGUAUCAGUAAUAGCUAGCAUGAAUACAGAUGGUUUCCAUGCUUUACAUCCAGUACACAGACAUAAACUAGGUUAUAUGAACUGAAAGCUAAAAUCUGCACCAAUAUUUAAAUUAGCCCUCCAGCUCACACCAAUAUAUUACAUAGACAACAGCAGCAUAAAAAAUGGACAAAUAGUAGGUGCAUGUAUAUAAAAAAUGAUAGACAUGAAGAGCAAAAUCUAUCUAUGAUCUUGAACGUUUCUCAGAUGCUAAUUAUGAAGGCCACUUCACUUUUCUCUGAUCAUGUGUUGCUUCUACCGGUCCUGUAUAAGUAACACAAAAGAAAUGGUGAGUUCCAAGAAUAUGCAGCAGAACAACGUGAAGUGUCAUGCUUGAUACACAUUUCAUAUCAUGAACUGGUGAGUUGCAUGCAUAUCUCCCUUAUCUUUGUACAAAUAAAAUGGUCAAAACAAGGGGCUCACUCACCUCUCUAUCACAAGAUAUAGAAAGCUGAGACAUACUACACAUAUAGCAUUCUAUUCUAGAGAGAGCUAUUAGCAAACCUGAUUAUAGACAUUUUAGAGAGAGAGCUAUUAGCAAAUGUAGUAUAUUUAUUAAUUAUAAGCAUUAAAACUGAACCAAACUGAACUCUAGUGCAGCAAAAUACCUCUAUAGGGGCUAGCAAGAGCUGACCGAAAUGGUUCAAACUCUGCUGCGGCAAAAUACCUCUACAGAUGUCAAUUGUCAGCUAGAUGUCUUCAGCGACAAAGUUGCAGUGAGCAGACAGAUUGUGGCAGGGAAAAUCGUUGCGUGGUUUCUCGGCGCGGGGAAAUCACGGGGAACCCUCCGGAAUCCCGUGCUGCCUCUUUGGAAGCACACCCACGCGGGGACAGCAGCCUGUUUCCCUUCAUUUUCCACGCGGAAGAAAUCCAGGAGUCAUGCGGCCGGGAGCGUUUCCUCUUCCCUGACCCCGUCGCUCGCUCGACGACUCACGAGGGGGCAGCCGCCGCCGCCACCGUCGCCAUCACCCCGGCGGCUCAUGGUCGACGCGUCGCUCUUGUCGUGCAUCUCCCGGUGGCCGGCAACUGGUGUGCAUCUCCUGGUUCCCGGCGAUGCAUCUCUCGCGAAUCGCGAUCGUGCCACUGCCGCCGCAAGAUCCACAUCUCGGAGCAGCACCUCCACCUCCACCUCAGCCCCGUCCUCCUAGCAGGGCAAAAUCUCGUAGAUCUUGGGGUGACCGAGCUGCCGUAUCCUCCUCCAUACUCCAACAUCCAUGGAGAAGCGUCGUGCCACCGAGCCUAUCUCCAUACCUCACUCAGCCGAAGCGUGGUGAGCAUGCACCCUAUCAUUCUUGUUGGUGGCUGUGAAAAGGAGUGGGGUAUCUGGUACCUCAUGGCUUUGUAUUUUUGUGAUAUUGUUCGGUGAUUUUGCUAAAUCUGUGAUUCAUGUCUACCCGAUUAGAAAGAUUUCCCUGGUAAUUUUAUUCAUGCUCAUAAGUAUGCAGGUUGGGUAUUGCAAAAUUUGUGAUUAUUGUGUCUAGACGAUUCAGCGAGCAAUUAGUUUAUGUUCUAUCGUAAAUUUAAGAAAAAAAUACCUUUACAUAGAUUUCUUGAUCAGCUAAAAGUUUCAGUAACCAAUAUACAGUAAAAUAGAAAUACUGCACUUCAUAACAUAACAGUCCAAGAAGUUGACACUUCAUGAGACCCAAGCUGGAAGGAUCCCAAUUAGCCAGUGCUAUGAGAUAGUGCAACAUGGUGAGUUUGAUAUAUAUAUAUAGGAGAUUGCUUGUUGUGCUUCACUGCAUUUGCAUAGGUCCUGUGAUGACAUGUUAAUAUUUUUAAUUUUUCUAAUUUUAAGUGAAUCAUACUACUGUUCUAGCAGUGUGAUUAGUCUAAAAGUGAAUCAUACAAAUGCAGUGCCAGUAAUUGAUGCUGGAGAUGGCGUGCAUGUGUCUUCAGGUGCAUCAACAAAUGUCGUUGCUGAAGAUGAAGGAGCAGGUGAUAAAUUGAGUUAAAAUUUCAGUUUUAGUUUCAGGUUCAGGUUUAGUUAAAUUUAGUUGCAGCAAUUAGGAUCAAGUUCAGGUUUAGUUCAAUUUAGUAGUCUUAGUACACUCUAAUGGGUAAAGGUUCAGGUUCAAUUUAGCAAUCAGGUUCAGGUUCAGUUAUCUUUUUAAGUCUAUUUAGUUGCACAGACCAAUAUUAACAAUUAGGUUCAGGUUCAGGUACUGUAGUCUGUAGAUUGUCCCUGGAAUUUGAGUACUGAUUCUGAUUGCUCAUAGCAGAGUAUGAGAACAAACAUUGGAGUAUAUGAUGAGCUUCCUUUUUCAAAAAGGAAAUGCAGUUUUAAUCAUUUUAGGAAAUGCAACUUUAAUUAUUAUUUUACUGUAGUCUGUAGAUUGUCCCUGGAAUUUCAGUGAUUGUUCCUCGUUCUCCCAAAUAAUGUUGAUGGGCUGUCCAACAAUAAUUUCUUUUUUUAGAGGAAGCAAUAAAUUCUUUACAUCUUGUGUAGGGACAGUUAUGAAAAGGAGCUGUUGUUUGAGUUUAGUAGAUGCUCUGGUUCUGCUAGCUGCUUGCUACUUCUAGUAUGACCAGUACUCUAGAAUUAGAUUGGUUUGUGUGGCAGAUACAAAACUAUGUCUAAAUUUAUGUGUUCUAGCUAACUACUAGUAUGACCAGUACUACCGCACAUUUUGUGUUUUAGUUUUCAGCUUCAAAAAGGGUGCUGUAUUUUUAACACUUGUUUUUUUAAUCGCCUUCUGCUAUAGGGUCACCGGAAUUCUGCUCACUGCAACUUUGUCGCUGAAGACAUCUAGCUGACAAUUGACAUCUAUAGAGGUAUUUUGCCGCAGCAGAGUUUGAACCAUUUCGGUCAGCUCUUGCUAGCCCCUAUAGAGGUAUUUUGCUGCACUAGAGUUCAGUUUGGUUCAGUUUUAAUGCUUAUAAUUAAUAAAUAUACUACAUUUGCUAAUAGCUCUCUCUCUAAAAUGUCUAUAAUCAGGUUUGCUAAUAGCUCUCUCUAGAACAGAAUGCUAUAUGUGUAGUAUGUCUCAGCCUUCUAUAUCUUGUGAUAGAGAGGUGAGUGAGCCCCUUGUUUUGACCAUUUUAUUUGUACAAAGAUAAGGGAGAUAUGCAUGCAACUCACCAGUUCAUGAUAUGAAAUGUGUAUCAAGCAUGACACUUCACGUUGUUCUGCUGCAUAUUCUUGGAAGUCACCAUUUCUUUUGUGUUACUUAUACAGGACCGGUGGAAGCAACACAUGAUCAGAGAAAAGUGAAGUGGCCUUCAUAAUUAGCAUCUGAGAAACGUUCAAGAUCAUAGAUAGAUUUUGCUCUUCAUGUCUAUCAUUUUUUAUAUACAUGCACCUACUAUUUGUCCAUUUUUUAUGCUGUUGUUGUCUAUGUAAUAUAUUGGUGUGAGCUGGAGGGCUAAUUUAAAUAUUGGUGCAGAUUUUAGCUUUCAGUGUGUAUUGGAUGUAAAGCAUGGAAACCAUCUGUAUUCAUGCUAGCUAUUACUGAUACUAUAACCUGGUUGACAUGAUUUUAGACUUGAAUUAUGUAUUUGUAUAGAGACUUAGUCCUGAGUUUUUCCUGGUUUGUGGUUCUAACACUGCUGGUGAAUGUCUUAUAUUAUUUAAUAUUUUCUGUUUUUCUUGAUUUUUUAUGAUUUUUUGAGAUAUUGUUUUCAAUUGUUCAAUGGUGACAAGCAGCACUAGAGAAACCAAACAGGAUGCCAAAUAGCCACAGCAAAACUCCUCCCCCCCGCGCAUGUAUAUCUCCCCAGAGAUGGUAGUGGGAAUCAAAUGUCAAAAAAAUUCCACGUGCGUGACUAUUUUCCCCGUGAUUAAUUUACCUGUGCUGCCAAAGUAAGCCUAGUAUUCCCCAUUUUCCUGGAGUCGGUUCCCCUCAUUUUCCCUAGCAACUGGCAAGCUCUUAAAGUAGACCCAUCCACUUUUUUUUUUCUUUUUUGCAUCGUUUCUGUCUUUCCUAAAGUCAGAAGAUCUGGUGUGACUACAUAAUUUUGGCAAGAGCUAGAAGAGACAGUUGGAUUGGUGUUUUGGACAUAGCCUACAUAUCAAUGAUACCAUUCACUUGCUCGGCACGUUUUUUUUACUUCUAUUCUCUCUCAUGGUCCGGUCCUUCACUCUUGUUGGUACAGUGUAGUAUAGCCAUUUAAGAUUGAAAUUUGACUCGUACGUUAAUAGAAAAAAAGGAACCUUGACAUGGUUAUUUCGAACUAUUGCAUUGUCAUGAUCAUGCGAAUUAUCACUCACUUAGGCCUUGUUUGAAUACACGUGCAUUUAUCUUAAUCUAUAUGUUGAAGUGGAUUGAAGUAGAAUUAAACUAUGUUUCAUUUCAAUUCACUCCAACACAUGUGAAUUGAAGUUGAUACAUAUGUAUUCAAAUAAGACCUUAGCUGAAUCAAAGGACGCGAGAGAGAUUUUGCCUCUCCACUCACCACCGCCUCGUACUUGCCAUUCUCUUUGUCGCCCGUUCGAUGCAUCGAUGAUGAGGCAAAAGGUAUAACCUCUUGCGAUCUCAAUAUAGCCACUCACCAAUUUGUUGAACUUGCUCCUGUCGUUGGCCUACUUGACGUGUGCUCUAGAGAUACAAGAGUCUCACAGCUGAGUUAUCGAAGAGCACGUCAAGCAGACCAAGGAUGAGAUCAAAUUCAACAAAGUGGUGAGUGGCAAAGAACAAGUGGGGGAAGGCAUGAACUUGGAUCUCAUCAUCAAUGCAUGGAAUAGAGAUGGGAAGGAUGCCAAGUACGAGGCGGAGUUGCACCUGAGGGAUUGGAUGGACAAACACACUUAUUCUUCAAACCACCUAACUGAGCGACAAUUUGCAUUUUUGUAUCAUCAUGCUACAUCAAGGUUACCGAACACCGAUUCACAUGAUCAUGUUACGUACAAUUAUUUGAAAUAAUUGCCUUUCAAAAAAAUAUUCAAAAUAAUUUGUAAGUGAUCAAAGGUGCUUUUUGUUCCAUGAUAUGUGUUGCCGCACAGAUGACAAAGGUCGUUUGGUUGAGUAAUGACUAAUGAUGUGGUCCUCUAUGCAAUAUUUUUUUGUUUGACACGUUAAGUGAAAUGGGUUGAUCCACAACCACAGCCAACAUCUCACCCUUUACAGACUAGUAUUUAGUAUAUCUCUCAUUACUAGAAUCCUCUUAGGCCCUGUUUGGCACGGCUUCUUUAGCGGCUUCAGGAGCCGUUUGGAGCCGUUUUGUGCCAAACGGGGUAAAAUAGAAUAGCUCCACUAAUGAAGUCUCUAAAAACAUGCUCUCACAGAGCUUUGGAGUAUGAAGGAGCCAAAAAUAGUGGCUUCUUACAGCUUCACCUCAUCCUAUGUGGCAUUAUGUGAGAGCACAUUUUAAGGAAAUAGCUAUUUUGCCAAACGGUUUACCAAAAUGGCUUCAGCUCCACUGAUAGAGCUGUUCAUGGAGCUGAAGCCCUAAAAAACAGCUUCACUGGUGAAGUGGAGCCGUGCCAAACAGGGCCUUAUUUCCGUCUUAGGUAAAGGCUUAGAUACGUUUUCCUAGGGUGGUUCGUUAGCAUUGCUGCCUAGGGAACGAUUUCACAGGGAAAUCAUAAGUGCCAUAGGGUGCCAUUCGAAAACCCUAAGAUAACUACCUUCACCUAUGUACAAGCAUAUAUAUCUAGUAAUAAUACAAUUGCGUCUCGUCUGGCCCCGCUUCUCUUCCCCUAUGUACUUUGAUCUAUACAUAAAAAAUAUCGAGUAUUAUCGCCGUACCGCUCCGCUCCCCUCCGCCUAUGGGGCAUAUAUCUAGUAAUAAUAUAAUUACGUCCCACCAAGGGCCUAUUUAAAUUCAUUAGAGCAUCUUCAAGGGUUUUGCAUUUGGACUUUAUAUUCUUAUAAUUUGCCAAAAAUCAUAAAAAAAAGUAUCCAAUGGUCUUGCAUUUGGAGUUUGCAUUUUAGACAACUUGGCAAAUAAGAGAGCAAACUUGGCAUAUAUGCCAAGCCGCACAUGGCUUGGCAAAAGGCCCAUUGCGCGCAUCUCCCGGUCCCCCACGCGACCUGGACUUUCUUCGCGCCAUAUAUCGCGAUCGCGAGCAACACCAUCGCCGCCGUACGCUACAGAACUCGCGAGGGACUCCAUCGCGACAGUCGGGCUGGCAUCGUGGCGGCACCUGCAACGAGUCGAGUCGCCGCGGCGGCACCUGCAUCGAGCGGUGGGGAGCAUGAAGAACUGGCGGCACGACCUGUGAGGAAAACGCGAGAACCGGCAGCGACUUUACGCGCGCAAAGAAAAGUCGCGCGGGAAGACGAUCGCGAGCGCGCGAAGGAAAAAAAAUCACGGUCGGGUCCACUUUGGCUAAUUGUCAACUCAAUUAUGCAAAACCCUUGGAGAUAGUCUAUUUUUAGACUUUGCAUUUUGUUUUGGAAGUUUGCAAACAACAACAAAUGUCAACUCAAUUAUGCAAAACCCUUGGAGAUGCUCUUAGCUGCUAAUAGUUAGCUAUCUAAUAGAUUAUAACUAUUAUUAGUUGCUAUUAGCUACUUUUUUUGAGGAUUUAGCUACUUUAGUUCAAUUAGUGAAAUAGUUGUUUAUUUAAGUAUUCAGCUAAUAAUUAUAACUAACCAAUUAGCUCAACCUAUUUGGAUCCAAGUAAUUAUUAGCAGCUAACUGCUCUUCAUCCGUUCUAAAUUAUAACUAUGCAUCUAAAUAUAAUAAUAUGUCUAGAUAUGUUGUAAAAUGAAUAGAAAAAUUAAAAUAACUUAUACCAGAUAGAUUAUAAUUUGGAACGAAGGAGUAUCUCCGGGAUCCAAACAACUCGUGCAUGUCCUUUCCUGUCGCGACUGGCGGGCCUUGCUUUUGCUGCACGGACGAGAGGUAGCCCAAAACAAACACGGGCGACGUCAAUUAUUUCUUUUUCUACGAUGAACAAAUAAAAUCCCUCCGCACUUUUAUUUAUUAUAAAUGUAAAUAUAUUUCAGAAAUCAAUAAAAAAUAAUUCUUUCAAAUCUUGUUCAUUUACAUUCACUAAUCAUUUGUACAAUUGUACUCUUGGUAGUAUGGUGUUUCUACUUUACUGACCUUGCAUGGUUGGGAUAAAUCAUAUUAUUCAUGUUCAGUAUGUAGUAUAUUGCAUUUACGAUUCCAAUUUCUCGUUCAGAUUAUUUCCAGUGAUGUUUAUUAUAUUUGUGGUAAUUAUUAAGUAUUUAUAUCUGUUCAAUUAACAUGAAAUUUAGGCAACCUUGUCCAAGUUUUGUUUUGAAUUUUAAAAAUUAUUUUACAAUUUUUUCUUACUUGGUGUCCAAGCUAGAACGGUUGAUGUGUAAAAAAUUCAAAAUACUAGCUCUGCUUUAUUGUCUGAAUUCAUGAACUAUGUUUUCUUGAUUGAAAUUACCUUUAUUGACUAGCUUUACAGCUUUAAUUUGUACACCCAAUUUUAAAAUCGUGCGUCUGCCACUGCUACAGACCUGUUGUUGGGGAAGGGUACGUCGAAUUAGGAGAGCCACAGUGAAAAAAACUACUAGAAGAGAAGAAAGGCACACAAGAUGGUUAUGAGCUAUAGUUGUACUUGAGGCGUGGUUCAGUCUUAAAGAUUAACUCGAUAAAGUACUUGUAUUUGUAUAUUCUUUCCACUAUCACAUGUAACCUCACGGUAAGCUGACUUGAGUUGUGACAGUCAUACAUGUAUAUACUAUCUUGUAACUUGAUCAUGUGAUUUAAGCUAGUGGAGUGCAUAUGAAAUGUGCCUCCAGGGAUUACCGGGUUAAUUCACUUAUACUGAGUUAGUCAAAAGGAUCGAUGAAACCAACUCAGUAUUAGAAAUUGCACACAGGCCAAAUCGCUUCAGGCAUUUAUGAUCAAAUACAGUGUUUUAUCAUCAACAAUUCAAGGGUGUUUGUUUGUGUGUUCAUUAAAAAAGUGUGGAUUUUUGUACACAAGCGCGCGUACGCGGGGAAUACUAGCAGUGCGAAAUCCCACAUGAUUUCGUAUCCCUAUUAUUUUCUCAACUGUUUUGAACAAUAGGAAAAUGAACCUUCUGCGUAGACUAUUAUGCUUCAAUCAAAAUAACGACAAGAAGUGUAAAUGUUGAUGACAAAACGUGCGACUAUUCACAUCUGACGCAUUAGAUCAUCAUUAGAUGCUUAUAGGGGCACGUCCCAAUUCCAGAUAAACCAGAAUAAGGAAUGGACGAUCCAAACGGUGGUAUAUACUCCCUCCAUACUCGAAAUUCUUGACGUUUAGGACAUGAUUAAACAGAGGUAGUUUUCCCUGGUUGCCCUUAUUAAAUAGGAUUCGCAUACCUGCUAUACAACGAGGCAUUAACAGUUGUGUUGGUUCGGUCGUUGGGUGCUAAGGCCAGCAAGCGCAGUUCAAAUCCUCACUUGUGCAAGUUUUUUUUUUCGACUCUAGUUUUGCACAAAAAAAGACUACUGAAAAUAUUUAAUAUACAACAUGUGUUUUACAAUUUCUACUGAGUAGUUAUAUUUGAUUUAGUUCUAAGAAAAAUUGUUUCAUCAUUUUUUUGAUUUUCUAGGAUUUAUUACGCAAAUUUGAAGUCUCUGCAGUUUUGAUGAGUUUUACACGAAGCAGAGAAGCUAACAAGCACUUUGCAUCAGAAACCCUAAACUAUUUCUUAAUCAAUCUAAUUGUUUUUUAUUUUUCUUUCUCUCUAGUACUUUUUCAAUUGGAACCCUCUCUUUUUAUCUAUUGUUGCAAGCUGCUCCUGUCCUCAGUUCACGAAUGGAGAUAACCGUACCGAAGUUCAGCUCGAAGUGCGGCCUCUCGAUUCUCGUCUUCAACUCCGGUAGCAAACAAGUGAGGGAGUCCAGCGGCAUCUCGAUAGAUUUCAGUGUAAUCUCUGACUACAACACCAUGACCAAGUGCAUCUCGACGGAUUCCAGUGCGACCUCUGAGUCCAGCGCCUCGGCCAUUCUGAGGGCGGCGAGGAACGGCGGCGCGACCUCAGAACGAACCAGCGGCGAUGAAGGGCGGCGAGGAAGGCAGUGCGACGCGCUAAUGCUGGACGAGUGAACGGGCCAUGAAGGAAACGAAGCGGCGAUGAAAGACCAUUAAUGCUGCGCGGCGUGCGCGAUUAAUGAAGGCAGCCGAACGGACUCAGGGGUAAAGACGUCCACAGACGGGGUUACACGGCCAGAACGUCAACAUUUACGAAAACGUUCGAGACUCCUAAAACGACAACAAUUUCGAGUAUGGAGGGAGUAUACUACUACUGCAUUCCUGCUUAAUUAAUUCGAUUUUGAAAAAAGUUCGACAGAUGCAUAUAAGACACGAAGAUGUCAAGAUGAUACGGCAUGACUAUAGCGAGUCCUGACGGUACAUACGCAAAUUAAACCCCCGGCCCAUCAGUCUAUCACGCACCGAUCGCGACCCAUCCGCCGCCAAUCAUGACCGGGAAGAACUCGAUCUCAUCACCAUCAUUGAGAUCGAGCUCCGCCGGCGUGUUGCAGCCCCGCAGCCGGACGGAGCCAUCGAACAUGAAGGUCCCGGAGCCGUAGGUCACCUCGCCGGCCGCCUUCUUGUAGUAGGCAUCCAUGACGCCCUGCACUUUGUCGCUCAUCCUCAUGGUGUGGAAGGCCCUGCGACCUUCCUGGUCAAGCACCUUGAGCGUGAUCAAGGGAUCGUCCUCCGGCUCCGUCUUGACGCUCCCCUGCCUCCUGCCCUCCUCUACCGGCGGCGACAUACUCCGGCGGUGAGAGUGGUUAGUAUACGGCGGCUUUUUAUAGCUUCUCACGCGGAUCGGUCAGUCCAAUAAUAAAAAUGGACAAUUCUCGAUCUCCUCGAAACGACGGAGAGCGUGCGUCAUUGGAAUUUGUUUAGCUGCUCGGAAAUUAUUGUAGGCGCAGACUACGAAAAGGUCAAAAUGGCUAGUUGGCUAUAUCCGUCAGAAUUUUUCGAUCGUUGCGAUCAUGCAAACGAGGAUUUCCUUUCCCAUUUUCUUCCCGACGGUUGCCACGCGCAUGGGGGGUUCCCAAUCUGCAUGGAUAGUACAUUCGCCAAAAAAAAAAAAAAAAAUCCUUUUCCGUUGCGCCUUUUCCUUCCCAUUCGUCGCGCUGGUGGAGCUUUAAUCCCGCCUAUCUCUCUAUCGAUAAUUCGAAAUGCAAGAGCAGACUGUUCGGUUUCCAUCCGAGAUAAUCUAACCUUGAUUUUAUAGUUUUUUAAGAAAACCUUGGUUUAUAGGCCUUGUUUCGUUACCUGUUAUAAACUUUAGUUUCUAUCAUAUCGACUGUUUAGAUAUAUGUAUAAAGUAUUAAAUAUAAACUAUUUUACAAGACCAAAAACACAGUUAGAGACCAAAAUUACAAGACGAUUUUUAAGUCUAAUUAGUAUAUAAUUAAUUAAACAUUAAUUGUUAUAGUUACAAAUGUGUUACAGUAUCUAUUAAAUUUUAAUACCUCUAAACAAACAUCCCGACAGUAUGAGGCAUCUGGAGCACCUACAGCUACAGUGUGAACAUCAUUGGUUUUUGGUUGUGACGUCCACCAUCUGCAUAUGUGUGUCCUCAUGCUCAUGCCUCACCAAAUAUUUUAUGACGCACAGCAACUGAACCGUGUUUAAAGUCCAAUUUUGAUUUCUGACGCUAUGGUUCGCAACUUCGCAUGCUCGAGUAUACGUGGUUUCGUUUUCGACCUCGCUCUCUACACCGGAGAUGCUGCCCCGGCCGGUCACCAACUUCACGUGCUCCGACGCCACGACACAGUGACAUUGUACAUCUCGGCUCCUCGGACACACCUUCGUUACCCUCCGAGUCAGUUUGCGGACGUCGGCGUGUUUGUCGAAGACCACCACAAACGACGUGUGUAGAGGCUGGCGGGGCGGCCGGCCGGCGAGCGAGCGCCCUCGUGCAAUUGACGAAGUCCGGCAUGAACAGGUUAUUAGCUCGGUCCUUAUGUUUGAGUUGCUGCCCAAGCCCAACUAGCCUAGGCUGCUAAUGAGCAAGUACUCCCUCCAUAUCAGAAUUAGAUGACGUUUAGGACAUGAUUGUACUUACCAAGGAGUCAUUAAUUAGAGGCUAAUCUUCCAGUUCUGCCCUUAUUAAAUGGAACCGAAGGUGUUUCCUAGACAUGAAAGAUUCUCUUCUCUAUUGGUUACUGGGGCUGGUUUCAAGGCACACAUGAGGCGAGGGCAAGGGUUCGAACCUUGUGGCUUGCGCUUUUGUUCUCUUGGAUGUCACAUUUUGCAUGGUGCUGGAAUUUGCGUUUUUUCCCUGUUGGCGCGAUUUGCAGGCCAGUGUUUGUUUUUUUUAUUCAUCCUUCAUCGGUUCUUAUUUUUUCCCCUUUUUUGCACAGGUUUUGACUUGAACUUGCCAUUAGAUGAGUAUGGUGCGGUGGAUCUCAACUUCUUACAAGGAAACAUUCAUGGUAAGCAUAUUUUUUCCCUAUAUUUAGAUCAUGACGUGGAGUAGCAUGCAGUCCCAAAUGUUUUUUAUUUCCUAUAUUUAGAACAUGGCGUGGAGUAGCAUGGGUCUGUUGCUGCUUGCAUGCGUGGGUCUGUUGCUGCUUGCAUGCGUGGGUCUGUUGCUGCUUGCAUGCUUGCGUCCGUUGGGAGCAGGGACCGAGACGUCGUCUUGAAUGCGAGCAUGCGGCUGCAGCGGAACAGACGGACGGAUGCGACAACAGACCCAAGGGGUAUUCGCGUCAAGUUUAGUGUGUUUAAUCCAGAACGUCAACCUUUAAGAAAAUGGCAUGGGUGCCCAAAACGUCACCUAAUUGAGGUAUGGAGGGAGUAGGGUGGAUGGCAACCUGGAAAUUUUGCCAGUCCACAAAGCCAGGUGUUGAAAACUACGAUAUUUUUGCUUGCUCGUUUGAUGAUAUACUCAACAAUUCAUCAUCGAGCUUCGCUUAUAAUUCUAUACUAGUUCUAGUUCCACAACGAAAGCGACAACAGUAACACAAUAGGAAAAGGAAAACACUACAUUGUCUUCCUUAAAAAAAAUCACAAAAGUCAUAUUUUUCUAUCCAAACCAGAAAACUGGACAUAACUUCUCAUUUAUUUUUUAAACCGGGCAUAUCACCUCCCUAGCUAUUUCUCUAGGUGGUUUCUUUCUUUUUUCUUUUAUAUUUAUUUUGGAUGAUUUUUUUUAAAAAUAUAUAUAAAAUAAAAAACUAAUUUUAUUGGACUCCACAUGACUAGAUCUACAUAGUAAGUAUAUUAAAAAUCUAGCUUUUUACUAAAACAUAUCAAUGUUUAUUGUGUAGAUAUACUUAUGUAGAGUCUAACAAAAACUUCAUGCUUAUGUAUGACUCUGUUAUAGAUCUAAUUCCAUUUAAAAACUAUUUAACAAACGUAAACCUCUACAACUCAAUCACGCAUUAUUCAAUGAGCGUAAAAUUUUUACUACAACUCAAGCAUACAAUGAUUACCUCACCAUAUAAAAACACCACAAUUGGAUGAGAGAAAUAACAGCUAUGAAUUAAUUAUAAAAAAUACAAAUAUAAAGUUACAACAAAAACUUUACACUAAAGCAUAUGUAUUAUAUAUUUACUAUGUAGAACUAGGGAGCGUAUGCUAUAAAAACCAACUAGAUAUGCAAACUAUGCAAACUCUAAUUAAGCGCACACGAUUCUAAUCCGAUAGGUUCUGGUGGAGGUGGGACAAUUAAGCACUUAAAUCCUUCUACCAAUCCAAUCUUUUUUUUUCAACUCACCGAGGCAGCGAUCGCUAACGUGACUCAGUCAGGAAACCGUAUUUGUUUUUCUUCUAAACCAACGUUGUUUCCAACUUUCCUGUCCACGUCCUUUUCCUAUUUCUUUUGUUUUUGUUUUGUUCGUUUGUUCAUCCCGACGUUCAGUUGUGUACGUGACUUUUGACUUUUUCUCUCUCUCAUACUUAAUUUUGUAAAAAACAGUAAAUAUAUCAUGGGUGUUCAAACUCUUUAUCCUUAUGUGAUAAACCAAUUCGUUGAUAACUAAAAUCUUGAAUAACUUAUCAUCCAUCUAAUCUAUAUCUAUAUAACUAUGUUCAAAUCUUCUUUUUUAUCUCCCAUUUUUUCUUAUAAAUUGAAAAAAAUAAAUAAAAUGGCCAUCAAUGUUUACGUUCAAACAUACCAGGGAAGAAUCGGUCUCAAUGGUGACUGAUGUGCAUGGCACUGUGCCGGUUGUGAUUGAUGAAACUUGCUGCUGCCUGAGGACGGCGGCGGCGGCGUCGUACAGGAGGCGAACGGAGCGAUCGUUGUCUGGGUGAGUUGAAAAAAAUAAAAUUGAAUUGGUGGGAGGGUUUAAGUGCUUAAUUGUCCCACCUCCACUAGAAGUCAUCGGAUUAGAAUCGUGUGUGCUUAAUUAGAGUUUGCAUAGUUUACAUAUACGCUCCCAUAGAACUAAUAAUGUAGAGCCAAUACAAUUAGAUUUUUCUAUUUUAUGAUUUUUCAAAGAUUCAACCAAAAUAAAUAUAAAAGAAAAAUCACCAACGGAAACAGCCAUAGAGAUAAAGUUACCCGUUUUAAGAGAUGAGGACGAACUAUGUCUAGUUUUAGAGUUAAGGAAAAAAAAACUGACUUUCGUGAUAGUUUAUGGAGACAAAAUGAACUUUUUUCCGCUUCCUCACAGCAAUUUCUAAGUUGGGACAGAAAAGAUUUUGGCCCAAAUUCAACAGGGGCAGCUUGCGCCAUAAAAAGCACACAGGCACAUGACGCUUGAUUGGGCCACGUCGAUGAUUGAUGAUUUUGCUUGUUGCUCAAUCGAUCGAUCUGCAUACCAGAAGCAAGGAAAGCCAAGCCUCUCCGCCGCCGCGGCGCCACCGCGAUGUGGUUCAACUCCCGCAGCGAACCCAACGCCGACGCCGAUCCCCGACCUCAAGGUUCCUGUAACCGAGCCCUAGCCUCUGCCAUCACAGCCGCCACUUCAUCCUCCUCGUGCGACCUCGGCAGCGGAUGGGGCUCCAGAGGCGGCGGCGGCGGCUUCCUGUCGUGGAUCUUCUCCGCGGGCGUGGCGCGCGCCCACGAGCACGAAGGGAAGCCGCAGGCCGGGGACUGGGACGCGCACGGGCUCCCGGUCACCCGCACGCCAGUAACGCUCUCCAGGCUCGACGGGAGGAAGAGGUACAAGGUAUCCGAGCUCAACUUCCUCGACCGCCGCGCCCGCACCACCGAGGCCAGCGCCGGAGAGAAAGAGAAGACGUCGACCCCCUUGUUCGACGACAUGACCACGCUUCGGUCUGGCGGCGUGUACACCCGGUUGCAGCUGCACGAUGAGCUCCAGACGAUGACGUCUUCCGGCAUGUUCGAGCAGGUCAGCCUCCAGGGCAAGCCCAAGCCGGACGGCACUCUCGCGCUCACCGUCACCUACGCCGAGAGCGUCUGGCCUGGAGCCGUCAAACGGCUCAAGUUCGUCAACGUGGGGCUCAUGCCGCCGCUUGGCGACGGACCUGACGACGACAUGACGGCAAGGGAGAAGAUGGACUACUUCCGCAGGCAGGAGCGCGACUACAAGCAGCGCGUCCGCCGCGCCAAACAGUGCAUACUGCCGCAGUCGGUGCGUCAGGAGGUGCUGGGGAUGGUGAAGAAGCAGGGGAAGUUGACCGCCGGGCUGCUACGGAGGAUCAGGGACCACGUCGAGAAGUGGUACCACGACGAGGGCUUUGUGUUCGCCCAGGUGCAGAACUUCGGCAACCUCGACUCGGACGAGAUUGUGCUCGAGGUGGCAGAGGGGGACAUUACCAAGGUGGAGUACCAGUUUCACGACAAGCUCGACAAUAUCAUAGAGGGAAACACUAGCAUUGCCAUCAUUGACCGGGAGCUGCCCCAGCAGGUAUAUACAGUACAGUAUAAGUUAUUUUGCUUACACUAUUACCUCCAUGGUUAUUGGUUAAUUAGAAUGUCUCAUUGCAGAUGGUUGUGAAUCUAUGGUUUUUCGUUUAAUGCGCCAUGAAUUGAUUGGUUGACAUAUUCGAUUAUGAUCCUCCAAAACAUUUUAUUGCACACCAACAAAGUUUGACUUGUGCCUUUCUUAUUUCUAUGAACAGCUUGGUCCUGGCCACAUCUAUAACCUAGGGGCGGGGAAACAAGCUCUACAGAGCAUCAAUUCACUGUCUUUGUUCUCAAAUAUAGAAUUGACUCCUCGCCCUGAUGAGACGAAACAAGGGGGUAUAGUGGUUAACAUCAAACUCAAGGAGCAUGAACCAAAAUCAGCACAAGUAACAACAGAGUGGAGCAUAGUGCCUGGACAUCAAGGACUGCCAACUCUGGUUGUGUACAAUUUAUCUUUGUCUGCAGAAUCGUUACUUAAUACUCUGUACAACAUUAUGAAUAUAAACCACGUAUCAUUUUAAGUCCUCUGAGGUCUGACAUAACCUCAUAUCUCGUGGAUACUUUCUGUUAGGCAUCCAUUCAACCUGGAGGGACUGUUUCGUUUGAGCACCGCAACAUCUCUGGUUUAAACAGAUCUCUAGUUGGUUCUGUUACAUCCAACAACUUGCUCAACCCUCAGGUGAGUUGGUAGUGGGGUUUUCCUUCUUUUUUUCUUUGAUGUGUGUUGCUUUGGGUUUAUUGUUACAUCUAUUAUUUGCUGCAACCUACUUAUAUUUAAUUACUUGAGUGUAAUGUGUAUGUUAUAACUGUCUCUGUCUAGUGUGUACACACAUUUAUAAAUUGCAUAAUGUUCAACUCAUACUUUAAUUAACAUCCGUGCUAUGUGUGUGUAUGUUUAACUUAGUUGAAUAUAUCUUAUGUGUUGCAAAAUAAAACAGCAAUUAGUAUCAAUUUUCAUUGUACUACAAUCUGAAAGAAGCAAUUAUAUACUCCCUCAAUCCCAAAUUAUAAGGCAUUCCAAGAAUUUUGGAGAGUCAAAGCGUUUAAUCAAAUUUAUAUGAUAAGAUAAAAACAUUUAUAAUAUUAACUAAGUAUCAUUAGGUUCUUCAUUAGCUAUAUUUUCAUAUUAUACCUAUUGGAUGUCAUAAAUCUUUAAAAUUUUUUCUAUAAUUUUAGUAAAAUUUAAGAUAUUUUGACUCUCCAAAAUUCUUGGAAUGUCUUGUAAUUUGGGAUGGAGGGAGUACCAUGUUUCACAACAAAAGAAAAUUUAUUGGAGAAAUUUUGCUCGCAUGGUUUUCAAGGCAUGUUUGAAUUUUUGUUUCAUAAUCAGGAAACAUCAGCUAGAUUCAUAUAUUUCUACGGGUUUCUUCCAAUUCGUCUUUACUCUUUAAUAAGAUAGCUGAGCAUACUCCAUUCUUGAGAUGAAUCUCUUUAGUUUUUUGGCCUGGUACCUAGCCACUUACACACUCUUGUGAUGACAUUCAAUGCACAUGCACUCAUCCAUGUUCCUUUGUGGGGGGUAUUAGGGUGAUCUGUCGUUCAGGCUUGAGUAUGCACAUCCAUAUCUGGAUGGUGUGGAGAACCGCAGUAGAAACCGCACCUUCAAAGCUAGCUGCUUCAACAGCAAGAAAUUAAGCCCUGUCUUCGUUGCUGGUCCCAACAUGGAUGAAGCUCCACCUAUCUGGAUCGACAGAGUUGGAUUUAAAGCCAAUAUAACAGAGGUUUGCAUAGAUUGUUAUUACCUUCUAGAUAUUUUGAUUUAGAUUAACAGCUAUUUCAAGAUACAUGAGGAAGCUGUUUGGAUUCUCAGAACCUCACAAGGCAGAGCAAAUUCACAUAUGGGCUCGUGGUGGAAGAGAUUACAACACGCGAUGAAGAUAACAACAUAUGUACACAUGGUGCUCGAGUAUUGCCUGGUGGCGCCUUGAGCAUGGAUGGACCUCCGACAACCUUCAGUGGUACUGGUGUUGAUCGAAUGGCAUUUCUACAAGCUAAUAUAACUCGAGACAAUACAGAGUUCGUAAAUGGUGCAACAAUCGGAAACAGAUGUAUAUUCCAGGUGUGCUAAUAUUCCAUUUUUUUGUCUGAUUUUCAUAGCAUAAUUAGUGUUCAAUUAUUCCUGUGUGUUUUGAAUCAAAUAAAACUCAGUACCUCACUGGCUCACUGUGUGUAAAAUGACAAAGGAAGAAUGGGAGACUCUUUACAUAAUUGUUUUUGUUUUUCGCUUUGAUAUUUGUUUUCAUUUGGGACUGGUGCAGAGUUUAUAAUAUUGAAUACUCAGGCACAUUUUAACAAAUGUUGUCACUAUAAUCGCUUUAGUAUAUGUUUUGGGCAAAGGAAAGUUUGCCUUUUCUAGCUUAUAUGUUACAAAAAAAAAAUCUCUGGAGAACCGGAUCAAUGGCGCAAUGGUAGCGCGUCUGAACCGGAUCCAUGGCGCAAUGGUAGCGCGUCAAUCCAGAUCAGAAAGUUGCUAAAAAUGUGCACCAUGUUAAAAAAAAACUGAUCACUGGAGAGUGCUCACGGUGCGCAGGUUGCUGUUUUGUAGUAGUCUGGGUCUGCUGGGGAGUGCCUAAACUCUAGUGCUCUUAUUUUCUUCUUGUGUUUGUGUUUUUUUCUUCAGCUGUGUUUGGCUUCGGUGGGCUCUUGGUUAGCUUUGGCUGACCACGGCUUGUGUUGAUCACUUUGUUGCUUCUCUUGCAUUGCUUCCUGCUUAAUGAAAUACGUGACUUGCACGAUCUAAAAAAAACAAUACCCUCGAUUCACGUUGGGUUCAAAGCCCCGAUCCCAGUCUGUAUUUUUUUUAAAAAAAAAAUGAUAUCUGGAAUAAUUCAAUAGCACCAUGUGUAGUAAUUUUCUUGUUGGUUUGCAGUUGGACCAAGGUCUCGGCAUCGGAAGCAAAAAACCAUUCUUCAACCGUCAUCAGCUCACGGUGACAAAGUUCAUUAAUCUGAAUAAGCUUCUGAAUAAGCAAAAGAAAGGUGCUGGGAAGCCACCACCAGCUGUUUUGAAUCAGCAAGAGAAAGGUGGUGGGAAACCACCACCAGCUGUUUUGAGUAAGCAAGAGAAAGGUGCUGGGAAGCCACCACCGGCUGUUUUGGCACUCCACGGUCGUUACGCAGGCUGUGUUGGAGAUCUGCCGAGCUACGAUGCAUUUGCACUUGGCGGACCUCACUCCGUUAGGGGCUACGGCAUGGGGGAACUGGGUGCUUCCAGAAAUCUUCUUGAGGCGAGUAUCAAUCCUCUUGGGGAUUUGGCGUUCCUGAAAUAUGACGCAUCAUUUUUCAUCUCUGUUCAUGCCAUAGUCUUGGGAGUUUUUGUUUUGCUUUUCUUCGGAUUUGUUUUCAAAAUUGUAUGUCCGUGCAGGUUGCCGCUGAGGUGCGCGUCCCCAUCACUGUGAAGAACAGACAAGCACAGGUGUACGCAUUUGCCGAGCAUGGCACUGACCUUGGGAGCUCCAAGGACGUGAAGGGGAACCCUACAGAGUUCUUCAGACGCGCCGGCCAUGGGUCUUCCUAUGGCGUUGGUGUCAAGCUUGGUGCUGUAAGGGCGGAGUACGCUGUAGAUCACAAUGCUGGCACGGGAGCCUUCUUCUUGAGAUUUGGCGAGAGGUUUUGAAUGGAGUGGAGAUCUGUCACUGGAAAAAAAAAUUUCCUGUUAUAUAAUUUUUUUUGAAUGAAUUCCUGUUAUAUAAUAAUGUAGGAGUAACAGAAAGGAGAUUUGUCACUGAAUCUUGUAUCCGCAAUGCCUGCGAUGUGAAUAUAUAUACGCGGAAGACAGACUCUCUUUUUAUGAAAAGACGCUUUGUUAAUUCUCUUCCUCUGUGGAAGAUAGAUUCGAUGGUAUUCUCCAGUGAAGUUUUUUGUUUCUGUGAUAAAGUCAGUUAAUUUACUGAAAAACGUGGAGCUGGAGAUGUGAAUCAAGGUUCAGAAGUGUUUGCUCGAUAUGUCCAGCUACGUUUGUUUUUUCGGCGGCGGAACUUCUGCAGCUAUGUGCUAUCACAGCCCAGCGAAAGCGGCUAGAUUUUUAGGUACUUAGCCAUGCGGCCCAUUCCAGGCUUCCAGCCCAACGGACAACGGCGACGCAUAGUUGAUCAGAAUUCAGAAGUUCAGAACCUCAAGGAUGGACAGACCGUCGCUUCGGUGCACGCGUAGUUACUGCUGCGCACCAAAAAAAAAAAAAAAAAAAACGCGACUCAGACAGACUAUUCCUCCGUGCCAAAGGUGAACGCGACAUCCAGGCACGACGCCACACCCGUUCGACGACGACCUCAUCGGCGAUGAUGCGAUCGGGCGCGCGCGGCGGCGAGGAGGAGGAGGACCGGAAGCCGGUGAUCAAGCCGGGCGUGCACGUGACGAUCAAGGUGCAGGACACGGAGGGGCGCACGGUGGAGCGCACCGUGCGGAGGUCGACGCAGAAGCUGCAGGUGGUCAUGGACGCCUACUACGCCAGCGUGCCGGACGUCACGUACGGCACGGGCAGGUUCCUGUACGACGGCGGGCGGCUGAGCGCGGGGCAGACGCCCGCGGAGCUCGAGAUGGAGGAAGGGGACGAGAUCGACUUCUUCACCGAGAUGUUGGGUGGCGGCGGUGCUGCUGCUGCGCUGCUGCUGAACGCCCGGUGAUUGCGUAGCUCGCUGCUUCGUACGCUUGCUUUUGGUAAAUCUGAAAAGUUAUUAUGCGUCGUUAUUACAUCGACGGCAGCUAGUAAUAUAUGUUGAAGCUUCGAGUGGUUUAUAACAUAAUCUGAUGAGAUUGAGGACCCAGCUUUUUUUUUCGUCCGUGAGAUGUGAACUCUUAUGAGAUUGAGGAGCCAAUUUUUUUUUCCAUGUUGAUGUGAACUUCUCUACCCUGCUUGCAUAACCGUUUUUAAUGAUGCGGGGGUAUUAUUUUGGGCCAAAAAAUGCAGUCGCAACUAGAUGGAAAAGGUCAAACGUCCUACGUAGUGCCACAUUGGCUACAAAGUUGGUAAAUCAAACUACAUUGAUAGUUCAGAAGUCAAAUACACUUUACCAUGAAAAUUACAGGAAAAAACUUAAAAUUUUGGGAAAAAUGAAAUAAAAUGCCAAAUCUGGUUUGAUUUUAGAAAAUUUAUAGGAAAUUUAUUUUAGCUUAGAAAAUAUGAAACUAGUUUUAGUUUUUCCCCCUAAAAUCAUGCUCUAUAGUACGGUGUAUAAAUUAGAAUUAUUAGAAUUUUAUAUAGCGGGGUGCCAUGCUGGAGAGGAUGUCGUCAUCUGAAAAGGCCAAGAAAGCAGUGUGUUGUGCUAAUUGCAUCUUGUUGGACAUGCUAAAAUAACAUUUUGCAUCAAAUGAAGCUGAUUGCCAUUGUAUCAGUGAUAAUUUUUCCUUAAAUGAAUCUUACAAUUUGAAGAAAAUAUUGAUCCAAAUACCGGCAAAAUUGGCUUGAGAUGAAUAGAUAACAUGUUGGGUUGUUGUAGCCUAAGGUGACAUGCUUGUUGGAUGCACGGCAGCCGUUUUCCUUGUAACUAGCCGGGGACUAGAUGGAAGAUGGUGAUGGCGAAUGAGCUUAUGAGUUAUGAGCAUGUGAAUUGACUAGCAUUUCGCACCCUUCUCCCUGUAAAGUGAUAUAUUGGAUAGAUUAGAAAGUAAAGCCAAAAUAUUGAAGAGCCAUGUUGGAGUGAGAAAUUGAAGUGAAAUUAUUACUUCCUUUGUCUCUGAAUAAAUUAAUUAUAGAGUUGGGCUAAAAACGUUAAAAUUGAACAUGUGCUUUGAACUAGUGCACGAUUCUAUAAUUUGAGAUAUUAGUUCGACAAAUUUUAAAGAAAAAUGCUGAAAUAUCUACAACAUCAAACUACUACUAGAAAACCCAGCGCGGCUUUGCCGCGCUCCCCAUGGAGUGUGUGCUUAUUUUUUUUGUUUUACCUUCUUAAUAAAUGUACCAGAUUUGAACUUUAAAUUUUAUUAAAUGAAUUAAUAGUAUUAAAAUUGAAUUUAUGGCAAGGUUUACUACACUUAGUAUGUUGGAGCUUUUUAGAGCACGUUGGAGUUAGUCCUUACAUUUAAAAUGAAAAGCUGAACUUAGAGAUUAUCCAUUGAUGAUAUAUGAGGAUUUUGAAGUUGAACUAAGUUCUCAUGAUUAAUAUUCACAGCAAAAGCAUAAUCAGAAGUUGAAACAGUUCCUCAAAAUUUCAUUACAAGGAUAUUAUAUCGAGGUACCUGAGUACUUAUAUAGUUAUAUCAUUCUAUGGGUUGUCUAGUGUACAAGUAAUUCUCAAAGUUAAUUGGAUUGUUAUUUCAUCAGAUUUCUAGUCAACGCUCAGGGAUACGAUUGCAACACACGCGCCCAUGAAGAGUAGCGGCAAGGCAGAAAUCAUAAAUUAUCUAACCUGAAAUUUAUCACUUCCAUAGACUUCAGUUAUAGGACACGUGGCAAAAUAAUAAGCUUGGUUGUUUGGUGCAGAUUUCGUAUAGUAAGAGAUUCCCUCUACUCUAAAUUAUAAGACGUUUGACUUUUUUAUCACAAUUUUGACUACUCGUCUUAUUUAAAAAAUAUAUGCAAAUAUAGUUAAAUUUAAAUUAUUCUUGAAGAAAUUUUAUUAAUAACCAGGCCAGCCACGACAAAAUAAGUGCUAUUUUAUAUAAAUUUUUGAAUAAGACAAGUGAUCAAAUUUAGUGUUAAAAAAGUCAAACGUCUUUAUAAUUUAGGAUGGAUGGAGUAUUAUUGAAUCGGCCAUGAAAUAUGCCAUGAUAGUGCAUUUAUUUUACGACUUUGAUAUAUGUAGUUUUUUUAUAAACUUUGCCAAACUCGAUAAACUUAACUUAGGAAAGAACCAAAAAUUAAAGGAGAGACAUUACAUUUUGGAAGCGACGAUGUUAUAUUUGACUUGAAACACUUUUAGUAUAUAUAGUUCAAGGUGCGAAAUUUUGUCUCAAGAAGCUAAAAGUAUUUUUAUUUUGGCCCAGAUAUUUUUUUGGGGGUACUCUGGCAUAUGGUAAGCGCGAACCGGUCGGUCUCGAUCGGUUCGAGUGCCAUGCCAUUCAGGCCUACACUGCUGCCAUUCACGAGUCAUUGCAAACGCAACUGGAGUAAUACGUAUAAACGAGUGGGCAAAAGUAUUCAUGACUGCAUUAUCUUCUCGGUGCUUAGGAUCACUACCACUUGCUGCAAACGGGCCGCCUGAGAUGCUUCGUUACCCCACUAAUCCUAGGAAGGAGUACACGGGAGGACAGAUAUAAGCUCGUUCCUGGCGCGACGCUACUUCACCAAAGCGACUCUAUAGUGAGAAAAAAAAAAAACACAUCCGAGAAAGGCGACCGAUCAGGCUUCAGGCAUGAUGCCCUCUUGGCUGAAGGCGGAGGAGCCGGUCGCACGACCCUUCAGGUUUGCAGGUGGAGAGCGCGGCUUGGUCGUCGCCGCCAUGGCGCCCGCGGUCGCCGCGAAUCCCAUCGUCAAGCCUGCCACGCUGGUGACCCUCAAGGUGCAGGACACCCAGCGGCGCGUCGUCUCGCGUACCAUGCGGAGGACCGACAAGCUGCAGGUCCUCAUGGACUGCUACUACGACGUGGUGUGCUCGGCCGGCGCCGGCGCGCGCGCCGCGGGGCGCUUCGUGUUCGACGGGAAGAGGCUGAAAGGGGAGCAGACGCCGAAGGACCUCGGGAUGAAGAGCGGCGACCAGAUCGACUUUUUCGGGGAUCUGGGAGCAACGACAGACGGCGGCGACGCGGAGGAGGAGGAGGUGGUGGACCGGAAGCCGGUGAUCAAGCAGGUAAUGGACGUGACGGUGAAGGUGCAGGACACGGCGGGGCGCACGGUGAAGUUCACAGAUGUUCGGACUACCCAGAAGCUGCAGGUGCUCAUGAACGCCUACUACGCCAGAGUGCCGGACGUCACAAAGGGCACGGCAAAGUUCCUGUACGACGGCAGGCAGCUGAAAGGGGAGCAGACGCCAGCGGAGAUAAAGAUGGAGGGCGAGGACGAGAUCUUGAUCGACUUCUUCAUCGACAUGAUGGGUGGUGGCGGCGGGUGGGCGGCGGCGGCGGCGGCUGCUGCUGGACAGCCGCCGGUGCCUGCGUAGCUCGCUGCGGACUGCUCGAUCUGGUGCUGAUGGAUUUACGAGGGGCCUGAUGUGGUUUAUGUCAUAGUGACAUGGAUGGCAGCUAAUAAUAAUUUAUAUUUAAGCUUCGAGUGUGGUCGUAGUAUGGUCUUGUGAGAUUGAGAACCAGACAUUGCCUUCUUUUUUUCCCAGUGACGUGAGCUAAAUUUAUCCUGCUAAUUCGCAAAUCACAAUCCUUGAUGACUCAUGGCUUUGUGCAGUCUUGUUUUCAUUUUGGGCCCAGAAACGCAGUUGCUACUAUGGGGGGGUUUGUCGGGACUCCGCUCCGCAUGCUUCCAUGCCAGAGCUAGAGCCGGAGUGCCGAGACCUCAAUUCGUGAUUUUACGUGGCGUACAAAAAAAACAACUCCGUCACUAAUUAAAUUUAAUUAUCAAAGAGAUCAUCGGUAAAGUUAUUUUUGCUUUUAAGGUAUGUCCUCACGCUCACUUUAUAAUUGGAUUCGUGUUGAGAAAUAUACGAACACACUUCUUAAUGUGAAUUUGCAUAGUGGUGAAGGAGGUGAGAACACAUCCUAAGGGCAAAAAAAAAAAACUACAUCCAUAUCCUCAUGCCAACACUAUAUGAUGCGGCUCUACCGCCAGAACCGUGCCAAAUAAGGUCUAAAUUCAGUCUCUAUUCCCUUAUCAAACCCAAAAUAACUGUAAACAAAAUACCAAAAGCAAAUAACAAAACAAACUAGUAUUGACAAAGACCAGCAGCCUCAACACGUUGCAUACGCCGUCUCGUACUCCAAUAGCCCUCUACCACCUCUUUUUUACAAAACGCGUAGACGAUACUUACGUGCAUACAUGCAUACAUACUUACUCUAUAUUAGAAAUACAUGACGUUGAGGAUAUGAUUGUGCUUACCAAGGACUCAUUAAUUAGGGGGUAAUCUUCUGAUUUUGCCCUUAUUAAAUAGAGGCACGGGUGUAACUUGGACAUGAAAUAUUCUCUGCUCUACUAGUUAUCGGGGCUCGAUUCCCGUGGCCUAUGUCUUUUUUUACUUGGACGUGAUUUUGCAUGGGAAGUGAAUGCGGGAUAUCGGGCAUGGAACGAGGCCACCGAGUGCACGGUUAGGAGCGGGGACCGAGAUACGCAUGCCGCUUCAGUCCGUUGCGGGCGGGCGUCGAUUGAGGUGGAAGGCCGAACGACAAGGGCAUUCCAGUCCAUCGGACCCCUUCGAAGGUGAAAGCCCAAGUUUGGUUUUGGUAAUUAAUGACACCAAGUUGCUAAUGCCUUGUGUUUAAGUGAUUUGAGUUAGGCAUAGCAACACAUGUGAUGAAGGUGCAUGGUGGCAUGGAAAGGUGGCCACACGAUCACAAAGGGAUGAAGCAUGAAGUGGAGAUCAUUGUGAUAGACGAGGAGCAAAGUUAUCAAGGCAAAGGUAUAAACAUAGGGUUUUACUUUUGCCGGUCUAAGAUGAGUAGAGAAGUGAUUGACCGGGUUUAGGAUAGAUAGCCGACUAUCAAGAGGGAAAAUCACGGUCAUCUCUCGAAUCAAGUGCUACUAGGUCUACAUCUUGAGCAUAUGCAUUAGGAUCUAGUAAAGUGCUAACUUAACUCCUUUAGCGAAAAUGUUUGUGAAAAGCUAACACACAUGCACUUUGGUGGUGAACACUUGUUGGUGUUAGCACUUUUACAAAGGAGGUGGAUUUCCUAGAGUUGAGAGGAGUGUGGGUUCCUCAGCGUUUUUGAGAAAAAUAAGUGUAUAUUUUCUAUUGCGCCCGUGGGAAAUUUGGAGAAGUCGCGGGAGAGUUUUCUCUCUGAGAAACACUCACCGGACGCUGAGUGCGGAGGCACCGGACGCUGGCCUCAGCGUCCGGUGUGCUUGACCCUGCUAGGGUUAAGCACCGGACGCACUCUGAGAGCGUCCAGUGGUAAGCGUCCGGUGUGAGGGGUUUUUGCAACCCUCUCUGCGCACGAGUCCGGUGAGCAUCGGACCGUCCGGUGCCCAGCGUCCGGUGAGGUCGCGAGUUUGACACCCUCUCUGCGCACGAGUCCGGUGAGCACCGGACCGUCCGGUGUGGACUUGCAGAGCGCCCGGUGUGUUGCAGGUAGCCGUUAGAAACUGACGCGCGAGAUUCAAGUUCGACACGUGGCCAACUCCAGUGCACCGGACGCAGGGAGUCGAGCGUCCGGUGCUCACUUAGUAGCGUCCGGUGCCCCCGUUUUCAGCCCAGUGAAAAACAGCCAACGGCUAGUUCUUUGAGGUGGCUUAUAAAUAGAAGGUGGCCGGCUUUGGGAGAAACUCUCUUACACAUUUGAUUACUUGAGACAUACAUUGAGCUAGAGAACACUCCCUCCACUCAUCUCCUUGCUUGAUUGCUAAUUCUAGUGAGAUUGAGUGAGAUUCAAGUGCAUUGCUUUGAGAGUUGCAUUUAGUGGCACUUGAUUCUUGAGUUUGCUGCGGAUUUCUUGUUACUCUUGGGUGUUUCCCGACGCCCUAGACGGCUUGGAGCAGCGGUGGUGUUGAGCUCGUGAUUGGAGAUUGUUUCGAGCCUCACCAAGCGACUUGUGAGGGGUUCCUGAGCCUUCCCCGCGGGAGAUCGCAAUUGGCUACUCUAGUGGAUUGCUCGUGGCUUGGAGGAUCCCCAUCUUGUGAGUGGAUGUGCGGCACCCGCUAAGGGUUUGGCUUUGGAUUGCCAAUUAGCUCGUGAUCCAUCAAGUGGGUGUAUCGCCACAACGAGGAGUAGCUUGCCGAGAAGCAAGUGAACCUCGGUAAAAAAUCUUGUGUCAUCUCUUGCCGAGGUUUCUCUUGUGAUUGUGCACGUGAUUGAUUGGAUAUAUUUCUACUCUACAACGUCGGUAUAUCAAUCACUCCCCUCUCCUUUACCUUUGUGUAUACCUUGCUAGUUGUGUAGCUUGUUUAGCUUAGCUUUCUUGUUUAAGAGUGUAGCAAGCUUCUAGUUGUGCUUUCUUGUUGUAACUAGUGUUUAGCUUUCUUACUAGACUUGUGUAGGUGACUUGCAUAGCUUAGUUGAGCUAGUGCUAGAUUUGCUUCGCCAUUUGUUUUACUAACUCACUUGCUUAGUGAAAUUUGUAGAAAUUUUAAAUAGGCUAUUCACCCCCCCCCUUCUAGCCAUUUGGACCUUACAGAAGGCCAGAGCGUCAUCCUUUGCGAAAUCACGGUGAAGUCCACGACAUCAAAUAUAUCUAGUACGGAGGGAGUAUCCCUAUAAACAUACACACAUAUUCCCUUAUGAGUCAAGUUAAGAGCCUGCUCGGACAGACAAGUUCUUGUAUGACAUAGCCAUCAAGUCGGCAUAUGAGGGCCAUUGGAUCUUGAAAAAGAAUACUAGAAACAUAUACACACAACAUCAAAAGUAAUUUUAUUGAAUCGACAAUAAAAUAUUUCACGAUAUUGCAUUAUGAUAUAGAUAUCGGUGAAAUUUUUAUAAACUUGAUGAAAACUAGAAAAUUUUAAAUGAUGACAAAAGUAAUUUUGGAUGCGAUGGAGUAUAUUAAUUAUUUUACUCGACACACUUUUAAUUUAAGCUAAUAAACUAUUUUGUCUCAUGAAUGAAGCUAAAAUAUUUUUGUUUAGCUGAGACAUUCUUUUUGUUCCUUUCAUUUUCCCAAGCGCUUCGCAUGCAUGAUGUUAUAAGGGCUUGUUUACAUCCAAAAUUUUUUUGGAUUUUGACAUUGUAGCACUUUCGACUUUAUUUGACAAACAUUGUCCAAUUAUGGAGUAACUAGACUUAGGCCUUGUUUAGAUACACCCAAAAACCCAAAACUUUACAUAAUUCUCCGUCACAUCGAAUCUUGCGGUACAUACAUGAAGUAUUAAAUAUAAAUAAAAAGAAUAACUAAUUACACAGUUUACCUGUAAAUCACGAGACGAAUCUUUUAAGCCUAGUUACUCUAUGAUUAUACAAUGUUUGUCAAAUAAAAACGAAAACGCUACAGUGUCAAAAUCCAAAAACUUUUUGCAUCUAAACAAGGCCUUAAAAGAUUCGUCUCGCGAUUUACAGACAAACUGUGUAAUUAGUGAAAGGAUCAAGAUGCCCAAGAGGGGGGGUGAAUUGGGCUUCUCUAAAAAUUUAAGCAACCUAUAAGCUCCAAUUCAACCCCUUGUACCUAGUGUAACUUAGAGAGCUACCGGAUAAAAGUUUUGCAACCUAGUUCCAAUCCUAUUCUAGCAUGGCAAUACUAAGAAUGUAAAAGCACAAAGUAAAUGCUAGAAAGUAAAGGAGUAGUGGAAGAAAAUUCUCGGCGAUGUUUUGCCGAGGUAUCGGAGAGUCGCCACUCUCCACUAGUUCUCGUUGGAGCACCCGCGCAAGGGUCUUGCUCCCCCUUGGUCCGCGCAAGGACCAAGUGCUCUCUACGGGCUGAUUCUUCGACACUCCGUCGCGGUGAAUCACCCAAAACCGCUCACAAGCUUGACACGAACCACCCACAAGAACUCCAGGUGAUCUUCGUGCCUCCAAUCACCACCGAACCGUCUAAGUGAUGGCGAUCACCAAGAGUAACAAGCAAUGAACUCUCACUUGACCCAAACAAGGCACUAGAGAGUGGUGGAUGCACACUUGACUCUUGGAAUUCACUAGAGGAGGAUUCUCUCAAGAAUUCACUCAAAACUCAAUCCUCUCUAAGCUCUUUGCAACUCUCUUGCUUCACAACAAGUUUCUCUGAUGUUCAAAUGGGCAAGAGAGAUCUCAUGGACGAGGUGGAGGAGUAUAAAUACUAUCCACAAAGUCCAAAGGUCGGCCAACUGUUUUCCACUGAAAACGGGGUCACCGGACGCACAUUAUGUUGCACCGGACGCACUGCACCGAGCGUCCGGUGUGACAUAACGGCUACCUGCACAAGUCUCUGACAGGUCACCGGACGCAAACACUCAGCGUCCGGUGCACCGUCCGGUGCUCGAGGAAACUUUACAUGCUCCCUGCGCAAGGGACCGGACGCUACCCGGUGCGUCCGGUGCUCAGGGAAACUUUGCAAGCUCCCUGGGUAAGGGACCGGACGCUACCCGGUGCGUCCGGUGCUAGCGUCCGGUGCCUAACCCUAAGCACUGGCCUGUUCCAACGGCUAAGGACCUCACCGGACGCACUCACAGAGCGUCCGGUGCAGCGUCCGGUGCCCCUUUGGGCAUCCAAACUUCGUCGAAACGCGAUCGCUCCAACACGAAGUUUGUUUCUCUCGAUCUAAGGACUAUCUCUGAGCUGCCUAGUGCUAGGUUUACCAAGUGUGCACCACACCUAAACCUAAAGCCUUGCCUAAGUCAAGCUACUAGAUCAAAGCCCCUCUUAAUAGUACGGUCAAAGGAAAACAAAGUCCUAAACUAUUCUAAGUGCCCUUCUUCAUCAUAUGGCACUUAGACCUAGUCUAGUCUUGACGAUGUCCAUCCAUCCUUUGAAAACCGAAACGAUUUCCACUAUUAAGUUGGCAUGUACGUCCCUGUCCAUCGAGUACCUAUUUACCAUGACCUUACCUAUGACUUUGCCUCUGCAAAACACACGUUAGUCAUAGUAAUCAACAAUGUCAUUAAUCACCGAAAUCACUAAGGGCCUAGAUGCUCUUUCAAUUAGUUUUUAUUUUUAUCUAUAUUUAAUACUCCAUGCAUGUGUCGUAAGAUUCGAUGUGAUGGGGAAUCUUGUAAAGUUUGGGUUUUUUGUGCAUCUUGUUAAGCCUAACUGUGUUGAAUUCUUGGCGGUAAGAUCCAGAAACGCAGGCAAAAUGUUGUUCUUGGUGCCAUGCAUAUGUGGCACCGGCUCAAUCGGUUCGAGUGCCAUGCCAAUGCCAUUCAUGCCAACACUAUUGCCAUUCAUGAACCGUUGCAAACGCAAUUGGAGAUUUAUACUCCACAAUACUAUACUACUACUGUAUAGCGAGUGGGAGUGGGCAAGAAUUCAUGACAGCAUCGAAUCGCUUCCACUUGUGUGAAACGGGCCGCCGGAGUCGCUUCGUUACCCCACAGUAAUCCCUGGAAGGAUUGAUUACAUGGGAGCUGGGAGGGCAGCGAGAGCCUAUAUAUAAGCACAUUCCGACGCUAGCUACUCCACGUACGAAAUCGACUGCAAGGCGCAGUCUCUAGUGAGUGAGAAAACACAACCGAUCGAGAAAUUCGGUCGAUCAGCAGGGCUGCAGGCAUGGUGGUGUCCCCUAGCCGGAAGGAGGAGGAGAAGGUGGUGGCGCGAGCGCGAGUCGUCAUCAAGUGGUUAGAUGGAAACGGCAGAGUGGUGCUGGUGAAGCCCGAGAUGCUGGUGACCCUCAAGGUGCAGGACACCGAGCGGCGCAUCGUCAAGCGCACCAUGCGGAGGACCGACAAGCUGCAGGGCCUCAUGGACUACUACUACGACAUGGUGUGCUCGGCCGGCGCCACGCGCGGUGCGGGGCGCUUCGUGUUCGACGGCAAGCGGCUGAAAGGUGAGAGCACGCCGGAGGACCUCGGCAUGGUGAACGGGGACAAGAUCGACUUCUUCGAGGAUCUCAUGUCUGGCUGAUCCAUAUAUGGGGCCGACCCCGCUUUAUAUUAGUUUCCUAAUAAUAAUUUUAAGUACGAGUAUAUAGUACUCCUAUAUGUAGUACUACUGGUACUUGUGUGUCUCAUGUGAUCGGGGCAUCUGAAAUGCUACGAAGGAAUGAAAGACCUAAUUAAACUACAUAUUCUGAUUGAGUUUGCAUUGUGUAUACAGUUUGAUGACUUUUCUCGUGUCCAUCUCAAAGCACCGAUAGCUGUAUCCAUUACAACUACAAGGAUAUUUUUGCACUCAGUCCAUGCAUGCCUCUCGAUAUGCCACACGCGCGGAUGAUCAUUUUUGCAGUCACUCCAUGUCUCUCGAUACGUCACAUGCUUUUAUUUUGUAGCUGAACUGCAGCGAGUUUAUUUCCGCGUUGCAUUUUGAUUAAACCAUGGAAAUCCUCAAUAACGUGGAUCCUUUGUUGUCGAUAUAGUGCGUUUUGUGUUGAAAAAAUGUUGAGAACAAUACAUGAAAUAAACUCUAAUAGGAGGCUACAACUCUAACACCAAGUUCAUACAUAGCCUGUUCGUUUGAGCUUAUCAGCCAAAUCUGCCAGUCAUUCAAUAGUGCUUUUCUUUCAUAAUAAAUCAACCAAAAAGAUUUUCUAUCAUGGCUUAUCAGCCAAAAGAAUUCUUAUCACAAGACAUCAUGUAAGACUAGCAAACUGAGCAGCUUAGCUAGUUAGUUUCCUUGUGGCGGAACAUUUCCAUCUGAGUUUAAGUCCUUAACUUGAUGUGGUGUCUAUGUUGGAACAUAUCCAUGUGAAUUUAAGUCCUUGAUUUGAUAUGAGUGCUUGUAUUUUUUUAGAUUUAUUCCAGAAUUUAACGGGUAUUCUUUCAGUGGUAGGCAAUGCGUCUUUGCUGACUUCCUUGAUCUUGAGAUUUGUUGGUCUAAUUUAGUCUUCAAAGUUAUUCAUAAGGGUAAGUUUUUGAAAAAAAAAAGAUUAUAGUCCAAGUUGAAAGUAUUAUGUGUUGAGUCAGCCGAUGACUAGUUUGAUUGGGUAUACACCGUCAGACAUGUUACGACCUCCUCCCUCAUAAGUGUGGCAUUCUUGUGACUUUAUCAAUAAUCUCAAGGUUUCUCGGUCUAGUUAAGAUUUUCAAAGAUACUCAUAAAAGUAUGAUCUUAUCUAAAAAACGUAAGACUAUAUAGUUCAAAUUGAAAAAUUGUCCGUUGAUAUAACCAAUGGCUGAUUUAAUGGAGUAGACAUCGUUAGUAAUCUCAUGAGUUCCUCCCUCGUAACAUGUCGGCGACGGUGUACUUAUUUUAACCGUCGCAAAACGUUUUUCUGUGACGGGUCGUACGAGCCGUCUCUGAAGCACCCGUCAUCUUUGUACAGAUCUGUAGUAGUGACAGUAACAUUUCUUAUAGUUUUUCUAUUAGAGGGGUACACAACUAUUCCCAUUUAUACUAAAAGGAGAGAUAUUUUUUUAUAUUAGUUGUUCUUCUGGGGUAAAGUAGAGUUUUAUUUUAAAAACCCAAAUAAUUUUUGGUUAGUAAAAGGCUAUCAAAAUAUUUCAUGGUAUAUGUGGUAGAUCUCGUUUUGAGGUCUUUACUUUAUAGAUGUUUGUAUAUUUUUCUUUAAAUUUGAUUAAAGGUAGAAAACUUGAUUAUAUCAUGUUUGCUUGUCUUAUAAGCCAUACUUUUUCUGUCAGAGCAUCUCUAACAGUUUGGUAAAACUCAUUUGCCAAAUCUUGUGUUUUGACAAGUUGCUAAAACAUACGGCAAGUGAGAUUUUCUUCUGUUUCCAACAGUUUGCCAACUGAGCUUGAUAAACUUAAAAGAAGACCUACAACCAAUAACCAAAUCAACUAAUCUGUUGGAUAGCAAGUUGACAAAUAUGAGCGUGCGGUGCUGCUAGAUGGCAAGUUGCCAAAAAAAUGGCAACCCAUUUUUGGAGUGGCUAUUUUCUAAUUUUGCCAAAUAAACAAGAAAUAACAAACUCAUUUAGAAAACUGUUGAAGAUGAUAGUGUUUUCUCUCAAAAUAAAUUAGCGAACAAUAUAUUUAGCUAUGAUUUUUUAGACCAGCAAACAUGCUACUUUCAAUAUAAAUCUGAUAUGUCUUCGUCUUAAAAAAAACAAAGCAGUCAUCCGUGGCCCACCUGCCAGUGACCCCAGAAGGCUACAGAACACGUAAACCCGUCGGGCCCGGUUCUGCAGGGACGCGCACCUGCGCACCGCGGAAGGCGAAUCGGUAUCCUCCCGCCGUCAUAUUCUCUGUCCUUCCCCGAUCGAUCCCCACCCUGCACGAUACUUUUCCCCUCUCUCUCUCUCUGCUAGGGUUCCCCGUCCGAUCCCCCCUCGGCCGCAUCAGGUAAAUUACUGGUCCAUCCGCCUCGCAUUCGAUCUGAUCCCGCGAUUCGAGCCCUCGCGCACCGAUCCGGGACUCACCCCCCUGCAAAUUUCCGCGGCGGAGUUUCGUACCGUCUUUGUUUUUGCAACAUUCGAGUUGAUUAUUUUGGAGGAGUCGCGCUCUAGGUUGAGCGAGCGUUGUUGGAUUUUUGUGCGACGACGGUGGUGUGUUGAUUGGAUGUUGAAAGAAUUGUAGCUGUUUGAGGCGGCAAGCAAGAGGCCGCGGAAGCAUCUGCGUCGAGCCAUGGAUAAGGGGCUCUUCACCAACGACGGCUCCUUCAUGGAGAGGUUCAAGCAGAUGCAGCAGGAGGCGCAGGAGAAGGAGAAGGCCGCUGCGGCCGCUGCCUCAUCAGCUCCCAAGCAUGCGAACCCCAAGCAGGGGUUUGCUGUUGCGGCAAACAAGCGGCCAUUCGAGCUGAAGAAGGCUGCUCCGGUAGCCUCGUCUGGUAAGCUGGCCUUUAGCCUCAAGAAGGCCAAAGUCGCGGUUGCACCUGUCUUCUCAGCUGAUGAUGAGGACGAGGAUGCUGCGGAUGUGGAGAGGGAGGAGCCUGCCAAGCGCCAAAAAUCUGUGCAAGCUGAUGCUCCUGUGGCAGCUGCCCCGUCUGGGGCUGUUGGUAAUCAUUUAUAUUUAUCCAUUUCUUCUGUUUUACUAUUAACUCGUUUAGUGAUGAUGUUCUGUGGGUUGUAGUUUCUAUCAAAUGAUUAGGUGCAAACAUGUUAUAAGACUUUUAAUUCAGUAACCAAGCUAGAACAUCAGUGAUAUAUUAUCUUUUAUCUUUCCGUGCAAGUAGUGUUUUUUUGCCUUCGAAUUCAGUUGCGGAUUUAGAUUAUCUCAUUGAAUUCGAUGCAAAUCAUUUCAGCAUGUGGCAUACCUUAGGUUUUUAUUAUUGAAAUGAGUUAUGAAUUCGGAUUCUCCAUUCCCAAAGUAUUACCCUGGUGCAGAUGGUUGUAUUAUCAGUUUUCAUGUAGAGUUCUCUAUUCCACACAUUUGACAGUGUUGUCCUGGCAGUACUUCGAUAAAAUUUGAUAGCGAAACUAAGUAAUAACUAUAUAGUUUACAUUUCAUUUUCUUACAUACUGAUUUAACUAGAACCCAGUACUGCAUUUCACAUAUACUUUUUAUUGAAAUACUAAAGGGCUGUUUGGAUGUCGGUAAUAUUUGGGUUUUGUAUGGUUAAUACAAUAUACCAUAGGAUUUAAAGCUUCUAGGUGUUUGGAUACAGCAAUUUAGUUUUACAAACUUUAGGAUUCCAAGUACCAUGAUAUUUGAAGUUCUUGAAGAAAACCCAUUCAACACUUCUUUUUUUCCCCUAAAAACAAAGCACGCCUCACAUUUCCUUUCCCACCAAUGCGAGUUAUACGGCGUUGGCCUGUCUAAUUUCAUGCACUACUAUUAGUAAACACAUUCCUAAUGUACAAAGUUGUAUUGCGUACAUUCAUUUUGAAUUGUUCACAAGCUCUUUUGAUCUUCCAUAUAUAAACUAUUGCUAUGUAUCAAAGCUAGUAGUAUCUAUGUAUCUAUCUUAGGUUCCUUGUGGUGGCUAGAUUAUAUAGUAUAAUGUGUAGUUGAUCAUAAAGUAAAAUUACUUACCGAAAACCACCACCAAAUACGCCAUUGUUUUUAUUUAUAUUAUAAAAUAUGGUGUGUGUGUGUGUGUGUGUGUUUUCACAAUUUAUGUUAUUUUAUUUCCCAUGUAUUUAAAACUAUGGUCUUGAAAUUUUGUAUCAUUCAAACAUUCCAUAAUAAUAUUGAAUUCAUGCAACUAGUGAUAAAAAUGAAUCUUGAUAGCUACAAAAUUGCAAUGCUAGUGGGGUGGUGGAAUUGGCCAACAGCGUUUUAUUUUUAGAAAAAAAUGAUUGCUAUUGCACCAAGGUGUCGUAAACUCUCCUUUUUCGUAUGAUGCAUACAUUGUUAGGUUUACAAAAGAAACAUCUUCCUCAGCAUCUGCAUACGUUAUCAAUAGCUAUUGUCAGCAGAAAGUCGUGAAGGUUUUGUUCUUUUUCUUAUGACUGCAGCUUAUAGAUUAACUAAAUUGACAUUGCUGGGAAGGAUGUGAUUGAGAGAGUUGGAGGCUCUACUGCAGUAAUUUGCAUUGCCUUGUCAUGCUCUUGAUAUUAAUCAGUUCUUUAAGUGACAUGCAGCCCCACCCCCACCAAAUGAUAUUACAGUGAGACAAGUCGCUGACAAAUUGGCAAGCUUUGUUGCUAAAAAUGGGAGACAGUUUGAGAAUAUCACGCGGCAGAGGAAUCCUGGAGAUACACCAUUCAAGUACGACUAAGCUACUCUUUUUCUUACCAACUCUAUCUGUUUUUUGUUGUGGGUUUUCUCAAUAAGUUCAACUUUACUUUCAAUCUCUGACUUCAAUGAAUUAUUGGUAUAUAAUUCUUUGGUCAUUUGCAGGUUUCUAUUUGAUAAACACUGUUCAGACUACAAAUAUUAUGAGUUUCAGCUUGCUGAAGAGGAAAGGGCUCUUGCUCAGUCAAAGGAGGCUGAAGCAUCAAAAAGUGGUUCGUGGCACAAUUUCUUUGUUUUCUAUAAUUUUAACUUCUGUACAAGUCUUGAUGCUGUAUGCUCUUGUUAAUGCAGCUAACUCUGGCAUUGCAAGCUUCAAGGCACCAGGUGGUACACAUAGAAGCUCAUUUGAACAGAAGUCUAACUAUCAAACACCUGCAUCAGCUUUGUAUGGUGCAUAUGAGGGUAGUUCUUCCCAAGGAAGCUCUUCUAGUUACGGUAAAAGUUGCAUACAUUGUUUCCUUGUCUUUUUCAUAUGUUAUUUAGCUACUCCCUCUGUUUUUUACAUGUCGUAUUAGGUCUGUCCUAAGUCAAACAUUAUUAACUUUGAUCAUCAAUAUAAAAAAAUCCAUGUAUUUUGAAAACAUGUGAACAAUAUAUUAUGAAAGUGUUUCUCAUAGGGAUCUAAAAACAUAAAUCUUAUGUUGUUAACCUAACAUUUUUUAAAAAAUUGAUGGUCAAAGAUAGAAAUGUUUGACUUGGGGCAAAACUAACACGACAUGUAAAAAACAGAGGGAGUACUUUCUCUAUGUUACUAGACUAUUUGUUUGCCUGGUUACUAUUUGUUUGAGUUUGCAAGUCAUCUGUGUCUUGCACUUGUAUUGCUUAUAAGUAUCUUGUUAUUUCUGAUGUUGUGAAUGUUUUGUUUCAUUCUUUUGGCUUAAUGCAUGUGGACUGCGGUAGAUAUGUUGUAGGGUUUCUGUUCUGAAACACCUGGACCCUAUACGUGUUACCUCCCUGAUCUAUAAAUUGCUUCAAAAAUAAAAACAUCUUCUUCCAAUUUGGACUGUUUGAUUGUUAGUAUAUGUGCUCAAUCCUAGCUAAUCUUGUCGCAGGUGAUCAUAUGACUCCACCGUCAGAUCCUGUAGCAUUGAUGGAAUUCUACGCAAAGAAGGCUGCACAGGAAGAACGGAAGAGGCCACCAAGGCAAUCGAAAGAUGAAAUGCCACCACCUCCUUCUCUUCAAGGUACCUCUGCAACAUUAUUGUCCUUGUUGAAAGAAUGUACAAACUUCAAUGUUUAUUCAUGAACAACUAAUUCUUGUUUUGCAGGUCCUCCAAAGAAAGGACACCACAUGGGUGACUUCAUUCCUCCAGAAGAACUUGAAAAGUUCAUGGCACGCUGUAAUGAUGCUGCAGCACAAAAGGCUACCAAAGAAGCCGCCGAGAAGGCUAAGAUUCAGGCAGACAAUAUUGGUCAUAAACUUCUAUCUAAGAUGGGUUGGAGGGAAGGUUUGUCCUGAAUACUUAAUACCAUUACAGUAAUAUCUGGUAAAACCUUGUCACAUUUUUCUUGUUAAAAAUAAAACAUAAAUUGCUUUAUAUCAUUCAAUUUGCUUUAAAACAAAACUAUAACCACUUAAAUGGUAAAGGAUCAACCUCAAAAGUCCACGAUAUUUGUGAGGCUGAAUGGCUGAUUGAUGUUUAAGUUUAUGACAACAAUACAACACACAUUUGGACCCAGAUCAUCAUUACUUUUAUUUGUUGGUGUCUAUUUAGUAUCUGCUUACUUGGCUUGUAUCCAUCUUUUUCUUUGUUCUUGUCAUGUUCAUCUAGCAAAUCUUCAGUAUUGUAAAAGAAUGACGUGAACAAAACCAAUGCCAAACACCAGAUAAGAACUAUCUAUGAUGGAUUCAGCAUUGUGUUGCAUGCAUUGAUUCUCAACAUCCCAACACUGGUGGGAGUUGUUUGUUGGGCGUGUAGUCAGGCAAUUAGAGACAGUAUGCACCAUUCCACUUCCAGGUGUUACAUAUAGUUUACUCUGUAGGUGAGGGUCUUGGUAGCGAGAGAAGAGGCCGUGCAGAUCCCAUUAUGGCUGGAGAUGUGAAGAAGGAUCAUCUUGGUGUUGGCGCAGUCCAGCCUGGUGAGGUCACAUCUGAAGAUGACAUCUAUGAGCAAUACAAGAAGCGAAUGAUGCUUGGAUACCGCUAUAGGCCAAACCCUCUGGUAUAUUGCCUGCCAUUGUCUGCUUUCCAGGAGUGCUAUGUUAUUUCUGUUUGCCUAAUCCUUCUGCUAUUUUGCAGAACAAUCCAAGGAAAUCAUACUACUGAGUACUGAUACAGGAGAGUUCAUCCGAGGGGAGAUGUAAGGUGUUGAUUUUGCUGCAUUUUUGCUCACAGAACUAACAGUUAGGCGAUAUCACUAACAGCAUUGAAAGUUUUUGUUCAUCAGCAGAGAAGUCAAGAAGUUCGUUAUUCAGCAUAUUUCUUGGAAUGCCACAGAUGUGAGGCUUCUGGGUUCUACGAAGCUUUGUUCUUUGUGUAGUGUUGAUCUUUGUGGCUUUAAAUGUUGUGUUGAAACGAGUAUCAUGUUUCAAACAGUGAUAUAUUGCCUUCUUGGAUCAGUAUAUUUUUUCUGAUCAUUCAGGAUUUACUCUGCCCCAAUAUCUUAUUUCGGUGACAAGUGGGAAUCAAAAGGUUCAAAAUUUGUGCUGGGGAGGGGUUUUAUUUUAGAAUGGAGUGAAUAACUAUAGAGAGCAUGAGUGUUGGUACGGAACCUGGAGUAUUUGAAGCUCCUAGUUAGGCCCCGACCAUAGAGGUCCGGACGUCUCUGGCUCUGCAUUUUAACAGUGAACUUUUUUUUUUCAUUCUCUUAAAAUUAACAGGAACUGGUAAAGUCAUUAUUUCUGGGUUUACCAACUCCAGUUCCUUCACGUACUGUACCAAAAAGGCUACAGUCGUUUGGAGCCGUACAAAGGAGGGCCUUAUUUGAAAGGGGACAUACAGGGCGUGUUUGUGACCAUGGCCCGUUGGCUGGUUGCGCCCUCUGCUUGCAAUUGCCGGUGAUUGUUUGCUCGGGUCCACCAGCGAGCCUUGCCAUCGGCGUGCAAAUCACCUCUCUUGGCUCCCAGAAAAUGAGAUGGAGGUUUGUUUCUUGGCGACAUGUCUCGCUUGACUGCUUGAGCAACGGGGUGGAGCGCUGGAGGCACGCUCGAGUAACCUCCAGUCACCUACAGCUGUGCAUGCCUCCACACGCCGUUCGUGCUCGUCGCCCCCGCUAUAGCCAAGCCGCGCUGCCAGGACGAAGAAGACGAUCACAAGCGACGUUAGCUUGUCGAACCUCGAUAGCGCCAUCAGCUCGUACGUGACCACCAUCCUCAACCUCGGCGCUACUGUCGGCAACGACAGUGGCCUGCAACACUACAACGACGCUGGCGUCGUGCCCACUGAGCAGCAGGGCCUCCUCUACCUGGUCUGCACGCUCGACCCCUCCUUCCUCCUCUCCUCCCCUGCAACGCCACCACCACCGCGUCCACAGGCACCCUCCACCGCCGCAUCUCCUGCGUGGUACGAGCUCGAGCUCGGCGGUAGCCAUAGCCGUGGUGGAGUAAGCCACUUGGGUGUUUGAUGAAAUGCCAAUAAAGAUUGAAAGAACGGUAAUGUUAAGGCCUUGUUUAGUUUAAAAAAAUUUCAAGAUUUUCCGUCACAUCGAAUCUUGCGGCACAUGCAUGGAGCAUUAAAUAUAAAUAAAAAAUAAAAACUAAAUGCACAGUUUGACUGUAGAUCGCGAGAUGAAUCUUUUGAGUUUAGUUAGUCCGUGAUUGGACAAUAUUUAUCAAAUAAAAUCAAAAAUGCUACCAUACCUGAAAAAGAGAAAAUUUUGGGAACUGAACAAGGCUGGCAAUGAAACAAAAUUCGGAUGGCUAGGUCUAUGGCAGUGGCUGCGAACCCCGUCCAGAGUGCCUAGCGGGGGCGACGCUGACGGCGUGGCCGUGGCCUCCUGAGUGCUGACUGAUCCUGCUCCUGCUCCUGCUCAAACAACAUCAUCGCAGCAAGGAAUCUCUCCUCACUGAUUGCGCUUGCCCUGCCCCUCCUUCCUUCAUGUCGUCCAGUCCAGUCAUCGCAGCCACCAAACGGAACGGAGCCAUCUUUUUGUACGCUCGUCCAUUCAUCCCCCCGCCACCAAAGUUGCGGCGUUAACAAUGGCGCGAUAAUCCGCUGGGUCCUCCUCGGGGGAGAGAAAAGCGUGCUGUUUGGUUUGAUGACCUGGACGAAUAAUCACGUCCUGCUUUGGCCCGAUGACGCUGGACGAAUAAUCGAGCUACCAAUCUUGGAAGCGAAGGCUGGAGCGCCGUGGCGCUGUCAGCCUGUCUCCACCGCUGGCUGCCUCACUGUCAUCUGUACUCUCUCACUGAGACAGCCGUGCUCCAACCCAAAGCUUGAGCCUGAAGCAGCCGCCAAACAGAUCUACUCGUAGUCCAGAUUGGUGGAAAUGGAAUCGCAGGUGAUGGUAAUGGUAGGUUACUGCUGGUAGGAAAGGAAACCCGGAACCAUCCACAUCCAGGAGUAGAAGAGUAGAGUAGCAGCGUGUGCCAGUGUCUGUCGCUGGUGACACAUUCUGCGAUCCUAGUUACUGUUAGGAGUUCCACUAUCGAUCUCGAUCCCCUGCGCGAUCGUAGCGUGAUCCGUCGGUCUGACUGCUCCUGAAGUGAACGUCUUCGUUCUACCGGCCGAGAGAUCGUUGCCUUUGACCUUGUUUAAAACUAAACAAGGCAUUUGUCUCUGCGGCCGGUGGAUUCGAUGGGUAGGAGGCAGGAGGCACAGGAGGAUAUCGAUUCCGGCUGUCUCGCAGCUGUGAGCGCUGGCGACCCCCUACCGGUCGCCAUGAUACGAUCGCGGCGCGGAUGUCAGGCUCGGGAGAUUUUAAAAUACCGGCGGCCCAUACCGGCCCCCGCCGCCCGCCGCGGUGGGUGGCCGCUCCCGAUCUCGCCACCCGCGGGUCCCCCGUGAAGUUCCCGGCGCCACGACCACCUUGCCGAGGCAAAAAUAUCCACAGCUCCGACGGCGGCAGCCAAAAAAGAAAAUAAAAUCAGCGAGCGUGUCGCGGUCGCGCGGAUCCGUCGGCCGCAUCGGUCGACCGCACGCGCGUCGCUCUCUUUCCCACGCUCGCCGCGAGCUGCGCCCGCGGACGGGGGACCUGAAGGGCCAAUUAAAGGCGGCGAGCUCGCCCGUGACGUGUUGUCCGCCGCGUUCCGUUCCGGGCAGGGACGCCACCAGUGAAAGCUGCAGCCGCGCGGAGGCGAUGCGUGCGUGUGCGUGCUCCCCUCUCGUAAAUGAGCAAUUGCCCCGGUGCAUGCACGCUGAGGGAGAAGUAGAAGCGGCCAGAACAGCACGGACGCACGGUCGCGUCACGGGCGCUGCGGCACUGCGCGUGCGUACGGCGUACCUCAAAUGUAACUGCGCCGUGCAUCACGUACUACUUUUCACCCACCCGUGCGUGCACAUCGCGUAGUAAAUUCUCUGGUUUUCAUGGGCAGCGAGUCGCUGGAACGGCAGGUUCUGUGCGUACGUGACAGGAUUUGGCAUGUGGCAACUCGCGCGGUACGUUGCAAAAGUCAGUCAAGCAGCACGACAAAUGAGCUUCGCUUCGGCCGCUCGCCAAGAUGAAGUUGGGCGACAAGACAUGGUUAGUAGUUGCAUUCACUUUGAUGCCGGUUUGUGUACAGCGCUUCAGAUUAAUAUCAAUCCGAAAAAUUCACAGAACCGUCCCUCUUGUUGGUGAACCAAUCCAUGAAUUGUCGACGAAUUUGAGUUUUUAACUGGACUCAAAGUAUUUGAAUUCAUCCUUCGUGUUCGUGGCCGUGAAAAAAAUAACGCACAACGGCCCUUAGCACCUAGUGGGCGAGCUCGCCGCGCUGGCGCCUCCACAUGACCCAGGCACCCAGCUCAUCUGAGCGGCUGGCACCCCGCACCCCACGUGCCGGCGCUGGCCUGACACCUUGGCGCAUCGCAUGGGCGUGGCACCCACCGGGCCAGCCCUGCGUACACCCGGUGUUGAUGAAAGCAUGCGCCCGGGCGGGCCCCGGGUCGGCAACGCACACACCACUGUCCAGUCCACUGAAAAAGGCCGUUCGACCGGCCGGACCGGGUAAAAUUGUCGCAACACUUUGUCCUGUUAGCCACUUAGCCCCGCGCACAAUGGAUUGGUCCAUGGUCCAUGGACUCGCGGCAGCCGUGGCGACCUUCUGUCAACCGCUAUAGACACCAAGGCAUCGUAUACAAGUAUUUGCACUAUGUAUAUGUGCUAUAUAUAUAUUGCUAUAAAGAGCCCUACAAUAUCCAUAAUGUGUGUUGUAUCUACAGACAGUGCAAUACAUAAACCAAAGGAUAUGAGACCACCGUGAAUCUAAGCCCACCAAUUUAGUUAUGAUUAUUUUAAAAAUGACGACAUAAGGUUAUAAGUACCAAUUCUUCUCUCAAGCAUCCCUUCUUCACAUUGUAGUAAUUCUAAGGGCUUAUUUGGAACAUAGGGAUUUACAAGAUUUAUUUUCACGGGAAAAACACAGGAGCGAGGAAAAAUUCCCAUAUUCCAAGUAGGUUCUAACAUUCUUUUAUAUAAAUUAUUCAUUAGCUCUAUCAUUUUUUUUACUCAAAAGAACAUCUUAGAGUGUGGAUUGAGGUAUGAUAGACCACCAAACUUGGCGCCAUCCUACUACAUACAAUAAAUCAAUUUUGUUUUUUAACCUCUCAUGAAUCUACAUUCCCGUCCUAUUUUUGUGAUUUGAGAAAGUAAAAAAACUAUAACUAAUUGUAAAGGUAGUUUUAAUACCAUGUCUAAUUUAGGAGGAUCGGAAGAGAAAUAUAGUGAUAUAUUGGACUACAAUCAACUCAGUUUUACUAUUAUUAAAAAAGACAUAUAUACCUUUCUUAACCAUAUACCCAUAAAAAAGUUGCAUAUAGCUAAAUCCAUCAAGUUAUAUUUAUCCCAUUCUUUAUGACUUAUCCUAAGAUUAAACAUUUUCAUUUGCUACCACGGGCCAUGCCACUACAGGUUGUCACCUUAGGCUUCAAGGAUCCUAUACUCAAAUUUAAAUUUAAACUAUUAUCAACUUUUAUAAUGGUGCGUUUGAUCCCUUCAUUUUGGUAGAAUCUAAUUUAAAAAGUUAGGCUAUUUGAUUUGGAAUGUGAGAUUCCACAACUUUCCAAAAUUUACAUAUAAACUAUCUUAAAUUCAUAGGGUGGAAGAUAGAAAAUGGAUUAUUUCUUCUUUCUUCUACAACUUAAGUGAAGUUGUAGAUUUUCUUCUUUCUUUUUCCACAACUAUAGUUUAUUAUAAUAAAUUCAAUUUUAAGGAUGGGCCUCUGUUUAUAUAAUAUUACAGACUCAAUUUAUUCUGUACGCAUAGUGCGCCUACCUGUCACCGUCACGUUAAUAGACGGCACGGGGACUGGGCAGUGGGCCGGCCGGCUCACGUGAACAACGCCCACGAAGUAGCGUUGGCUGUUGCAAAAGCAACCGUUUCCAGUUCCCUCUCCUCCCUAGUGCACCCAGGAAACCGCCAGCACCUCUCUCUCUCUCUCCUCCGCCUCCGCUCCCCUUUUUAUCGCCCGAUCUCACACAUUUUGGAAAGAGGAGAGAGAGAAAGAGGGAGAGAUUAGAGGGAGCGCCCCCCUGCCCAAGGAAAGAGAAACCGCGGCGCGAGGAGCAAGGGAGGAAGGGCAAGAGGCAAGAUGAGAGAGAUCAUCAGCAUCCACAUCGGCCAGGCCGGGAUCCAGGUCGGCAACGCCUGCUGGGAGCUCUACUGCCUCGAGCACGGCAUCGAGCCCGAUGGCACCAUGCCCAGGUGAAUGAAUGCUCGAUCCCUGUCGAUCUCCCAAUUUUUUUGUCUGCGGCGCGCAUCUGUCGCGCGUUCUAGGGAGCCGGCUCCUCGAAAUUCUGGCGUGCUCGUUCGUCGCAUUUCCUUAGAUGUUUCUCGUUCGCUCUGGUUUUUUGUUCGAAUUCGGCGAAGCAAACCAUGGGCUGGGUUGGUGUAGUGGUGGUACUUCCGUGUCGGCUCCGUAAUUUUGGUUCGUUUGUUCCUUUGCGUUGUACUUCUAGUCUGGUCCUUGCGAUGGGGGUUUGUUUUGGUGUGAUGUGUUGUGGUUUGUUAGGUUUUGGUACAUUUUCUUGCCGGUUGGUGAGAGAUUGCAUGAGCCGGGCUUGAUGCGACGUUUCCUAAUUAAGAUGCUUGCCUGUUAAUUGGUGCAUUUGUUCUUUUCCUGCGAAUUAGGCAGGCGCCACACAAGGAUGCGUUGAGGUCCUCACCACCGUGUAGAGGAGCGCACGUUUAUUCAUGUGUACUUGGGGACAAAUAGGGUUUCCAGCUCUGUAUGUAAGGCGCAAGAUCUGAAGAACUGAAUCUGUGGGGAUGUUUAAUAAAUAUAAAUAAAUGUAACCGAGGAGCUCUGAUGAAUGUCAGACCAUGGAUCUCCCUGGAUUCACGAUCCUCUGUUAAAAGUGGCAUGCUUCUCUCUGUUUGCCUGAUCUUGUAGUGCCAUAGAAAAUUGCCCUAAUGCUACUCUGUCUGAUAAUAGAAAAUCCUGUUUAGGAACCUGAGGAGGCAGGUUUAUCUUUUAGCGCAUAUGCCAAUGAUUACUGCUUUAGUAGAGUUCCUCAUCCAUUUUUUUUAACACUGUGGUUUGGUUGUGAUGCAGUGAUACCUCGGUUGGCGUCGCACAUGAUGCCUUCAACACGUUCUUCAGUGAGACCGGUUCCGGCAAGCAUGUGCCGAGGGCUAUUUUCGUCGACCUUGAGCCCACUGUCAUUGACGAGGUUCGCACUGGCUCGUACCGCCAGCUCUUCCACCCAGAGCAGCUCAUCUCGGGGAAGGAGGAUGCAGCUAACAACUUUGCCCGUGGCCACUACACUGGUAAUUCACCUUGUGUCCGUGAAUAUGUAAUAGGAGGGAGUCUUAUGCUUCUGCAACUGUGGAUUUGUUCAAUUCUAAUUAUUGCGGAAUGCAGUUGGGAAGGAGAUUGUCGAUCUAUGCCUGGACCGCGUGCGCAAGCUUGCAGACAACUGCACUGGGCUGCAGGGAUUCUUGGUGUUCAAUGCUGUUGGUGGUGGUACUGGCUCUGGACUUGGUUCACUGCUACUGGAGCGCCUUUCAGUUGAUUAUGGCAAGAAGUCUAAGCUCGGUUUCACCAUUUAUCCUUCCCCACAGGUAUGACCUUACCUGUGCCAAAACUUCAUAUUAGCAUCCUAGUAUGAGUAUCCAUGGAUGUCACAAAAGAAAAAUGUAUCCUUUUCCAAAAGGAUGUUGGCUUAAGUAUAUGAGAUUGAAAGAAUACAUGAAGCAGGUCGACAAUUUAUAAUUAUACACCAACAGGAAAUGGUUUUAUAUAGAACUAAUCUAUGGAUCAUGUAAUUUGGUGGCACUGUUCUUGCCUUCUAAAUUUCACAGAUAGACACUGAUUAUUAGAUCAGCCUAGCAUUAUUUAAAUCAUGUGUGGACAAAACAAGCAACUGUUGUGGACUUCUGGAUUGUGAGGAGGACCUUCCUGUAUAUGGUUUAGACCAUGAUUAGUACAACUGUCACAGGCUAGAGGUCUUCUUUAUGAGUGUCUUUAAAUCAUGCAUUGCAUAUGUGCCAACAUUAUCCUAUAGUACUGCUCCGCCCUGUCCAUGUGAUGUGGGCCAUUCAGCUUGUUCAUGUGAGUAGGUUUUCUGCAUCUUAGCUGUUGUGGGGACAGUGGGUAGAGAUGUUCGAUGAUUUUGGGUCUGGUCCAUGGUUUUAACUUUUCAUCUAAUGCCACUCUGGAUUGCAG
rnacentral:lncRNA from 1 species